GUUAGCAAAGUUUGAGACCUUGAAAACGAAGAUCAAGGAGCACUGCAUCACAGUCUCAAAGAUGCCAAGUGAUACGAUUCCAAAGACUGGUGUGGUUUCACUCUUCAUUGUUGAUUCCGUCAUCGAUGAUCUCAUGGAUCUAAUAAAUAACAAGUCUGACUCAAUUGUUGUUGUGAAUGAUCAAAUUGUAACGCUCCACGAGGAGCUAAUGUUUUGGGAUCAUCCAUCACAGAUAUAGCAUUGCAGCACGAAGCAGAACAUGAAGAACUUGUGAUACGGAGCAGAGACAUAGCAUAUGAAGUUGAAUAUGUUAUCAACUCAUUACCUCAUGUUUGGUAUCUUUCUCUCCGGCUCCCUCAACUCAUUGACAAGAUUCAGCUUAUUAUGAUGGCUGUCAAAGGAAUGAAGAACAAUAUUGAUGUAGCUAGAAUGUCAAUUGUUUCAAAACAUCCACAUGAUCACGUAGAUCCACAGUCAGAAGAUCUCCCAUUUUGGAAGACUUUGUUGUGGGAUUUGACAAUGUAACAACUGAAAUUGUAGAACAACUUGUUCGAGGAACAGACAAGCUACAAAUUAUUUCCAUCUUUGGGAUGCCUGGACUUGGUAAGACGACCUUGGCAAAUAAAUUAUAUAAUCAUCCCUUCGUUUUACAGCAUUUUGACAAGCGUGGCUGGUGUGUUGUUUCUCAAAUGUAUAAUAAGGAAAAUGUUUUGAUUGAAAUUUUGAGCUCAAUGAGUAACAGUAACAGGGACACAUACAUGAAUAUGGACGAAAAAAGCUUGGCUACAAAUCUUUACCAAAACAUAAUAGGAAGCCGAUACUUCAUUGUGAUAGAUGAUAUAUGGGAUAUCAAUGUGUGGAUUGAUUUGAAAAGAUAUUUUCCAGAUGACGGAAAUGGAAGCAGAAUCUUAUUCACUACUCGAAAUAAAGAAGUGGGUUUGAAAGCUUUACCUCGUAGUGUCAUAAAGGAACUUCCUUUUCUGUCAGAAGUUGAAUGUUGGGAAAUAUUACAAGAAAAAGUGUUCCAAGAUAAAAAUUGUCCUCAAGAAUUGCUAGACAUUGGCAAGCAAAUUGCAAAAAACUGUCAUGGCCUACCACUUGCAGUGGUCGUGAUAGCUGGAGUUCUUGCAAACAUGGAGAAGAAAAAACAUUUGUGGGAAAAAGUUGCAAGAAAUUUAAGUUCACAUAACUCCGAAAUACCAGAGAAGUGCAUCCAAAUAUUGCAGCUUAGCUACAACCAUUUACCAAUGCUUUUGAAACCAUGUUUUCUUUACUUCGGAGCAUUCAAAGAAGACAGGAAGAUCCCUGUGCGGAAGUUGAUUUAUCUCUGGGUUGCCGAAGGAUUUAUAAAGAAGGAAGAACAGAAGAACAUAGAGGACGUGGCACGAGAAUAUCUAAUGAAACUAAUUGAUAGGAGCCUAGUACUUGUUGUUGGAAGCACAUAUAAUGGAGAAGUCGAAGCAUGCAAGAUUCAUGAUCUAUUGCGUGAAAUGUGCUUGAAAAUAGCUAAUGAAAAUAACUUUUUGAAGUUGAUCGAACGGUAAGUUCAAUGUUUCUCUUCUUUUCUCUUUCCUUUUCGUCCAUUUUUUAUUUUAGCUUACUAAGAAUGGUUAUUAUAUUUGAUAACCAUAACAAUUAUGUGAUAUGUUGCUUUGUUACCAGUAAUGAUGAUGAUGAACAACGUUUCUUCAGUCAAGUAUCAACGUAUCAGCAGCACCAUCGUCUGAGUAUCAACUGUGCAAAAUCUUCUAGUUCACUACCCGUUGGCCUACACGUACGCUCUCUUCUAUUUGAUUCGGAUUUUUUGAGUGCCAUCAGGUUUAUCUCAUCCAGCUACAAAGUUCUUAGGGUCUUUUGGGGAUGGUCACGGAAUGAUAUUCUAAUAGGACUUGAACAUCUAGUUCACUUGAGGUACUUGGAAAUUUCAUGUAUGCUGCCACCAAUGGAAAACUUCCGCAAAUUAGAAUUUCUUGUUGUGUACAAUCAUGAUGAAAUUGAAAUACCUGAGAUCCUUCUUAAUAUGGUGAGUUUGAGACACAUGGAGUUUAAGGGCGGUGCAUACUUCAGUGAAUCUAGCCGUCAGCUAGCAAGUAACAGUAAGAGUUUCCAAAUAAAUAACCUACAAAGUAUUUUUGUACUCUCAAUUUAUGAUGAAAUGGAUGAGAAAAUUUUGAGCAGUUCACCCAACCUUUGCAGACUGGAAGGCAAGGUUGGAAAGUCAUUAAAUCUCUCCUUAGGCUUCCUUAAAAAGCUCGAAUCACUGCUGCUAUGUAAUCCACGUUUUUAUCCUUCCAGUUUGAUCAGUUUGCCCUUGAAUUUGAAAGAAUUGGGACUGAAUGCUUUAGUCGUGUCUCAAAAAGAAAUGGAGAUAAUUGGAGGAUUGCCUUACCUCGAGGUUCUCAAAUUAGUAGACGUUGCCUUUGAGGGAGAACAAUGGGACACGAGUGAAGUUGAAUUCCCACGACUUGAAUACUUGAAACUUGAAGAUAUAAAAAUUGCAGAAUGGAAUGCCUCAAGUGAUAAUUUCCCGAGACUUCAACAAUUGUUGGAAAAAAUAAUUAGUUGCAGUAGUAAUCAGAACAAUAUAAUGCAGAAAUAUAAAACUUAUCGUCCGAUCGAGUCUCGUGACAGCACGAUGUCCUAAAGUGAAAUUGCCCGUCAAUAAUUGCUGCGACCUCCGUGGACAAUCACUCCCAGGAUACAACGAUCGUAAACCAUUUGUGCAGCAAUCACGAAUGGUUUUUCUAGAACUCUCAAUUAUACUCCAGAAUAGAUAUAAAAACCCGAAUAUAAGAAAUUCACAAUAUGAAAAGAGUGAUUGAUGCAAGAUGAUUUUUUUAUUUGCUUUGUGUGUGUCUUUUCCCAAAACGAGAUAUGGGUCUAUAUAGGCAAGAUGGUAAUAACAGUUUUCACCAUGUUAAUGCAGAAUUUUAAUGACUGAGUAGUGGGUCUUUUAAUGGCAGUUAGUGAGUUGUUACAAAAACAAACAGUCAUAAAAUAUUGGCUAGUUUUACCCAUUAUAUAAUAAAAAAAAAGAAAAAAAAUAUUUAUUUUAGUCAAGGAAGUCCAAGAGCCCAAGGCCCCAAGGCCCCAAAUCAAGACAUUUUAAUAUUUGCGUGGAGAGUGAUUCGAACCCCUGACGUCCCACACAAAUGUCACAUUUCCCACCACUUUGACACUUUAUCUAAUUUGAUUAUUUCUUUCACAUUUUAUAUUUAUAUCAUAAAUAUAUAACAACAAUUAGUAUUGAAACAUUGCCGGAAUCUUGAGAUGAUCCCUUCCAGUUUAGGUGAUAUUCCAACGUUACGGAAGAUUCGGGUAUAUAUGUGUGCAAAAACUACCAACGAAUCAGCUAGGAAAAUUAAGGACGAACAAGAAAAGAUGGGCAACGAAGAGCUUCAAGUCAUAAUCACUGACAAAUAUUGGUCAGCGAGGAAAUUUAGAAGGUAAUAAUGAGAGAGAUUCUCUUUUUUAAACCUCUUUCGCAUUCUCAGCUUGGUCCUAGGUAUUUUAUGUUAUAUUAAAAUGAAACAUAAAAAACAAAUCCUACUGUAAUUUUUGCUGGCAUUGAAAUUAGGGAAAAUUUCAUAACUAAGAAAUUAAUUAUGGCACAUUUCAAAAACAAGAAAACAAGUUUCAAAUUUCCAAAAUCAGAUUUUUAUUAAAAAUUAUUUAUAAUUUAAUUAGUUAAUUAAUUAUUUUAUUAAUUAAAUAUAUUUAGGUCACAGAUCUAUACAAUUUGGUCACAAAUUAACAAUAUAAUUAGUCACUUAUUAUUUUUUGGUCACAAAUCAAAAAUUUUAUGUCACAAAAUUUUUGAAAAUUUUUUUACGAUCACUUUUCAAAAAUUUUGUAAGUCACGGUUUGUUUAUUGGUCACAAAUCCAAAAAUAAUUAGUCACGGAUUAAUUUUUAGUCACGACUUAUCAUAUUAUUGGUCACAACUUAUUUUUCAGUCACAAGUUAAAAAUUUUAUAAGUCACAUAUUAUUUUUAGAUCACGAAUCAAAAAUUUUAUAGGUCACAGAUUAAUUUUUCGGUCACAACUCAAUAAAUUAUAAGUCACAAACACAAAUUUUAUAGGUCACAUAUUAUUUUUCGAUCACGAAUCAAAAAUUUUAUAGGUCACGAAAUCAAAAUUGUUAUUAGUCACAUCUAAUUUGUCGGCCACAAAUCAAAAAUUUCUUAUGUCACAAUUCAUUGAUUAGUCACAAAAUCAAAAUUUUAAUUGGUCACAAUUCAUUUGUCAGUCACAAAUUAUAUCAAAAUAAUUGGUCACAAUUCAUUUGUCAGUCACAAAUUAUAUCAAAAUAAUUGGUCACAAUUAAUUUUAUAGUCACAAAUUAAUAAAUUACAAGUCACAAACCAAUUUAUUGGUCACAAAUAACCAAAAAAUUGGUCACAAAUACCCCGUCCAAUGCAAGUCACAAAUCGAGAGUCACAGGCGCAGUCACCAUCACCACCGCCACGAUCCAAUUAUUAGUCACAAAUCAACCAAACCGCCACGAUCACCGACACGACCACCACAAUCACCGCCACGACCAACUGUGACACCCAAAUUGUGAGUCACAAAUUGAAAGUCACAGUCACAAUUUUCAGGUCACGAGUCCAAUUAUGUGUCACAAAAUCAACCAGCAGUCACGACCACCGCCAAUCCACCACAACCACCUCGUCACCAAAAAAUCGUGCAUAUCACCACCAUCGGCCCACUAUUGUCAAACUCUGUCAAUAACAAAAACAUCCCCAUAUCCACCACCAUUUUCAUUACAAAAAACUACCACAAAAAAAGGACCAGCAACACCACCGGAUCCGCCUUUGCCAAAGUUCAGAGCCACCAUCUCAAUCACACAACCACCACCAUACCAACCAAAAAAUUCCAAACCCACGAAAACAUCCCCAUAUCCACCACCAUCACCAUUUUCAAUACAAAAACCACCACAGAAAAAAGGACCAGCAACACCACCGGAUCCGCCUUUGAAAAAGUUCAGAGCCACCAUCUCAAUCACACAACCACCACCAUACCAACCAAAAAAUUCCAAACCCGAUUCAGUCGUCGCCGCCACUGCAUCUCUACCCGUCGCCUUAUGCGUUGCUCAUGACGACGACGAGAAAGGUGAGAGAGACAGAAUGUGUUUGGGGGAUCUGCAGCCUCGCGUCACCAUCACCUAGAUUAAAUCGAAAAAUUAAAACGAGGCGGCACAGACCACAGCCUCGUCGAUUCUAUCUACUCCGUCCACAUCGGGGCGGCACCGCGCCUCAUUGCUCGCAGCUCCGCCAUCUACAGUAAGAAAUGCGACGCUGUGCUGCACCAAUUCGACAACAGGAGCAUCACGUUGCCGCCGUCGACGAUGGAGGGAGGCGCCGUUGCGGGGAGAAAUGUAGAGAGGGAUGGUUGUGGGAGAAAUGUAGGGUAGGGAGGCUUUGGUUGUUGGGAGAUAGGAUUAGGGUUUGUGAUUAAAAAUAUUUAUUUCAUAAAAAUAUUAAUUAGAAUAAAAUUUCUGACUAUUGAAAUGUCAAACCUCUGCCCUGAUUUUAGAAUUGAUGAUUUUAAUGAUAGGGUUUCGUGUAAUUUCCACUUGAAAUUAAGCCACUGUUUGGUAUGAAUUAAAUUAAGAUUUUUAGUAUUUGGGACCAAACUGGGGCUAAGUUGAUUCUAUUUUAUGAGCUUGUUGAUGUUAUUCUAGGAAUUACUAAACCAUAAGCUUCUAUGUUUGGACAUUGAUCUAUAUUAUUUCUGCAUUUCACAUUUUUUUUACCGUAAAAUCGAUUUUACAUAAAAUCCCAAUGGUCACAAUUUCACUUCUAGUUUGAUUUAGUAGUCGGAAUGAUUUGAUUGUUUAGCCCAAGUCCUCAGCUAAUUGCAUGGGAGGUCCUUCAACUUCUAAACUUGUUAUCUUGGUCCUUGAUUCUAGAUUCCAUCCAACUUCCAUUCUUCUCGAUCAAAUAUCGUCCCUUUUUAUUGUUUCCUAUUCAAUACUGGUUUUUCUCCUAAAAUAAUAAUCAAAUACACAAAAUUAAGUAUAUGCUCAUAAAAGUAUUUCCAAACCCCCUCUUUUGAUUCCUUGGAUAAGUAUAAAAUCACACUUAUCGUAGAUAUGCAAUUUCAAGAGUCGAGUGAUUUUUUCAGGGGUAAAUAGUGAUUUAAUCAUUUGUAUUGCACGUUUGUGUUCAGACAAUUUACUAAAGGACAAGUGAAUUCAAUUGUGUGAGUAAUAUGUUAAAGAUUUUAAACCAAUAGAGAUCUUGGCAUUGAUGAUCAAAUUUAGACAUGUAUUAUUGAUAUGCACACUCUAGAGAUUUUAAUAGGGUUCGAAGACCUUAAUAAUCUUGCAGAAAAAUUUGUUCUGUCUUAAAAAGGCGAACCCAUUACUUUACAGACUUGUAAUAUUGGUGUUAAUUAUUUCAGAUGCUAGAGGUGGUACGUUCUUGGCAAACAAGAUGAUCAAGAAUCGAUUGCAUAAUUGGAAGCUAGAUCAAUGGUUGAACGACACUUUGGUGGCGUAUAUUAGUACGAUGUAUUUGAUGAUAUUGAUAACGAUAAUUAUACAAUGUUUUCAAAGUAUGAAAACUUGUAGGCUACAAUUGUAGUGAUCUAUUGGCUAUUUUUAAUUAAUACGUUGUUUUAGAAAAAUUAUAUUUUAAUUUUUAAUCCUACAAUGAAAAAUGUGAGGCUUCGCAAUCAUAUUAGGCUUGACAAAACCAAUUAUCUUCAGUGGGAAAACCAAUUUCUGAAUGUCGUCAUGGCUAGUGGAUUAGAAGGUUUUAUAGAUGGUACAUCUACUUUUCCAUCAAAGUUUGUUGUACAGCUGCUCAUUGGGUCGAAAUUUUUAUUAACUUUUCAGUAUUAUGACUUCAAGCUUUUCAUUUCCCAUCUCUUCUUGUUCUUCCUGAAUUUGCUUAUCAGAUUCUUAAAUUGCUUGCUCAGACCCUCUACCAGAGAAGUUUCCCAAUCAAGAAUUUGCUCAUAAGAUUGUUGGUUAAGGGAUUCCUUCAAAUAAAAUAGAAGAAGAUGGUAAAUUUUCAUGUAUAUCAAAUUGAAACAGCAAUCUCUACAUAUAGAUGUUAGUACGCCUUUCCAAGGCGUUACAAUAUUUCUAGAACCAGCCUAGUUGAUACGAAACAAAUACAAAAAGAAAAUUUUAUUAUUCGAAAAUCUUCCACCCUGUCUAUCCCCAAAGUUCAAAACAGGAGGGGGUGUUUCUCCUUCUUCAGUAUUAUUAUGUAAUUGACUCUUCUUUUAAAGAGUUGAUUGAAUUGAUUGACUUAGACGGAUAAUAAUAUACAUGGGGGCGCCAACAAUAAAUGAUUAUGUAAUUAUACUUGCUAAUGCAAAAUAAGUAUAACUUCAUUGACAUAAACGAUAGGCAUCAUUUUUUACUGCUAUGCCAUCGAUUUCCAAGUGACAAACUAGACUAAGAGCAUUUAAACAUCUGAAUUCUUGAACACGCCAUUCUUUCAAAAGAUUUUCAAUGUGUCAAAUUUGAAUAAGGUUCCUUACUAUUCAUCAAAUUAAACUAUUGGCUCUAUCACAUUUAUCGACCUUUAGUUCAUUCUUCUGGAUGUACUCCUUAAGGGUUAUCUAACAUAUUAGGCCAAUAUUGUAGAUUACAUACUUGUCCAUGUAAAUUGAUUUAUCAAAUGAUCUUGUAAUUGUCCACCCUCAACUCCUCAAGUAAUUUGUCUUGAAUGUCCUAUAUUUCAAAAGCGUUAAAGCGUCCCUUGUGGUAUCCAGGUUCGAACAAGUAGCCAUGGACGUGUCUUCGAUUUGACAUUGAAGUACCAAGAAAUGAAAUUAAAUUGCUUACAAACUAAUUAACUCACGUCUACUCUUCUACAAUAUAAAGAUAGCUUACUUGAGCUUGGUAUUUUUCGCAACAUAUUCCAACUAAUCCAAUUUUGAAGUCAAAAAAACUGCAAAAUUGUCUAUCAACUCAAGUACAUAUUUUCUUUGAUUAAAUGUAUGCUUUAGGAAAAAAAUAAAUUGUCACGAGUUGUGUUAUCUAAUCAUACCACACUUGCCACGAUGAAAUCAAAACUUAUCGCGACCAAACUACUGUUAUACGCAACAUCAUGCACAUAAGAUCAUGAAUUUUAUACACAAAUCUUUCAGAAGUCUGCAGCUUCGAUUUUCAAACCAUAUCUGGAGGAAGCAUGAUCCACGUCUUGAAAACAUAUUAAGUGCUUUCAAAAUUGCUUUGAGCAAACCUAUCAAACGAAAUAACACGCAAUCUAAUAAAUGUUUUCUUGAUAUGAUCUGGAACCUGAGAUGUUAACCGGCAUAAUACCUUAGACAAUUGAGACAUAAAAACUAUUGUUUCGAAAGCCAGUGUCACAAGAUGGAAGUACUCUUGACCUCCUAGCUAGACAGAGGAUCAGGAUUCGUCUUCGUCCUUAUCUUCGUCCUCGUCUUCAACUUCAACUUCAUCUUCAAAAUCUACAUAAUCGACCUUUGCAACAGGAGAUGCUCACCAAAACUUGUUCAACUGUUUCAGAAUCUGAAGUCCUUUGUCAAUGACAGUGUUGAAAAUUGACCAGAUCACCAUUCUUUUCAGCUUCGGCGAUUUUUCUAUCAAAAGCUUAGUGACUGCCAUCUCAGCAACUGUGCCUAAAAUAAAAGCAGCUUCACUUUUUGAAGUCGAUUUGAAGUUACAUCUGCGUAGUCUUGCACUUACAUAAAAUCUAGAAUAGGACUAGCAUCAGCAUUUGCACUCUCACAAAUCUAGACAAUAAGGCAAGAUAUCACUCAGCUUAAACUUUUGUUUUAAAAUGGAGAAUUGAAGAUGUAAAUUGUAAUGGUCAUAUCCAUCACUUACCUCGAAUCUCAGUUCCUAAAGGUUGGGGGCGCUGCUGAUCAAACACAAAACACAAGAGAGUUCAUCCAAUAAAUUAAAAAAUAUAUAAAAUAACCUCUGAUCAAGCACAGAACACAAGAGAGUUCAUCCAAUAAACUAAAAAAUAUAUAAAAUAACCUCAGAACUUUAAGGUGGAUUAAAGUAGCUGGAAGCCUUUCUUGGACUUGACCUGCAGCCAAAAUCUUGAAAGCAGUGGUAAAAGCAUGAUCUAAUGUAGUUAACUUGACGAUUACAAGGGAUUGUAUUUAUAAUCAAAAAUACCUUAAUGACAGUAUAGUUCAAGUACACUUUCUGAAGGCCAGGCAGAGAAUAAAAAAAUGAAUGAAGUUACAUUUCCCAUCUUCCAAAAUAUUGUCAACCACCCAAUCAUUAUGUGAAGCAACCAAAAUUAUUGCAAGAAGAGUGAAUUUCUUAAAACAAAACAAUGAUGUAGGGAAACAUGUCAAUUCAAAGUGUUUUAGCAUAGGAGCAUCAAUUUCUAAGUAGUCAAAUUUGUUUGAAACAUUCAGCAACAGUUUCUCCAGUAAUGGGCAGCUAGAUAUCAAACUUCCUAAUACAUACAUCAUAAUCAAUUGUCACGUCAAGCAAUUCCAGCCAAAUCAUCCUAUUAAAUCCUUCAAAGCUUGGUGGAGGUGGAUUGAUCAAACAAGACAACAGCUUCAAAUGUUUCAAAUGUAAACACAUAAAUAGUGAAGAAGGCAAUGUGUACAGUUCUCCGCUCUUGAUUUUAAAGGUGAAUUCUUCAACACUGUUCUUCCAUAAGAUAUGUAUCAAGUCGUCAAUUUCUGAGCAAUUUUAAGUUUCAGAAUAACGAAGCUCAAUUUUGUUAUGGGUCCUUUACGAAGCAAAAGAACCUUGUAAAGGAUCAACAAGAACUUCAUUCUAGCUGAUUCUAGGUUUCCCUCAUAUUCUUGCCAUAGCGUCUCAUCAAAUCUCAGUUGGGGUAGUUUGACCCAUUUAUACCUCCAUUGUUUUGAAUACUUGUCUUUGCAGCAUCAUGUAAAGUCAAAUGCAUUAGAAUGCUAUCAGCUACAUUGUCAGUAAGGUUGCUUAUCCUAUCAACAGGUUGGAACUGGGUAAUAUCCAUUCUGCAGUGUUAUUGAAACGACAACCCUUUAAUGACACCUCACAAGUAAUAAAUAUAUAAAAAUUACCUUAGAAGUAAUAAGCAUGCACACAGUAGAUAUUAAAGAUCCAACAUGAAGGUUCCCCAUUUUCUUGCAUUAUUUUAAUAAUCCUACGCAAAAGUUUUAUCAUUUGUAUUUUCCUUAUUUUAUAUCCCAAAAUUUGAAAAAUUGGGGAUUAUAGUUUCUCAAGCAUGGAGACACUUGCCCUCAUGCGUUAGAAAUUAAAAAAUUAAAAAAUAUUGGACAACAUGUGGUGUGUUGAACACAUCUGCCUCAAGUCUCGGAAAUUUAAAAAUGAUAUAUAAAAGAAUAUACGCCAAGUGACAUAUUGGUAGUAGAAUGAGUGUCAUCCUUCAUAGCUGGUUAAAUUACCGAAACAUUCAUAUGUUACCCACCAGGAAAAUAGAGACAGGUUUCACAAUUGAAAUUUACAUUUGUACAUGCCCUCGACAAAGUGGUUGUUAAGGGAUAUAAACCCACAUCGAAUAAAGAUAAAAAUAUAGAUCAACUUAUAAGAUUUUGCGCUACUCCUGUUUAUAAGGUUGACCUUUUAAGAUGGAAUUCCCAAUCUUAACAUAUCGAAGACAUUAAGCUCUAUCAAACAAUUCGAUCCGAUUAAGAAUAAAAAAAAAAUGAGCAUACGGAUACCAAGAUUGGUUUGCUCAAAAGAGCCACAAUCUUGCGGUGGGCUUGUUAAGGAAUAUAAUCUCAUAUCGAAUAAAGAUGUAAACUUGGACUAAUUUAUAAGUUUUGGACUACUUCUCUUAACAAAGUUAACAUUUCAAGAUGGACCCAAGUCUUAAAAUGGUAUGUUAAGGGAUAUAAUCCUACAUCAAAUAAAGAUGGGAACAUAGACCAACUUAUAAGGCUCUGGACUACUCCUCUUAACAAGAUUGACCUUUUAAGAUGGACAUAAAUCUUAACAUGGUAUUAAAGCUCAUUAAGCUCCAACGAGCGAUUCGAUCCGAUUAAAACUAAAAAAUGAGUACACGAAUUUCAUGAUUGGUUUACUCAAACGAGCUAUCAUUUUGCGGGGGGUAUGUUAAGAAAUAUAAUCACAUAUAAAAUAAAGAUGAAAAUAUAGACCAACUUAUAAGGUCUUGGAUCACUCCUCUUAACAAGGUUGACCUUUUAAGAAGAAACCCAAAAUCUAAACAGUGGCAACAAAAUAUUCAUGUAGUCAAUCCCAAAUUUAUUGGGAUUAAAGUUUAGUUUGUAGUCAUAGAUGCAAAUCUAACAUAAAAAUGUGUACUGCUCUUCACAUAGUAUGCUUGAUGAUGCAGUAGUGCCUACCUGUUAUAAUUCGAUGGUUAAACUAGUUGUGAAUCCUGAUGACAGAAAGUGUGCUAGGAUAAUAGUUUGUAGAGUGUUCUAAAAAAAAAUUCUCUCUUGUAUAUGACCUAGGCGCCACUUUAUAGGUAGAGACUACUUAUGCAGAUGGUGUGUUUCUUCAUUUUAAUAAACCCGUUGCUCGAGUUUUCUCGAAAUUGAGUCUACCGUAAAAUAGGUGAUCGAAUGGAUUGACUCAGUCAGAGAAUUGAUUUAGAUAAGGAAAGAGUCUGGUCGAAUAUCUAUGUCCAGUCUGACCAUAAGUUAAGAAACAAAAAAGAAAAUCAAAAUACCGUCUAUAGCUACAAUGUAACUGCUCAGAAAAAUCUAUUGUUUGAAAAUUAGAAAAGCAAAAUAUCAAGGAAAGUUAAACUUAACAAACUGACUAAUUGCUAAACUAAUUCUAUUUACAGUAGCCUACAGAGUUGAGGGUCAUUUUUAGGAUUUUUCUUCCAUCCUCAUCAUCACCAAAGAAGUCAAUCUUUAUAUAAUGUAUGUAUCAAUAGACUAUGCAUUUUCCAUUCAACCCCACCCCAUUAAAAGAAAGAAGGCAUCUUCUGGUAGUAUACACUACUUCUGAAUCCUCUUUUAUCCUGUCAUAAUACUAAAGAUUUCACUCAUAAAUAAAACACUACACAUUUCUACAAAUAUUUCAUAUAAAAAGUUAAUGGGAGGGACCGUACAAAAACUGUUUCAAUUUAAGAAAAUAGAAUCGUACCUGUAAUGGAGAGAGUGAUGGCACCGCGGCGGAGAGGGUUUUGGGUUGCAAUCUCAAAGGAAAUUAACGCGCAAAGGGGAGCUGAACCUUCAAUGGUGGAUUAAAACACUUGGGUCUAACUUAAAAGUUGCUGACAUUUUUUGCUAACUGCUAAACUUGAUUAAAAUUUUGGGAUGUACUCAGAUUGAGAUCGUAAUGAAUUUUAAAAGUCAUUCUAAAUUUAGAUCCUUGUUUGAGCCCUAUUUUUGCCAAGAAAAUACAUUUUUAAAUAGUAUAAUGAUGUGAAAUGUAUGGUUAAAAAAUAAGGAAAAGUUUUAGAUUUUCGUGUAAUAUUAUUUUAUUGAAGAAUGUGUGGUUGAAAUGAUGUCAAAAUAUAGUUUAAGAAUGUAUUUUGUCAAAAAAAUGGGGCUCAAACAAGGGCUAGGUAUCUUCAAUUGAGAUUUUAUUGGAUUUUAAUUAAAUUCAUUAAAAUUUAGGUGUCCCCAAUUGAAAUUUUAAUGAAAUUCUUAAAAAUUUAGAUAUCCUCAAUAAUUAGUGGAUUUAUAAAGAUUUCAUUGAUAGAAGGAUUUUAGAAGAUUUGGAUGGAUUUCAAGCUUAAAAAUACAUAUAAGUAAAUCUUUUGAAAUUUCACCAUAUUUAAUUAGAUUUUUUUUUUUUUGAAAUUUGUAAGAAUCUAUUUAAAUCCACCAAAGUCAUUAGAAUUUAUAAUCAUUUAAAAUUCAUUAAAAUCUUAGUUGAGAACACCUCCGUUAAUUUUAAAUUUUAAAUAACUUCAUUUUGAAAUAUAACUAAAGACCUUGUUUAGUAGGGAUUAAAAUCAGUUUUUUAGUAAAUUUUGAUAAAAGUCAUUGAAAUGUAGCUAAAAAGUUGUAGAUCCCUUAAAAUGUUUGAUUAAAAAUAGUUAUUCACUUUGACUCAAAUAAAAAUCUAAAUUUUAAUUUGUAUCAAACAAGUUUUUAAAUAAUUAAUUACUUUUUUCUUAAUUAAAAGCAUUUAGCCCCUGGUUGGUGGGUAUUAAAAUCGAAUUUUGAGUAGGUUUUAAUAAAAGUUAACGAAAUGUAUGGUUCAAAAGUUGUGGGUCCCUUAAAAUUAAUUUUUGGUUAAAAUUAGUUAUUAACUUUGAUUUGUAUUAAAAUCUGAAUUUAUGUAUAAAAUAGGGGCUCAGUAUAAAAGUAACUUUUAUUUUACUAUAAACACAACAUGUUUGCUAGUGAGAAUGAAAAGAAAAAAGAAUAACAUACUUGGCUGAGUUUAAAAAAAACAUAAAAGUAUCUAAGAUUUACAAAACACGUCAUCUUAUCAACGUUUUAAAAUCGGACUGACCCCAAUCCGUUCAACCGCAAGAAUCGAGAAUCGAGUCCAAAACCAAAACCGAUCCAGUUAGGCUUAUAAAACCUCUAAUUAAAAAUCCAUCCCAAAACUAGUUAAACCGCAAAAAUCACUAGUUCGAUUCUGAUUCAACCUUUUGAUGCUUGACUCUCUUUUUCAAGUAAUAAGUCGGGUCGAUUCUUAAAACAUUGCAUAUUACUGAUUUGAUAUCUUUAUUAUUCAUUUUAUUUUGAUUUUCAAAUUCGCUAUAGACUUGUAUGAAAAUAGGAUUUACUUUAUUGAACUCCUCGACAAAAUCAUACCAAAUGGGGGUUGAAACAUAGCUUCUUUUGAUUAUUCGUAAGCGCCAAUUAGCUAAAAAAUUACAUUAAUAAUUUCUACUCUUGCCCUAGCUCGUCCAAAAGCUAGAUUCAUAUCUAUAUUAGUAAAAAAUAUAUUUUAAAACUAUAAAUAAAUAAUUUUUAUUAAUCAUUUUUUUCUAAUUCACUGUAGACUUGUAUGAAAAUAGGAUUUACUUUAUUGAACUCCUCGACGAAAUCAUACCAAAUGGGGGCAGAAACGUAGCUUCUUUUGAUUAUUCGUAAGCACCAGCUAGUUAAAAAAUCACAUUAAUAUUCUCUACUCUUGUCCUAGCUCGUUCAAAAGCUAGAUUCAAAUCUAUAUUAGUAAAAAAAAUAUUUUAAAACAAUAACUAAAUAAUUUUUUUUUAUUAGUUUUAUAAAUAAAUUAUGUUAUUUAUUUGAACAAUAAAAUGAGAAUUACUUUAGAUCAAGUAAAUGAUUUUAGGACAUGUUUAAAAAUAAAAAAUGACUACAAAAUAAUUAUACAUGUGAAUAUCACACUUAUUUUUUGCAUAGUUAACAAGCUUUUGUUGAUUAUUAUAUUCAAUUCUCUAUUUUUUUAGAGUGAAUUAUUCGAUUCUAUUCUCAGUUGAUUUGUGCAAUAUUUUCGUGUUAUUGGGCAAACAUUUGAAUUUUGACAAAUUUAUGAUAUAGAGUGAAAGAGGCAAAAAGAGGACUAGCUUUUGAUGGUUUAAGUUUCACUGUGACAUUUUGAUAUUGAAAUUGAAUAUAAAUUGAGUCUUUUUUUUUUUUUUUUUUUUUAAAGGGGGGAAGGGGGGGUUCCCAAGUAUGCAAAAUUAUGGUUAAAUUCCUGGAAAUUAAAUUCCCACACAUAGCUCUGCUCCCUUAAUCUUGAAUGAAAAUUUGGAAGUCUGGGGACACUUAAUUUUGUGGAAAUUUUGAUGAGAAAAUCGGACGGGAGCAAGACAAACAACCUUGGGCUCCCAUUAAAUUUUCAUUAUUUGAGAGAGAUAGAGAGAGAGAGAGAGAGAGAGUUAUUAUUAUUAUUUUUUCUCUUUGUUAGUUUAAUCCAAUAAAAAAUUUGUUCCCUUACACUACCCCUUAUUAUAUUCAUAUUUUUAUCAACUUGUGAAUGGUUUGUGAGCUUGGAAUAAAAAUAAGAUAAUUUGUCAAUUGUUGUAUUAAAAAUCAUAAAUCCAGUAGAUGGUAAAAAUAUGCUUUUAAAAUUUGUGUGGGUCUUGUAAUUGAAUUUCUUUGGGUCCUAACGCACUUUAAAUUGUUGAAACUUAUCAAGUGAUGUGGUCGUUUCACACAUUAAAGUAGGUUUAAUUUUUCUUGAAAGAGAGAUCAUCAAGUAAAUUUGAGAAAUUUGACUGUCAGCAUAUGUGAAAUUUGUCAAAGUGUAAUAGUUAAUGUUAAAAAAAUGUUUGAAUCGGUAGAUUAUGAGGAUAGCCAAUCUAAUUGGGAAGUCUCGGCUCACUCAUUACUAUCGCUAACAUCCUUACGCAAAAAUAGAACUGUAAAAUUAUAAAGUAAAUAACUUUUUUAUUUUACGAGAAUUAUUAAGAAAAUAAGUUAUUAAUUUUAACAAUAAAUUAGCACAUGUUUAAAAGAAAAACAAAUAUAAGGUUACGGAUUUGAAAAUAUAUUUUUUAAAUUGAAAAUUUAAUCCACAACAAAAUCAUAGAAACACUACGUGUAAAUGAUCAAGAUGUCCAUUAACAUGCUCCUUUUAUGGUGAAUUUCAAUGUGUAUAUUGUGAGUAUGUCUAGACAUAAGAUACCUUAGCUAAAAAGUUGAUAAAAAUUUAAGUUUGAAAAGUCAACAAUUAACUUUAAUCACACAUUUCUUAGGAUCUUCAAUUUUUAUCAACUUUUCUAUCACACAUUUAUCGACUUUAUUAAAAUUUACUAAAAAUAUAAUUUUUAGCUAAAUCAAAUGGGGGCUAAUUCGUAUGUAGUAACAUGCAAUCCAAUGCGAACACUAGAAGUCAAUCUAUGAAUUUUCGAAGCUAUUAUACCUUUGAUUUUACCCCAAUACAAGGAAUCCACAUAAAAUCUUAAACUCAACCAAACAGGAGCUAAUUUGUAUCCAAUAGCAUGCAAUCCAACGCAAACAUUAGAAGUCACUAUAUGAAAUUUAAGAACUAUAUACCUUUAAUUUUACCCAAUACCAGAAGUAAAGCAUUCGUCCACGGCUAGCAACAAUUAAGCCCUUGUUUGAGCCACAUUUUGGGGGGAAAUCUAUUUUGGAAUAGUUUAUUUUUAGAGAAUGUGUGAUUAAAAAAUAAAAAAUAAAAGUUUUCGAUUUACGUGUAAAAUUAUUUUAUUGAAUAAUGUGUGUUUGAAAAUAAAUUUUGAAAAAAAAAUGAGUUUUUGAUAAAAUGGGGCUCAAACAAGGACUAUGUGCUUCACCAUUGCAUUGUGUCUACUUGCUUUUAUAUUGAUCUAUCCAACGAAGUAAGGCAUUAGCUCAAGAAGACUUUUCUUAGCCCCCGUUUGUUUUUCAUUUUUGGAAGAAUGAGAAUGAAAACUAUAGGCGUUAUGGGUUCCACACAAGAGAUAGAAAUUCAAAUUCGAUGGCUUGAUGUGAUGGAUAACGAUCGUAUUUUUCAUUUUAAUGAUGAAAAAAUGGAAACCAAACAGGGGCUUUAGACAGUUUGAAAUCUGAGAUAUAGCUCGCAUAAUAUUAUGCGCCAUUCAGAUAAAAGAGAGAGGGGAGGGGGAUUUUCUAGUCCCAAGAAGCCCACGUCAUAAGAUUUCAAGAACUCUUGACCUCCUUGAGCUAGUAGCUGAGCCAAUAUUAAGCUAAACUACUAAAGUUCAUUUUCAUCCAAAGCUUUAAAAAUGACAUUUGCAUUUGGUGAAGGACUAAUCGAACAAUUCCAGUGUAAUUAGUAUCAAUGAUGACAUCAAGCAAUUCCAGUGUAAUCAGCCUAUUAAAACCUUUGAAGCUUGGUGGAGGACUAAUCAAACAAGAAGAAAGUUUCAAAUGUUUCAAUAGUGAACACAUAAACAGUGAAGAAGGCAAUUUGCACCUUCAUUUUCAAAAUGAAUUCUUUAACACCUUUCUUCCAUAAGAUAUAUAUCAAGUGUUCAAUUUCAGAACCACCUCUGAGUUUUGGAAUGUAGAGAAUGAAGUCAGCAAAACUGAAUUCAAGGCUGAAGAUCAGAACCAAAAUUACAGCAACAGAUUUGGUGAAAUUAUAGCAGCAAAUCAGGAGCCUAAUCACAGCGGCAAAUUUGAUGAAAUACCAGCAGAUCAGGAGCUUAAUCACAGCAGUAGAUUUGAUGCAAUCUCAACAAAUCAGGAACGUAACAGAUGAGGAAGAUUCGAUCCUGCCAUUAUGUUAAAAUUGUAUAACUGUAAAGAUUGGUUGUAAAAUUUCUUUAUAAAUAUACUGCUGUACAUAUACAAUUGAAUUCAAUAAAAACAGAGGAAUUAAUUCCUUUACAUGGUAUCAGUAUAGCCAUCAACAGACCAACGUCUAAAUGUCUUCCUCCAAUUCUUAAACCCAAUCUCCCUCUGUUAUCUCCAUGCCUAAUAUUUCUACUAUCAAACUAACCCAGGAUAAUUACCUUCUUUGGAAGGCCCAGAUGGUAUCAUAUUUCAAAGGUUAGGACCUCUUUGGUUACCUCGACGGAACCACACCAAAACCACCGAACUCAGUUUCUGCAUCCCACCCUGAAACCAAUGUUGUUUCUGAAACACUCAAUCCGGCUUACUCUCAAUGGGUCAAGUAUGACAACCUCAUUCUUAGCACUCUCAUAUCUUCUCUUACCGAAUGAGUGCUUGCUUAGGUUGUUAAUUAUACCUCUUCCCAUGAUGUCUGGUCUGCCUUAAAUGAAACCUUUUCCUCAAAAUCUCGUGCACGCAUUGUUCAAAUUCCCACACAACUGGCCACUGCUACUAAAGGUAGUAAAUCUGCCACUGAAUACUUUCACUUCACCUUGAGGCUGGGGGACGAACUAGCAAUUGCAGGCCAGCUAAUGACACGAGAUGAUAUUAUCGCAUAUAUUCUUGCAGGUCUUGGCCAUGUAUGACAGUUUUGUGGCCUACAUUUUCGCUCGCACUAAUAGUGUGACACUUGAAGAAAUUUAUUUUCUUUUAAUAACCACAAAAGCUCGUCUUUCUCGACACCAACUCACUCCAGCAAUUCAACAAAUUCUGCCAACUUUGCUCAAUGCCAAUCACAACCAUUUGCAAGAAAUGGCCAUGGUGGCCCUCGAGGAAGAGGACGAAUCCAUCGUGGUGGCUUUAACUCUUUCAAUCGAAACAAUGAUCAUUCAUCUAUUAUCUGUCAGCUCUGUGGUAAGUCUGGACACUCAGCUCGUAAAUGUUAUCAUAAAUUUGACCUUUUUUAUCAGGAUGCUCCAAAAGACACACCCAAGCAAGCUAUGGUUGCCGUGAAUAAUGGCAAUCCUAAAAAUUGGGAGACUGAGUGGCAUGUGGAUACGGUGCAACCCAUCACCUUACAAAUGAUGCUUCCAAUCUAGACCAAUAGAACAAUGCAUAUAAUGGUUUAAAUACCGUUCAAGUGGGAAAUGGUAAAGGUUUGCACAUCUCUAAAACUGGCUCUUCUAAAUUCAAAACCCCCUCAUCCACCUUUGUUCUUAACCAAGUCCUUUUAGUUCUUGAGAUUCAAAAGAAUUUGAUAUAUGUUCAGCAAUUUUGUAAUGACAAUAACGUUUAUUUUGAAUUUCAUGCUCACUUCUUUCUUGUGAAGUAUUACUUGGGGAAGGUCCUUCACCAAGGAUAUCUCAAUGAUGGCCUCUACAGUUUCACAAACAAAACAAGUCUACCUCAAGCACACUCCAGUAUUCGAGUUUCAUUUCAUAAUUGGCAUCGUAGGCUUGGUCAUGCUCUAAUCCCAUAGUCCACAAAGUUCUCUCCACUUUCAACGUUCCAGUAGAGAAAAAUAAAUUGCACAUUGUGUGCCCUGAUUGUCAAAUGGCUAAAAGCCAUAAUUUGCCCUUUAAAUUAUCUAUGUUUGUUUCUUCAAAACCCUUGGAUUUAAUUUUUACUAAUGUAUGGGGACCUGCUUCUAUUGCUUCCACUAUUGGUGCAAAAUAUUAUGUGAGUUUUCUGGAUGAUUAUUCCAAAUUUAUUUGGUUAUUUUCUCUUAAACUCAAAUUUGAUGUGGAACAAGUUUUUCUUAAUUUCCAACAAUAUGUGGAGAAACAUUUUGAAAGAAAAUAAAAGCCAUCCAAUCCGAUUGGGGUGACGAAUAUAGGCGGUUAAACACAUAUUUUAAAAACACAGGCAUCAACCAUCAUCUAGCUUGUCCACAUACACAUCAACAAAACGGGUCUAUUGAAAGAAAACAUCGACACAUUGUCGAAGUUGGUUUGAGCAUGUUGGCACAUUCAAAUCUCCCAAUGAUCUAUUUCGAAGAUGCCUUUCAAACUGCAACUUAUGUGAUUAACAGACUUCCAACGAAUGUUUUAGACCAAAAAUCACCAUUUGAGAUGAUAUACAACCGUGUUCCUGAUUACAAAUUUAUGCGUGUGUUCGGGUGUGCAUGUUGGCCUAACUUGAGGCCUUACAAUCAACAUAAACUCAAUUUUCAUUCAAAAACAUGCAUUUUCAUUGGCUAUAGUCUUUGCCAUCAAGUGUACAAGUGUCUUGAUCUCUCUACUGGUAAGAUCUAUGUCUCAAGAUAUGUCAUUUUCGAUGAAAACCUUUUCCCCUACACUUUCAAAAAUAAACUUCAAAAUCCCAGUCAUCAUGUUUCGAACACUAUCCUUCUUCCCUUGCAAAUUAAUUCUUCCCCAUCCAUAAGUUUCAGAGAUUUGCCUCCCAAUCCGAUUCCCACAAGAAUUGAAUCUGCCCCAUUAUAUUCUACUUCUGCAGGAAUAGAUUUUGGAACCUCUUCGCACCCAGCAACCAAUGCACUUUGACUUUUCUGAUGCAUUACAAGAAGAUGAACAGCCGCUCCUACAAAUACUCAUCCCAUGCUCACCAGAUCAAAGAAUAAUAUCCAUAAGCCUCAGCAACUAAUUGAUGGCUGCACUCGGUAUCCUUUAUCGAGAGCUUUGAUAGCAGAAACAAUAACUCUGGCAAAGGAGCCAACUUCAUAUACUGAGGCCUCCAAAUCAUCUCAUUGGCGAGAUGCUAUGAAUAAAGAAUUUACUGCAUUGCUACAAAAUGGCACUUGGUCUUUGGCAUCACCUUCAACUAACACCAAUGUUGUGGGCUGUCGUUGGGUGUUUAAAAUUAAAAAGAAGGCAGAUGGAACCAUUGAACGUUAUAAAGCACGACUAGUCACUAAAGGAUUUCACCAACAAGAAGGUGUCGAUUUUUAUGAAACUUUCAGUCCAGUCAUCAAACACACAACUCUUCGGCUAGUGCUUUCUCUUUCCAUUUCUUAUAACUGGCCUAUAAAGCAAUUGGAUGUACAAAAUGCAUUUUUGCAUGGUGAGUUACAGGAGAACGUGUUCAUGUCACAACCCCAAGGCUAUAUUCAUCCACAAUAACCAAAUCAUGUGUGUAAAUCACACAAGUCGCUCUAUGGAUUGCGGCAAGCCCCAAGAGCAUGGUUCUCAAAGCUCUCUGACAAACUCAAAUCUUUGGGCUUUCAAGAAAGUAAAGCUGAUACUUCUCUUUUUAUUUUUCGAAAAUUAGCUAUUAUUACUUACAUACUCGUAUAUGUGGAUGAUAUUUUGAUAACGGGGUCAAAUUUAGAUGCAAUCACUUACGUGAUUAAAUGCUUGAAAAAUACUUUUGCUGUCAAAGACUUGGAUGCACUAAAUUUCUUUCUUGGUGUCGAGGCACUUCGGUGUUCAGAUGGAAUUUACCUCACUCAACGCAAGUAUAUUGUUGAUUUACUCAAAAGGAGCAACAUGGACAAAGCAAAACCUUGCACGAGUCCAAUGGCCCCUAAUUGUCAUCUGACUUCCACCGAUAGACAUCCUUUUGAAGAUAUAAGUCUCUACCGAAGCAUCGUAGGAAGCAUACAAUAUCUAUCAUUCACAAGGCCUGACUUAGCCUUCACAGUACAUAAAGUCAACAAAUUUAUGCAUCGACCUCUUAAUACACAUUGGAUGGCAGUCAAGCGCACAUUGUGCUAUCUUAAACACUCGGUAUCCACUGGUCUCUACAUCACCAAAGCUCCUGAUAUGAGGUUGCAAGCUUACUUAAAUUCUGAUUGGGCUGCUGAUAGAGAUGAUCGACGCUCGGUUGGUGCUUUCUGUGUCUAUAUUGGCCCCAAUUUAAUAUCUUGGAGCUGUAAGCAGCAGCCCACAGUUGCAAGAAGCAGUAUCGAGGCUGAAUACAAGACACUAGCAAACACAGCAUUCGAGCUCACUUGGAUAAAAUCUCUUCUCUUUGAACUUGGUCUUUCUCAAACACAGCCACCAGUUCUUUGGUGUGAUAAUAUUGGAGCCACUUACCUCACCUCAAAUUCGGACUUUCAUGCAAGAACGAAGCACAUAGAAAUUUAUUUUCACUUCGUACGAGAUCAAGUUUUCAAUAACCAAUUGACGGUUCAAUUUAUUUCAAGCCGAGAUCAGUUGGCAGAUGUGCUUACAAAGUCGUUACCUCCAUUAAAGUUCAAGUAUGUACUAGACAAUCUCCAUGUCCGUGAACUACCCUCCAGAUUGAGGGGGCAUGUAGAGAAUGAAGUCAGCAAAACUGAAUUCAAGGCUGAAGAUCAGAACUGAAAUUACAGCAACAUAUUUGGUGAAAUUAUAGUAGCAAAUCAGGAGCCUAAUCACGGCAGCAAAUUUGAUGAAACACCAGCAGAUCAGGAGCUUAAUCACAGCAGUAGAUUUGAUGCAAUCUCAACAAAUCAGGAACGUAACAAAUGAGGAAGAUUCGAUCCUGCCAUUAUGUUAAAAUUGUAUAGCUGCAAAGAUUGAUUUUAAAAUUUCUUUAUAUAUAUACUGCUAAACAUAUACAAUUGAAUUCAAUAAAAAUGGAGGAAUUAAUUCCUUUACAUGGAAUAAUGAGGCUCGACUUUCAUAAGAUACUGAGAUGACCUUUCAGCAUUUAAUAUCUUGUAACUAAAAGUUUUAUUGUCUGUCAAAGAAUAACAGUGAUGUUUAUCAUCACUUGGUUUUUUGCAAAGUGGCACUAUUAUAUUAUUUGUUGCAGUAAUGGCUGUAGAUUUGUUAGGGUGAGAAGGGAGGAAAAUCAUGAAUUGAAGGCAAAAUUAAUUUUUUCCCCUACUGUUUUCUCUUUCUUUGUAAUACUAUAACGCAAGGAGUGACAUUGCAGAUAGAUAUCUACAAAAGAUGGCUGCACAAGAAGGCUCGCCUAUUAAUUUUUCUAUGAGCUCGUACGCAUUAAGAUGCCGAUACCUGCUAUUUUCAUCAAUUUCCUACAAAGAUUACGGAAGCUCCUUUGAAUUUUCUGUGUUAGAAUCUAUGUGUUGGUAAUAAUUCAUUUGUUUUCUUUUAUUCCAAUUUGAAGGCGUGAUUAUCUGAAUAGAUUGUGUCCGGGCAACUCUAAUGAGAACUUCAGAUCUAAAGUUCCUACAAGAAUGUAUCUCGCUACUGGUGAUGAAUACUGUUUGUACACUAAUGAGGCACAUUUUCAAUCAAAAGAUGUCUUUUGAAUUGUUUCAGAUGCACUAGAAAAUUCGAUUUGUUGUUCUUCAUCUUGUUUCUAGAAAUUUCCGUGCUACAUUUUUGAAUGUUUCGUUGAUUGGUAUAUUUACAAGCAUUCCAAAGUAAACCUGUUUGUGAAUGUAUGGAUGAGAAGACAGUUGGAAAGUUCUCUGGGUACUUGAGUUGACUUUAUAUUCAGUUUCUCAUGAAUAGUGUUUUCACAUGUCUAUCUUUUGCUCUCAACAGAUUAUUGACAUUUAGAUUCAUAAUUUGGCACUGAUAAUAUCACUAGAUGGUAGUUUUGUAGCUUGUAUGGUAGUAUUUCUCAUCGUUCAUGGACAUUUUCAUUUAAUUGCUUCACAUCAUUUCUUGAGAACCGAAUAGGUUAGAUGAGUCAUGGUGUUGGUACAGUUGUUUGGUUUUACACGAACGGCUGGAUGGUUCAAGACAUCGUGUUCACCAACUAGCCUAGUAAAUCCGAUUGUAUUCAACUAAAGAAGGUUCAAGGCCACAAGCUACCUAUCUUGAUGCUACGACUUGUCGUGUGUACUCCGUUUGUUAGAGUCUGCAUUUCAUUUUCAUUGCAUUCGCUUUGUGUUGCGCAUAUCGAGGAAUUUCCAUUCAUGUGGGGGAUUGUUGGAUAUUGGUUAAAUAAAUUGAGAAUUGAAAAUCGAUUAAAGUUCGUAUCGAAUUCGGCCAAAUACUCAAAAGCUCGACUCAAUCCGUUUAGGCAAAAUUGUUUGCCACUUCGCCGCUUCGGGGCGCACAAACGGGGAUCGACCUGCCCGGUCAGGUCGCGAGGGUCGAGGGGGCAGCGCCCCUCGUGGGGGGUCGGGGGCAACGCCCCCGAAAGAGAAUUUUGAUUUCUCUGCAUGUAUUGAAGGGUAUAUUUGGCAUUUCGAAAACCAAUAUCGGAUGAAUGAGAAAUUACGAAAAAGACCUCAACCAUUAGUGAAUAGACACCUUUUCAUAAAGGUGCAUUGUUUGGAAAUGGUGCAUGGUUUGGUCUCAACCAUUUCGUCCACACCCCUUCAUGGUCUAUAAAUAGGACCCUUUGGGUGUCCUAUUCCUCACAGUUUGAUAUGCAAAAACGUCUCUCAUCCUUUCUUCUAUCCAAAAUCAAAAUCAUUUCAUUUAUUUUGAUUUUCUUUCAUUUCAUCUGUGGAGUACAUAAGCCUACAUUGGGUUCGUUGUACUUGUGUUUUGGAGUGCUACAAACACAAGUGUAGCCGUUGUAUCUUGGGAGUCGAUUGGCGAAAUCCGUAGGCACCGUUGCGGGGCAAAUUCGACUUAAGGACAAAGAGUCCAACUCUUGCCUCGGCUUUGUCACCAUCAUUAUACUUAUUUCGGCGUCACUUUUCACAAAAUUCUUCCAACAGAACUUGUAUCCUCGUGAAUUCAAUUUUUCUUUUCAUCAUUUGCUACUGCCAUAACAGUGACUAAUAUGGAUAAUUGUUAACGUGCCUUUGCUUUUCCUUAGGAAAACAUUGCAUGAUACUUGCAAUUGUCUUUACACCUGUAUAUGACUUAAAAAAUCUUCAUUUUGUAUGUGAUGUCUCAGGUUUUUGGAGACUUUGCCAUUGAAAAACGGUGCAAAACUUGGCGUCUUGAGGUCUGUUCCUACUCACUUUGAUCUCAAAGCUGUAUUCUAUCCUUCUGGUCUACAUGUAUAACAUGGAUUAAACAGCAAUUUCAGAUUGCGCGAUUGAUGUAUGAAGUUGAUGGAACAGGGUUCUCCAAAUCAUGGAUUUGACGCUCUAAAAGCACCUAGCUCUAGAUGAGUCUGUUGAAGAAGUUUUGGAAGUCCUGCAGGAAUAUGCUCGAUUAGUCCAAGGACUGUGGGUUCCAAAGAGUUCGCUGGGACAUGGAACAGAUUCAGGAAUUGAAGUUUUAGCCAGGGACUAUGUUCUUCUAUUGUUUAGAAAGAAUCCACUAGGUUAACGACUGACAAAGACCUCAACGUCCUCAACUUCCUAAAGCAAUGAAAGAUGUCCUAAAUGUAUUGGCGUUGAGAGACCCACCCUCCUUCAGUGAUUGGCAACUCAGAGAUCUUCUUGAUCGAAGAUUCAUAAAACUCGAUCCUAUUGUUGCAAAGAAAUAAGAAGAAGAAUGGGAAUCCUUGGAAAAGAAGAUAAAUGAUCUUCUGUUUGGAGGAAGAAACGGACCUGGUACAAAGACUUCUUCAAAGUCUAAUGUCAUGAACAAUCCGGUCACGUCAAUGAGUUCCAGUAAAUUAGCUCUCAAAACUCCAAAUGAGGCAUCCUUGAGGACGCCAAUGCCAAAAGAGACUCGAGAAGCUUUAAUGAAGGCCCUUCAGAAACUUUUAAAAGGCAUCAAGGUUUGCAGGUGAGAUCACUUUAUUACAUCAAGCCUUUAGUUUCAAAUAGUAGUUAUAUGUGGUCAUAUUUUUUAUUGAAGAUAGUUAUCGUCACUGCAUUAAAAGUAUUCUAAAUCACUAGGUCACAGUUAUAUUGCAUUUUAUUUGAUUAGUAUUUGACAAUUUUCUUUGCAUGCAAUAAGUGUUGCUGUGACCUUGACAUUCAUGGCCUGGCUCAUUAAAAAAAUUGAGACACAGUAUAGUAAGUAGAAGAGAUGAGGAAGACGAGUGGUCUUGUGAAUUAGUUCUCUGCUUGCACUUAGGACACUAGUAUGAUUACAUUUUUGCAUUAACUGGGCUGGAGCAAUUGACACUGUUUAACAAAAUGCCAAUGGACCAUAUUUAAACAUUUUUUGCUAUUAUUACUUUUGUAUUACUUAUAUUCUCAAUGCAAACGCAAAGAAACUAGUUUGAAUUUUCUUAUUUAAUCAAAAUUUAAUUAAGCUAAUGUGCCCUUUAAUCUAGGAAACAUAACUUCACGCUUAGAGUGUUAUGGUUAUCCCGUGGCAGUUUAGUUUGAUUGUCAAUAGAUAAAAUUUUACUUGGCGCUGUGUAUGCCAGUUUUCAACAAAUUUGCCAGCGUUUGAGGGACUUGGCAGAUUCUGAGUCCGCCCGUUCGAGGGGAUUUGCCAAAGAGACAGUUGCUGCAGCAAACAGCAUUUGUGCUUUUGCUGAUGAGCUUCAGGCAAUCAUUAGUCGAUUUGCAUUUAAUAUUCAUGGUGUCUAUGUUCCAAAAUUACUCCAGAUCAUCCACAAUAUGAUCCAUUCAGGUUACACCUGCCUUCAUUUAUUUUGGUUCUAGAACAUUGAUAUUUUUCUUUUAUUAAGUUCUCUUUAUAAGAAAGGAUCACCAUUUUAUAUUGUUCAUUAUUGAUUUGUGGUUCUUUCUCUUCCAGGAAGGUUGUCAUUGAUCUUCUUAUUGCUGAAGGACCAAAAGCAAAACUCAAAGAGGUUCCCAUAGUCGAGGCUGCUAAGAUGGAACUUAAAAGGGAUAUACCUCAGAUUGGAUAUCAGAAGGUCAGAGUCAAGCUUACAGAUUAAUUAUGACGAAAUUGUAAUUAGGUGUUGAGAUCAAACACGCUCUCUCCUUGACACCAUUCAGGCGAACUUACUAAUUCCUGAAAUUUUUUUAAUUAGGUUUUGAUUAAUUUUUGAGGCCUUACGAAAGCACAAACAAGAUUGAGAAACUGAGGAGAUUGUCACAGGAGAUAUAGGAGAUUUCCACUCUCAUUGUGUGGGGGUGUGUGGUUGAGAGGGAGGUAGCCCUAUUUGCCUUGCCCUUAAUCUGGCAUCUAUCUUACCUGCCUAUCAUGACAGCUUCCAAUGUUUUUCCUUCCUAUGAAAGAUUCUUAAGCGUUUCACAACCUUUGUCACUCACUUCUUUUAAAUGAGCAGUAAGGACUUAAUCUAGCAUUAUUCUCAUGAGAGGAAGCUAAGCAAUGGAAUUAUAAAGCAGAGAAAUGUGUAGUGAAUAUACUUUUGAGAGCUGGUGAUAUGUGAUGUGAGGAAAGAUAUAUUAUGCUUGCUCCUAGAAGUUUCCCCAUGCAUAUGCUCUUAAAAUUCCCUCAAUAAUUUAGAAUACUCUUAGUGACCACCGAGCUAAUUUUCUGAUUCUCGUGUGAAUGUCUCAAGUCAGACCUCCUUGUGGGAAAAAUAUAUAUACACAUGGUUUCCUGAGCACACAGUCUUAUAGUUUCUUAUAAGCUUCCUAUGCCGAACCUUAGUUACUGGGAAAAGAACGGGGAUAUAUUUUUCUGGUCAUGUCCUCUUCACUGUCACUCUUGGUAUGUUCCAGCACUUCAAGAUAAAUAUUAAUUGACCUUUUGAGCCUCUUGUCCUCUUCCCUAUUAUCGUCGAUGGAAGCCUCAAUGACUUAUUUGUGAUAAAUUGCUUGCUAAUUUAGGUUAUGUAUUCCCUUAUGUGCUGCAGGUUUUACAGGAACUAUGUCUAUCACAAGGUUUUGAAUGGGUCCUUAAAAGUGGCGAUGGAAAUCCACAAAAGUAAAGUUCAUGCAACCAAAUUCUACGUUAGUCUACGAGGUAAGAAUUAGCAUAUUUACUAUGUAUUACGAUAAGUAAUAAAGUAGACACAUCUCACCACAAGACUUAAUGGAAAAUUUCUAAAUUGCAUGAAAUUCUUGAGCUUUGUGUUCAAGAAAGAAAAUCUCUGCUUAUUCUGUUUACAUGGAUCAUUGUGAUCUGUUGUUGUUUGUCUGAAUUUACCCUUAAGUGCCUUGGUAAUCGAGUUGAUGUGAUGUCUGAGUUUUGCAGUUUGAAAAGAGGAUUUACAUCGUUCCUUGAAGUUAUAUCAGUGCAUAGCAUCAGUUUAAAUCAUCCUUGAAUAUUGCCUAAUUGAUUCUCAUCACAUAUUGGAAUUUGAAAAGUUAAUAGGUCUGUUUAAUGUAAAUGCAGAAGUACAUAUACACAGAACAAGGAAUGUGUGUUUAUAUAUACGUAUUUGUGUUUAAACUACUAUUAAGAUGGCUGAGGUACAAAAGUCAUUUGUUGAAAAUGGUAAGGAACCUGUUUCUUUGGAAGCAGCAAGGGAUGUAUUCUUGAUAUCUCGAGUGGCUCUUUGAACAUUCAACCUUCAGUGCAGCUAUGAUGAUUUAAAAUAUACAAAGGAUACCAAAUACACUGGGGAUGAGUGUUCCAUGUAAUUAAACACAUUAAUAUAUACCAUCAGAAAUAAUAUUUUGUUAAAUAUAUAUGAUUUCAUGCUGCUACAAUAUUGUAUCCAUCUGUUAUCAUUAAUUCUUUUUCCCUUUAAAAUGUUCGGCCUUAUUGUCACUUGUCAAUACCGUGGUUCAUCCAAACAAUUCAUAUUUGAUAUUGACGAAAAUGAAAAAUUAUAAUGACUUGCAAAUGUAUUAAUUCUCUUAAAUGAAUUAAAGAACCUUAGUGCUACAACCUUACUCGUGGUCGUGGUUGUCGUAUUCAAUUUAAUUUUGUGCACCCAACCCUUGUACCUAAGUCGAAGUGAUGCAGUAGACACCUCGUGCUAUCAGAAUUUUCUUACGAGUGCCUUUGGAAAUUAAACCUUAUAUGUGGUAUCGUGUUUGCAGGUGCUACACCAUUAUUAUACUUCUCUGCCAACUUUAUUUAUUCACUAUCUGGAAUUCUAUUUGGCCGGAUUAGGUCACCAGAGUAUGAUUUGCUAUCUAGCAUGAUCUUGUAUGGAGUGAUGAUCUCAGACCAUAGGAAGGCAGGCAAGAUAAAGAAAAAGACAAUAGAUCUCGAAAUUUAACUUCCUUUACAUAUAUGGUUAUUCAUUGUACAGCUAAAUUAGUCUCUAAGCCAAGGAUCGAUGAGUCUUUUCCUUGUGUUGGCUAUUGGUUGACUGGGCAUUGUAAGAAUCUUUUUAGAGGGUAAUUUUUCAUGUCCAUUGCUUCUAACGGCUCUUCUCUCAACAUUGAUAUAGGGUAUAAUAUUGAAAUGUUGUGAACUCUUUAAGUCCCUCAAAGAAACCCAAAUGUCGAGUUGUUUAAUGGCUUGUUUGGUUGGACUUUGAAAAAGUCAAAGCUGUUUAUAAGAUUAUCGAUGUUUUUGGAUAAUUUUUAGAAAAUGAUUUGACUGGUUUGAUGAGCCUUUUAAAAUUGAUAACUUUUUACAAGUAAAAGUCUUGUCAAACAGGUGUUAAAGUAUAAGUCCUGUUAAUUGAGUUGAGUGAGGAUUAGUUUGUUAUACUAAAAUGUGCUUUUUAUAAUAAAAAGUGGACUAAAGUAGAUCAUGAUAAAUUGAUCUAUAAACAGCCCAUCUAACUUUAAAAAAAUCGAGUCAUUUUUACAUUGACAUUCAGUGCAUGUUUGGGAAAGUUAAACGGUUGAUUUUGUUAAAAGAAGUGGAAGGUCUUUUGAAAUGAGUGGUGGAAAAGAGAGUAAUACUGGUGAAUUUUGUGUAAUGUAAGAUUACUAUUAAGGGUGGUUAUAUUAUCAUCACAAUAAAUGUUUGGUACCCUAUAAUUUUCUUAUUUAUUUUAAAAAAUCACUAGUAAAAUGACAUAAGUACCCUAUCUUUUAUUCACUAAUAUAUUUAUUCAUACAAUCACUAUCAUCCGCACACAAAAAAAUACCUAAAGUCCUAUUUAAAGAUACAAAUGCCAAGAUCAAAAGAUCCAAGAUUGAAGAAAAGAGCAAGAAAUUUUAGGAUAUGGUAUAGGCAUUUUAGAAUAUUUAAUCUAUUAUUUUAAAAGUUCGCUAUAUUUUUCUGAAGAAACUCGUCAUUAUUGUGGAACAUGCCAUUAUACAACCUGCAAGAGGCAUUGGAUUUGGAGGCUAAAUGUUAUAACCCAUUCACUUAUAGUCAAAGUCAGGAAAAUUAUUUAGUCAAAGUCCAAAAUUCAAUUGGUUAAAGUCAAUUUCAAAUAGGGAUUUAAAUGAAAUAAAUUAUUUUAUUAGGGUUUAAUUUAUUAUGAAAAAUAGUUAAAGGUUUAAAAUGGAUAAAACUUAAUUUUAGGGAUCUACUUAUAUAUUAUUGGAAGUAAAGGACUAGAUGUUAUAUUAAAUUGAAGAAUAAGGACUUCCUAUGCAAAAAUGGGUUGUGGAGUGCAUGUGGCAAGUAAUUAACCCAUUACCAUUUUCAUAUGAUAUAUACAUACGGAGAGAUGAGGCUGGAGAUGGGCAGAAGCAAGAAAAACCAAGAAAGAGAAGGAAAAGGAGAAAAAGAAAGGGAGAGAGAGAGAGAGAGAGAAAAGGAGAAGAAAAGGAAGUGGGUCUUCAAGCUUGGAUUCUCCAUUUCUUCAUUGAUUUAGAGAGGUGGGUGUAAGUAGGAUGAGUUAUCUUUUUGAGUUUAUGGAAAUUUUCUAAAAUUUAAGGUUUAGCAAAAUUAAUGAUUGUUGAUAUAUGUUUGAGGCAUUAAAAACAACAAUAAUAUUAGUGUUGAAAGGAAGGAAAUGUGAAAUGGGUUUGUAAAUUAGAGUUCCAAUCUUUGAAUUAUUGUGUUUACACUUGAUUUAUGAUGAAUUAGAGUGGUGAAAAAAUAUUUAGGUUAGAUUUUGGUAUUUAUAAUAAAUUUUCGAGCAAAAUUCAUGUGCAGUUGCUAUUCAUGAAAUUCUGCCCAGAAAAGUGCCAUUUCUGUCAAUGGUUUUGAUGCCAGAUUUUAAUAUGCAGAAAUUGGUGCCAGGUUUCAAUUUUUUGGGAUUUUAGUGCUGUUUUUGACAAAACUCUUUUUUUUUUUCAGAUUUUUAAAGGCUUCAAUGAAGUUAUAUGAUAAGUAUUGAGGUUUAUGUAUUGGAAUAAAUUAUGUAUAGGGCUUGUAAAUGUAUAAGUUAAUGAUUUUAAGGAAGUGUGGUAAUUUAAUAGAUUUGAUAAUGCAUGGUGUUUAGUCGAUGAAUUAAUAAAGAGAAUAAAAGUUGGGGAUUAGAGAUGUAAGAGUAAAUAUAGAAGUUGAGGAGUUAAGUGGUGGAAUUGUAUUGAUUUAAUUGUCAAGUUUCAAUUUGAGUAAUUAUUAUACCGUUAUUUCAGGUAGUGACGUGAAAACUUGAAAAGACUUGUCAAUUUAGCUAGAUUUCUAUCCAUAAAUCUGUGAAUGGAAAAAAGAUAAAUAUUUUUAAAGUAUUUAUAAAUUAAGUAUAUUGUUAAAGUAUGUGCAAUUAUGUUCUCGAAGUAUAUGGUUAUUAUGAAAAUAUCUUUUAUUACGAUACAUGUGAUAUUUUAAAGAUUGUAUAUGGUACAUUGUGAAUUGGAAUAUCAGAUAUGAUUUUGAAAUCGACCAAAAAAGUACCCGUGAUUAUAUAUUUCUUCUAGUUCACUGAGGAGCCUUGGCCAUGUUCUAUACUACACUGAAGGGUUUUGGACCGGGGAUGAAAGAGUCUCGACCGUAUACAUAGGGUUGCACAAAAAAAAUAUGAAACCGCAAAUCGAACCGAAACCGUUGAGUUGAAACCAUUGGUUCGGGUCCACAUGGACCCAUGGUUUCUUUUUCGUCAAACCGAACCAAACCGUUUCAAAAUAGUUUGAUUUAGGUUUUGAUUUUCAAAAAUCGCACAAACUGAACGGAACCGUUUUUAAAUUUUUUAAUUAAAACAUUAAUUUUAUUAACUUAAAAAUUUUACAGUUUUUUCUAUUUCUUUUUAAAUAUCAAUUUAGUAAUACAAAUUAUAACCAACUUAUUGAAAUAAUCAUAAAAAGUAAAUUAUGUUCAUUAUUAUUGACCUAUGAUUUAACAGGUUCACAACAAAUGUCUUACCCGAUAUCUAAACUAAACUAAAAUUAUUUCAAAAUCAUAUGAAAUGAAGAAAAAACACAUAUUUUCACAAUCCAAAUCAUGAUUCAACAAAAUUACGUAAGUAAAUCACGCCCAAAACUUUAGAAGCCCUAACAUAAACUCUCAUUUUUCUAACAUUUGAUGCUUUUCUGCCACUGUUGAACGAUUACUAAUUGCAUUUGUCUGUUUCUGUUAGUCUACUAAUCUCUUCCUGAGUCGUCUCUUUCUCUCUUCUCGUCUUAGAUUCUUAUUCAAUCCAUUUUUCCAUUGUUCUUUCUUUUAUUUUAUUUUUUUGAACUUAUUAUAUAUUUAUGAGUUCUGGUUUGGAUAGAAAAAUGAUUAUUCGUGUGCCUAGUUGAUUAAUGAACUUGUUUGUGAUUUGGAAAAAACAAAAGACGGAAUGUAUUGAUUAUAUGAAAAUGUUAAAGAUCCCUAACUAGUGUUACUACCUUCUACUUUCAUAAAAUAGUUAGAGGAUAAAAUUCCUCAAUUUUCAAUAAGUCAAAAAUCAAUCAAUCCUUGUACAUCUAAAGAUAUCACGUUCAAUUCUUAUUUUACAUCUCACUAGCAGGACGAAAGGAAUUUUAACCAAACUAUAAUAACAAAAUGUAACUCUACCUUUACCAAUAGUUAUAUGACAAUGCGAAUGUCAAAUAAGAAAAGAUAAAUAAAAAUGAAGAAAGAUGUAUUUGUUCUAUUAACAUCUUUUAGAAAACAACUUUGAAAAUAAUUUAUUCAUGGGUUUCAUAGUAAUUAUAAAUGUAAUUUAGCAUUUAACAUAAUUAGUUAUUGUUUAAACUUAUAUUUAACUUACGUUAAAUACAUUACUAUAAUGUCGAAAAGUAAACCGCAGAUUAAAACCGAACCAAACCGCAAAUUAUGGUUUGGUUUGGUUUGGUUUGAUUUGAAAAAAUUUCAAACUGCAUAAAAUGGUUUGAGUUGAAAAUAUAGCACAAACCACUCAAAUCGAACCGCGAUCACCCCUACAUGUACAUAUAGUUCACUGACGGGCCUUGACCGUGCUCUAGAAUUGAUUAUGAGAGGUCUUUGAGAUCAUCUUUCGUUCAUGGAGGGAGUCAAACGCUCGUGGUAAAAGUUCUUAGACCGAGGGGCGGAUUACAUAUUUCAGCCAGAGGGUACAUUUUUAGUGAAUUUUUCAGUAUGCUUGAUGUGCUGAGAUUAUAGCGUGGUUAUCAGCUGAUAUUUAUAUCAUGAUUUUGAGAUGAUAUUUUACAAUGUUAUGUGAAUGUUUCACUUUUAGUUAUAAUUACAUAAUGUUAUCUUGUGAAUUAUUAAAUGAUAUGAACUCGAUUUUUGAUAGAAAUGUAAAAUUGAAUAAGUAUAAUUAUUUUUGAACUUCUUCAUUCACUGAACUAUCAACUCAUAUAUUUUCCCACAAUUUUUCCUAUAUGUAGCAAUUGAUUCUUUUUAACUGAAGAGCCUAAUGAUUUUGGAAUGAGAGCCACACAGUAUGUUGAAUAUUAUAACUCAUAUUGAUGAAACAUGAAGUAAAUAUUUUGGGCCCAUCGCAUUAUGUUUUACAUAAGUAUUUGAUUUUGUUGCAUUUUUUUUGAAAUAACUCAUAGUCAGCCUUGGUGAUAGAUUUGACAUCUAGUCAACAUUUAUCUUCGGUGCACGUCUCGUCUCGUCUCGGGUUCACUAAGGUGAUUCGGGACGUGUCGUGUCAGAGUGGUAUCUAAGCAUGGUUUUGAAAAUUUUUAUGAUUUAUGCAUGCUCAGUGGGUAUGAUCACAUGUCGUGGUGACAGAAAUCAUAAGCUCUCUAACUCAAAUGUAUGAAACCAAAAAUAAUAGAAAAAUAUUUUUUUAACUGAUUUAGAAACGACUCGUAUGUAAGUAUGGUAGUUGUAAUGAUCUAAUGGUUGGAAAUGAUAUUAGCUAUUGGGUUGAAACUAUGUGUGUAUGUAACCUAUUAAGAUUUGAACAUAUUGUGAUGAUUUUGUAGGGCAUUUGAAGUUACAGAUAUUACAACCACUUAAUUAUCAAUUUAUUUGUAGAGCUACAUGAUUAUUUUUAUGAGUACAUAGGAAAUUUUUUAGCUAUAGCUUGCACGAUAAAUACAAGGAAAUGAUAUGAUGUGUAAUCAGUGACAAUCAGUGGGGAAUUUUAAUUAUUCUUGAAGCCAAAUGGUUAUUAGUGUUAUCAAAUUUUGUGGUGAUUUAAGGCCACUUUAAUGGGAUGAUAAUAGAAAUCAUGAUGAUGUAUAUUUAUGCUAUAUGAUAAGGAAUUGUGGAAGACAAAAUGAUAAUUUGUUGAUUGAUAGAUAACAAUGUGUUAUUGUAUACUUUAAGCAUCAAGGAAAUUAACGGUAAUUUCAAUUAUUUAUGAGUAGUUUGAUUACAAGGAAUGUGAGAAUAAUAGAGAUGAACUUCACAAUGUUUACCUAUUAGGGGGUGAUUUGUUUAUUUAAAAAUAGAAUUAAUUGGAUAUGUGCAUUUAGGUAUGUUUAUGUGAAAAAAAAAUUGAAAUUGAGAAUGGUAGAAUUGAAGUUUGUUGAGAUUGGGAAAUUAACAUGCGAUAUAUUGAUAUGUGAAAUGUUCAAGUGAUAAAUAUGAAGGUUAUCAUCUUGUGAUAUUAAGGGAAAUUUAUAUAAUUAAAUGUUUUAGGUCAUACAAUAUGACGAUAAAUGCUAAGGUUACAAGAUCAUAACAUGAUAUGGUGAAUAGCAUGAAAAUGAAUGUAAUGGUUGUCCUAUAGCAAAGUAAUGUGAUGAUUUAUUUGGGUUAUUUAAGUUAACAAAUUUUGUUAAGGCCAUUUGUUGAUUAUUGUGUUACAUUUCAUACAAUUUGGAAGCGUUGAGUUAAAUUUUGAAGUUAAGAUGAAUUUAUUGAAAUGUUAGUAUGUAAAUUUUGGGCUAUUUUUAAUUGUAUUUUGGAUCAUGAACAAAGUAUUCAAUUUUUGUCAAAAUAAAUUUGUUAAGGAAUAUAAGUAGGACAUGUUAGCUAUGUCUAAAGUUUAAGAUGAUCAUCAAAUAUAGAUUUUACUCAUUGUGAACUAGUAUCUUUUGGUUACAUUAUCUUAAUUAAAGGUCUUUAUGUGAUAUACAAAAAAGAUUAUGCAUUGACGAUAGAUCAACGAUCUAUUUAUGAAAUAAGAGUAUAGAUUUUUAUGGAUCAAAUGUUAUUAUUGUCUCUUUAUAAAAAGAAAGAACAAAAUUUGUAUGUGUAUAGAAAUGUCAAAAGUUUUGCUAUCAGGAAAUAUUGAAAAAAUAUUUGCUCUUAUAUCUAAAGAUGAUAAGCGAUUGAUUCACGAUAAUGAUUUAUGUUAUGGUUUAGAAAUUGUUUUCUAAGUGGAAUGAUAAAAUAUGGAUUAUGUUGUAGAUUGAUAAAGAGAUAUGAUUAAAUCAUGAUAUAUGGUUGAUUAUAUUGGGAUUGACAUUUAGGAAUUGUGGCGUUAUCACAUGGUGGGAAGAUCAAUACUUACGGACCACAUGAGUUUAAGGAAUAUUUAUAUUUAAAAAGGAGCCGAACUUAAAGCUAUGUAUUUAUUAUCGUUAGGUGAUAAAAUGAAAAGUUAAAAAUAUCACAUAUUUAUAUUAGGAUGAUAUUUAAGGUAUCGGUUCAACAUGUAUUUCAUAUGUUCGGUGGUUAGUAAAUGGACGUCAGAUUUAACUAAUGCUAUAAGAUCAUCAGUGGAGUUGGUUGAAAAUCUUACAUAUGAAGAAAAAUCAAUUCGGAUCUUGGAUAGGAAAUGAAUAGAUUUUGUGCAGAAAGUCUAUUCCGCUAGUUAAAGUUUGUUUGGAAAAAAAAUAAUAAUAAAAAAUAGAGGCUUCAUGGGGCAAGUAUUCAAAUAUAUGCUCUAUAUCUUUGUGCUCGAAUCCUAAUUGAUUGAAUUUCGAGGACGAAAUUCUUUGAAGGGGGUAAGAUUGUUAUAACUCACUCACUCAUAGUCAAAGUCAAGAAAAUUAUUUAGUCAAAGUCCAAAAUUCAAUUGGUCAAAGUCAAUGUCAAAUAGGGAUUUAAAUGAAAUAAAUUAUUUUAUUGGGAUUUAAUUUAUUAUGAAAAAUAGUUAAAGGUUUAAAAUGGAUAAAACUUAAUUUUAGGGAUCUACUUAUAUAUUAUUAGAAGUAAAGGACUAGAUGUUAUAUUAAAUUGAAGAAUAAGGACUUUCCAUGCAAAAAUGGGUUGUGGAGUACAUGUGGCAAGUAAUUAACCCAUUACUAUUUUCAUAUGAUAUAUACAUACAGAGAGGUAAGGCUGGAGAUGGGCAGAAGCAAGAAAAACCGAGAAAGAGAGAAGGAAAAGAGAGAAGGAAAAGGGGGGAGAGAGAGAGAGAGAGAGCGAAGAAGAAGAAGAAGAAGAAGAAGAAGAAGAAGUGGGUCUUCAAGUUUGGAUUCUCCUUUUCUCCAUUGAUUUAGAGAGGUGGGUGUAAGUAGGAUGAGUUAUCUUUUUGAGUUUAUGAAAAUUUUCUAAAAUUUAAGGUUUAGCAAAAUUGAUGUUUGUUGAUAUAUGUUUGAGACAUUAAAAACAACAAUAAUAUUAGUGUUUAAAGGAAGGAAAUAUGAAAUGGGUUUGUAAAUUAGAGUUCCAAUCUUUGAAUUAUUGUGUUUACACUUGAUUUAUGAUGAAUUAGAGUGGAAAAAAAAAAAAUUAGGUUAGAUUUUGGUAUUUAUAAUAAAUUUUCGAGCAAAAUUCAUGUGCAGGUACUACUCAUGAAAUUCUGACCAAAAAAGUGCCAUUUCUGUCAAUGGUUUUGAUGCCAGAUUUUAAUAUGCAGAAAUUGGUGCCAGGUUUCAAUAUUUUGGGAUUUUAGUGCUGUUUUUGACAAAACUCUUAUUUUUCAGAUUUUUAAAGGCUUCAAUGAAGUUAUAUGACAAGUAUUGAGGUUUAUGUAUUGGAAUAAAUUAUGUAUAGGGCUUGUAUAUGUAUAAGUUAAUGAUUUUAAGGAAGUGUGGGUAAUUUAAUAGAUUUGAUAAUGCAUGGUGUUUAGUCGAUGAAUUAAUAAAGAGAAUAAAAGUUGGGGAUUGGAGAUGUAAGAGUAAAUAUAGAAGUUGAGGAGUUAAGUGGUGGAAUUGUAUUGAUUUAAUUGUUAAGUUUCAAUUUGAGUAAUUAUUAUUCCGUUAUUCAGGUAGUGACGUGAAAACUUGAAAAGACUCGUCAAUUUAGUCAGAUUUCUAUCCAUAAAUAUGUGAAAGGAAAAAAUAUAAAUAUUUUUAAAGUAUUUAUAAAUUAAGUAUAUUGUUAAAGUAUGUGCAAUUAUGUGCUCGAAUUAUAUGUUUAUUAUGAAAAUAUCUUUUAUUAUGAUAUAUGUGAGAUUUUAAAGAUUGUAUACGGUACAUUGUGAAUUGGAAUAUGAGACAUGAUUUUGAGAUCGACCAGAAAAGUACCCGUGAUUAUAUAUUUCUUCUAGUUCACUAAAAGGUCUUGGCCGUGUUCUAUACUACACUGAGGGGUCUUGAACCGAGGAUGAAGGGGUCUCGACCGUGUACAUAUAGUUCACUGAAGGGUCUUGGCCGUGUUCUAGAAUUGAUUAUGAGAUGUCUUUGAAACCAGCUUUCGUUCAUGGAGGGGGCCAAAGGUCCGUGGCGAAAGUUCUUAACCCGAGAGGCGGAUUACAUAUUUCAAUUAGAGGGUACAUUUUUGGUGGAUUUUUCAGUAUAUUUGAUGUGAUGAGAUUAUAGCGUGGUUAUCAGCUGAUAUUUAUAUCAUGAUUUUGAGAUGAUAUUUUACGACCUUAUGUGAAUAUUUCACUUUUGGUUAUAAUUACAUGAUGUUAUCUUGUGAAAUAUUAAAUGAUAUGAACUCGAUUUUCGAUAGAAAUGUAAAAUUGAAAAAGUAUAAUUAUUUUCGAACUUCUCCACUCACUGAACUAUCAACUCAUAUAUUUUUCCACGAUUUUUUCUACAGGUAGCAAUUGAUUCUUUUUAGCUGGAAGAGCCUAAUGAUUUCGGAAUGAGAGCCAUACGGCAUGUUGAAUAUUAUAACUCAUAUUGAUGAAACAUGAAGUAAAUAUUUUGAGUCCAUCGCAUUAUAUUUUACAUAAGUAUUUUAUUUUGUUGCAUUUUUUUGAAGUAACUCAUGUUAGCCUUGGUGAUAGAUUUGACAUCUAGUCAGCAUCUAUCAUUGGCGCACGUCUCAUCUCGGGUCCACUAGGGUGAUUCGGGACGGGACGGGUCGUGUCACUAAAGGACAGCAUUUAGAAAUGGAUCAUUGCAUGGAUCGUGAUAUCCCAUUUGCUGAAGAUUGGAUAAAAGUUAGAGAUAUUUGUAAACUUGUUCAAAAUGUAUAUGAUGUUGCUGAAGUUCUUUUCGAGACAAAACAUGAUAGUGCAGGCAUCUAUGUUCACAAAUUUCAAGAAUUACAAGCAAGUUUUAUAGAAGAAUCCAGAAAUUCAGAUAAAUUUGUUAGAAUCAUAGCUCGGAAGACACUAAAGAAGUUUGAGAAGUACUGGAAGAACAUGUUCCUUGUACUAACCGUUGUUACGGUUUUGAAGCCUCAAUAUAAAAUUAAGUAUAUUGAAUUUUCUUCCUUGAAGUAUGAUACUAGUUCUAGUAUAUCAGAAGUGACAACCAUUUCAAAGUCCAUUCACUCGCCUUAUGAUGAUUAUGUUACUAGCAAAACCAGAUAAGAAUAUACAUCAAAGAAAGAUGCAUACACCUAAAUGUUGGUUUUAAUUGUUGAGAUGAGUAUAACCAGUUUAUCCAAUCUAAUAGUCAAUCUCGAUCCCUAGGCAAGAGCUUGAAUGCUACUUGGAAGAACUUGUCGUGCCUUGGAGCAAAAAUUUCAGAGUGCCAUCACGGUGGCAAUCUGUGAGCCCCAAAUAUCCUACCAUGUCCAAAAUGGCUCGUGGAUCUCUGCACAUAAAAUGUUGAUAUUUCAUGUCCAAAAGAACAAAAGAUCCAAAGAUUAUUGAGCCAAUGGAUGAAGGAAAUGUUGAUAUUCCAUGUCCAAAAGAACAAAAGAUUCAAAAAUUAUUGAGCCAAUGGAUGGACGAAGAAUGGUUGGGGAAAAAUGAGGAGUAAUUUUGGGACGGAGAAUACAAUACUAUUAUUAUUAUUAUUAUUAUUAUUAUUAUUAUUAUUAUUAUUAUUAUUAUUAUUAUUAUUAUUAUUAUUAUUAUUAUCAUCAUCAUCAUCAUCAUCAUUAUUAUUUUCAUUUUUAGUUCUUUUUGGGGUUAAGACUAUAAUUGUAAAUUUGUUAUGGCAUUUUUAUUGGAAACAUGUUAUUAUUGUGGUGGUGUUAUAAUGUGUGUAGCAAGUAAAAUUUGUGGUGGCAAUAUAAUUACCCUAAUGUUAAUUGUUACUUUUGAUCCCAUCUUUUUAAUCUUUUUCAAACAAGCAUUUGCCUAAUUUUUUUAAUUAAUUAGACAAAUAGUCAAGUUGAAUAUGGUCUUUACUAUUAAAAAAAUGUAAAUAAACAAUAAUUAUUUUUCAUAAGACUAAAUUCUCCAACUCAUAAAAGGAAUGGCAAUACGACAGGUGAUUUUCCUUGUCUUUUGUCGCGUUGGAUAUUCUUGGGUAGAGGAUAGGAAAUUAGGAAUAGGGAAUUUGCUACUCUAUUUACUCAAUUUUCUAAUAUCAAAUUUCAAAUAUGAUUUAAGUUUAAAAACAUAAAUAUACAUAUAAAACUAAGAGUCUGAACAAGUAUGAAGUGAGUAAAAUGUUCUCAGUCCCUAUAUCGAUUUUCUAUUCGAUGGGACGUAACAAGACAUUUGCUGUCUUUGCCCAUAAAGAGCUUUUUAUAUUCUAAAAAAAAAAAGUCAUUUCCUCACUGUCAUUUAAAAGUAAAUAAGAUUAUUCAUAGUUGCUUACUAUUAGUAAUUGCUCUACGUGAAAGUUUGUUAUUUGAGACAUUAAUUUUUUAUAAUUUUAUUUCGUAAAACCAACCUUUCAUUCUUUAGCAGAGCUCUCUCUCUCCACCAUUUCAUUCAAUUUGAUAAUAAACUCAUCCUUGUCGAGGGUUAAAAUUAAAUUUUUAGUUUAAUUUUGAUAAAAAUUGAUGUUUAGAGCUCAUUUUCAUCUUAUUUAUGGACAAUUUUUAAACGUUGCACAGUACAAAACCUUUAUCGUGAGGGAUCUAUACCCUAGGCUGGCAGCUCUGUUUCUUUAUUUCUUAUUUCUGAUACCCAAUUGACAACGAUUAGUCAAAGUGAACCUGGAAAAGUGAAAAAACAAUGCAUGGCUUUUGUUUGGAGCAAUUCGCGUUCACAUUUCAAGAUAGGGGUAAAAUUGGAAGUUGGACAUAUAUAUGCAUAACACCAUUUGGACUAGCUUUCACAUGGUGGGCCACAUGAUGUGAUAGAAGAAUGCAUUUUUUCCACAAUAAAGGCGUCCAAACGUUAGCUUUCACAUGGUGGGCCACGUGAUGUGAUAGAAGAAUGCAUUUUUUCCACAAUAAUGACGCCCACACGUCAAUAAUGGCGCCCAAACGUCCAUUAUUGUAGAAAAAAAUGGAUUCUUCUAUCACAUCACAUGGUCCACCAUGUGAAAGCUAACGUUUGGGCGCCAUUAUUGUGGAAAAAAUGCAUUCUUCUAUCACAUCAUGUGGCCCACCAUGUGAAAGCUAGUCUAAAUGGUGUUAUGCAUAUAUAUGGUCAACUUCCAAGUUUAAAAAAAGGUGGAACCUCAACCUUGAGGGGCUUCACUGCCUCGCUCUUGGAGUAUCGUGAGGGAGGUAAAUUGCGGGAUGUGCCCCAACAGAUCAGGGAACAAGAACUUGUCCGUACACUGGUGCUUACAAAGAAUCCAAUUCCACAUCUUAGGAAUCGACCCCUUUGCGGCUGCCAACAAAAUUGAGAUUACCUCACUCCUGUCCUUUGCACCACUGGGUUAUGCCCCGGGGGCGUCAACUUCCAAGUUUACCCCUAUCUUGAAAUGUGAACACGUAUUGUUCCAAACAAAAGCUAUGCAUUUUUUACUUUUCCAAUGAACCAAGUUUCCAUUAUUGAGGAUAGAGUGUUGUAAAGCUCAUAUAAAGCAAAUGUCGAUAAGAGGGAAUUAAAAUUUUAGAGGGUAUUUGGUGGGGAUAAAAAUUAGAUUUUUUAGUAGAUUGUGAUAGAAGUUGUUAAANNNNNNNNNNNNNNNNNNNNNNNNNNNNNNNNNNNNNNNNNNNNNNNNNNNNNNNNNNNNNNNNNNNNNNNNNNNNNNNNNNNNNNNNNNNNNNNNNNNNNNNNNNNNNNNNNNNNNNNNNNNNNNNNNNNNNNNNNNNNNNNNNNNNNNNNNNNNNNNNNNNNNNNNNNNNNNNNNNNNNNNNNNNNNNNNNNNNNNNNNNNNNNNNNNNNNNNNNNNNNNNNNNNNNNNNNNNNNNNNNNNNNNNNNNNNNNNNNNNNNNNNNNNNNNNNNNNNNNNNNNNNNNNNNNNNNNNNNNNNNNNNNNNNNNNNNNNNNNNNNNNNNNNNNNNNNNNNNNNNNNNNNNNNNNNNNNNNNNNNNNNNNNNNNNNNNNNNNNNNNNNNNNNNNNNNNNNNNNNNNNNNNNNNNNNNNNNNNNNNNNNNNNNNNNNNNNNNNNNNNNNNNNNNNNNNNNNNNNNNNNNNNNNNNNNNNNNNNNNNNNNNNNNNNNNNNNNNNNNNNNNNNNNNNNNNNNAGGUAAAUUGCGGGAUGUGCCCCAACAGAUCAGGGAACAAGAACUUGUCCGUACACUGGUGCUUACAAAGAAUCCAAUUCCACAUCUUAGGAAUCGACCCCUUUGCGGCUGCCAACAAAAUUGAGAUUACCUCACUCCUGUCCUUUGCACCACUGGGUUAUGCCCCGGGGGCGUCAACUUCCAAGUUUACCCCUAUCUUGAAAUGUGAACACGUAUUGUUCCAAACAAAAGCUAUGCAUUUUUUACUUUUCCAAUGAACCAAGUUUCCAUUAUUGAGGAUAGAGUGUUGUAAAGCUCAUAUAAAGCAAAUGUCGAUAAGAGGGAAUUAAAAUUUUAGAGGGUAUUUGGUGGGGAUAAAAAUUAGAUUUUUUAGUAGAUUGUGAUAGAAGUUGUUAAAUGUGUAGUUGAAAAAUUGUGGAACCUAUAAAAGAUGUGGUUAGUGUUGAUUGUUUGACUUUAACUUAGAUUAAAAUCAGAUUUUAAUCCAAAUCAAAUAGUCUGUUAAAUCCUUGUCAAAGUCAAAGUCAAUAAUUCAUUUAAAUCACGUAUUUUAAGACAUUCAUAAGUUUUUAAUCAUAUACUGCAUCAAAUUUUAUCAAAAUUUACUAAAAAUUUAAUUUUAACUUGUAACAUCACAUUUCUCUUUUCCUAAUUUUUGCGAAUAUGAUAUUCCCUAAUGAUAUAUUUAAUGCUUAUUAUUAAUUUAUUGUCAAUGUGACUACUAAUAUGUUGUAGUGGAUUAUACCUUGAACGUCCUAGGUGAUUGACAUGCCAAUUAAAGCUAAUUAUAUGAAAAUCAAAUGAAAAUCUAGAAAAGGGAAGGAAAUGUAAAUAGAUGAAGAAAGAGGACUAGUAAUUAUUGAGGAGAGUGUGCUGUACAGCUCAUAUAAAGCAAAUGUCAGUAAUGGGGAAUUAAAAUUUAAAUAUUUACCAAAGUUGGAGUCAAUAAUUGAUUUAAAUCAAGUACUUUAUGAUAUUCAUAACUUUUCAAAUAUGUUAUUGAGUUGUGAAUAUCACAGAAGAAUGCAUUUUUGGAAAAAGUUUUGUCUGAUUUGAUGAGCUUUUUUGAAGGAAAAUGAUAACUUUUUUACAAGGAGUAGAAGUCUUGUCAAAGCGGCGUUAAGUAUAAGAUCUAAUAAUUAAGUUGAGUGAGGAUUAGUUUGUUCUACUCAAAUGUGCUUUUUACAAUAAAAAAUGAACCAAAGUAGAUCAAGAUAAAUUGAUCUAUAAACAGCUUCUCUAACCUUAAAAAAAUCGAGUCAUUUUUACAUUGACAUUCAGUGCUUGUUUGGGAAAGUUAAACAGUUGAUUUUGUUAAAAGAAGUGGAAGAUCUUUUGGAAUUAGUGGUGGAAAAGCGAGUAAUACUAGUGGAUUUUAUGUAAUGUAAGAUUAAUAUAAAGGGUGGUUAUAUUAUCACCACAAUAAGUGUUUGGUACCCUAUAAUUUUCUUAUUUAUUUUAAAAAAUUACUAGUAAAAUGACAUAAGUACCCUAUCUUUUAUUCACUAAUAUAUUUAUUCAUACGAUCACUACCAUCCGUACACAAAAAAUACAUAACUCCUACUUAAAGAUACAAAUGCCAAGAUCAAAAGAUCCAAGAUUCACUAAUAUAUUUAUUCAUAUGACCACUACCAUCCGUACACAAAAAAUACAUAACUCCUACUUAAAUAUACAAAUGCCAAGAUCAAAAGAUCCAAGAUUGAAGAAAAGAACAAGAAAUUUUAGGAUAUGGUAUAGGCAUUUUGGAAUAUUGAAUGUAUUAUUUUAAAAGUUCGCUAUAUUCUUCUUGGAAACUCGUCGUUAUUGUGGAAUAUGCCAUUAUACAACCUGCAAAAGGUAUUGGAUUUGGAGGCUAAAGGACAGUAUUUAGAAAUGGAUCAAUGCAAGGAUCGCGAUAUCCCAUUUGCUGAAGACUGGAAAAAAGUAAGAGAUAUUUGUAAACUUGUCCAAAAUGUAUAUGAUGUUGCUGAUGUUCUUUUCGAGACAAAACAUGCUAGUGCGGGCAUCUAUGUUCAUAAAUUUCAAGAAUUACAAGCAAGUUUGAUAGAAGAAUCUAGAAAUUCUGAUAAAUUUGUUAGAAUCAUAGCUCAGAGGAUGCUAAAGAAGUUUGAGAAGUACUGGAAGAACAUGUUCCUUGUACUAACCGUUGUUACUGUUUUGGAUCCGCAAUAUAAAAUGAAGUAUAUUGAAUUUUCUUCCUUGAAGUAUGAUACUAGUUAUAGUAUCUCGGAAGUGACAGCCAUUUCAAAGUCCAUUUACUAGCCUUAUGAUGAUUAUGUUACUAGCAAAACUAGAGAAGAAUAUUCUAUGAGUGAUUCGAAUUCUGAGUUUGAAGAAGAGAUUCCUACAAACAUCAAAGAAAGAUGCCUACUCCCAAACUUUGCUUUUAAUUGCUUAGAUGAGUAUAAACAGUUUAUCCAAUCUGAUAGUCGAUCUCGACCAUUAGGUAAAAGCUUGAAUGCUACUUGGAAGAACCUGUCGUGCCUUGGAGCAAAAAUUUCAGCGUGCUAUCUUGAUGGCAAUAUGUGAGCCCCAAAUAUCCUACCUUGUCCAAAAUGGCUCGUGGAUCUUUGCACAUAAAAUGUUGAUAUUUCAUGUCCAAAAAAUAAUUGAGCCAAUGGAUGAAGGAAAUUGAUGAGGAAGAAUGGAUGGGGGAAAAUGAGGAGUAAUUUUGGGAAGGAGAGUACAUUGUUAUUAUUAUUAUUAUUUUUUUUUUUUUCAUUUUCAGUUUUUAUUGGGUUAAGGCUAUAAUUAUAAAUUUGUUAUGGUAUUUUUAUUAGAAACAUGUUGUUUUAAUGUGUGUAGCAAGUAAAAUUUGUGGUGGCAAUAGAAUUGCCUUAGCAUUAAUUGUUACUUUUGAUCCCGACUUUUUAAUCUUUUUCAAACAAGCAUUUGCUCAAUUUUUUGAAUAACUAGACAAAUAGUCAAGUUGAACAUGGUCUUUACAAUUGAAAAAAUGUAAAUAAAUAAUAAUUUUUUUUCAUAAGAUUAAAUUCUCCAACUCAUAAAAGGAAUGGCAAUACGACAGGUAGUUUUCCUUGUCUUUUAUGGCGUUGGAUUUUCUUGGGUGGAGGGUAGGAAAUUAGGAAUAGGGAAUUCAUUACUCUAUUUGCUCAAUUUUCUAAUAUCAUUUUGAAAAACAAUUUAAGUUUAAAAACAUAUAUGUACAUGUAAAAAUAAGAGUCUGAACGAGUAUGAAGUAACUUGUUCUUCCUAUAUUGAUUUUCUAUUCAGUGGGAUGGAACAAGACAUUUGCUGUCUUCGCCUAUAAAGAGCUUUAUAUUCUUAAAAAAGGUCAUUUUCACAUUGACAAUUAAAAGUGAAUAAUACUAUUCAUAGUUGUUCACUAUCAAUUAUUUCUCUAUAAUUUUAUUUCUUAAAACUAACCGUUCAUUCUUUAGCAGAGUUUUGUGUUUCUCCACCAUUUCAUUCAAUUUGACAAUAAGCUCAUACUUGGAGGGGUUAAAAUUAAAUUUUUAGUAAAUUUUGGUAAAUAUUGUUGUUUAGAGCUCAUUUCAUCUUAUUUAUAGACAAUUUUGACCACUGCACAAUACAAAACUCUUUCUUUAUUCUGAUUUAUGACACUGAAUUGAAAUAAUCUAUCAAAGCCCUUGUUUAGGAGAGCUUUCGUUUUCAAUUGUAGCCAGUGACCAUUAUACAUAUAUGUUAAAUAAGGCAAGUUGAGUGGGAGCCCUCAAGGUUGGAGUUCAACCUUUCAAAUAAGGCAAAUUGCAAUUUUUGACUAUUUUAAGACAGAAUGAUCCCUUAACAUUUCAUUCAUUCUUCAUGAGACAAGGACAUUUUUGGUAUUUAAUUUUGAGACAGUAAAAAAUUGCAACCAAAAUGAGACCCAUGUUCAACUGUGUAAGGGAGAAAAAUUGCUAAAAAUGGAAAAAAAGCUCUCCCAGACAAGAGCAAAGUGAACUUCGAAAAGUAAAAAUACAUUUUUUGUUUGUAACAAUACUUGUUCACGUUUCAAUAUAGGGGUAAAAUUGGAAGUUGCCCAUAUAUAUUUAUAACACCAUUUGGAGUUUGGACUAGCUUUCACAUGGCGGGCAAUGUGAUAUGAUAGAAGAAUGCAAUUUUCCACAAUAAUGGCGCCCAAACGAUGACCUGCUAAUGUUAUUGAAUGAUUUAAUUGAAUUAUUAACUUUUACUUUCAUAAAAAUAUAAUUGCUACAUUUGCUUUAUAUGAGCUGUACAACACACACCAAGAAUUACUAGUUUUCUUUCUUCAUCCGUUAACAUUUCCUCCUCUUUUCUGGGUUUUCAUUCGAUUGUCAGAGCUGCAACAUCCAUUUCCAUGACUUCAAAGCUAUAUGCUAAUCAGAAUUUUCUGUUUUUGCUUUAGUGGUAGCGUCUAUUAUUCUUCAAACAAGCAUUUGCUCAAUUUUUUGAAUAACUAGACAAAUAGUCAAGAUGAACAUGGUCUUUACAAUUGAAAAAAUGUAAAUAAAUAAUAAUUAUUUUUUAUAAGAUUAAAUUCUCCAACUCAUAAAAGGAUGGCAAUAUGGCAGGCGGUUUUCCUUGUCUUUUGUCGCGUUGGAUUUUUUUGGGUAGAGGGUAGGAAAUUAGGAAUAGGUACUUUUACCCAAUUUUCUAAUAUCAUUUUUUUAAAAAUACAAUUUAAGUUUAAAAACAUAUAUGUACACGUUAAAUUAGGAGUCUAAACGAGUAUCAAGUAACUUGUUCUCAAUUCCCAUAUCGAUUUUCUAUUCGAUGGAUGGAACAAGACAUUUGCUGUUUUUGCCCAAAAAGAGCUUUAUAUUUUAAAAAAGUUCAUUUCCACAUUGACAUUUAAAAAUAAAUAAUAUUAUUCACUCACUGUCAAUUAAUUUUCUAUAAUUUUAUUUCUUAAAACCAACCGUUCAUUCUUUAGCGGUGUUUUGUCUCUGUCCACCAUUUUUCCCACUUCCACAUGGUGGGCCAUGUGAUAUGAUAGAAGAAUGAAAUUGUUCCACAAUAAUGGCGCCCAUACGACGACACGCUAUGUUAUUGAAUGAUUUAAUUGAAUUUUAAUUGCGACAUUUGCUUACAACACUCAAAAUUACUAGUCUUCUUUCUUCAUCCGUUUACAUUUCCUCCUCUUUUGUGGGUUUUCAAAGCUAUAACAUCCAUUUCCAUGGCUUCAAAGCUACAAGCUAAUCAGAAUUUUCUGUUUUUGCGUCAGUGGUAGCGUCCAUUAUGCUUUAAACAAAAGUUUAGGGGGUAGACAACUCACAUACACUAUCUUUCUCUUUCCCUGCAAUUCGACCAUCCUUUCCUUUCCUUUCCUUGCAAUGGAUAUCUCACUCACUAAUUCGUUUACUAGUCCUGCAGAUCUCUUUCUAAUUGUGAGCGAUCAUAUAUUAUAUAUCUCCUCCAAACAUCAUCCUAUAAUUGAUACGUUACUUGGUUUUAUACCUUUACAAACGCACGGUUUCUUUGAUGAAUUUCACAGAAACAUUUUCUAUGAAUCAGUGUUAGCUGGACUUGAUCAAGAGCUUAAGGUGUUCUUUACAGUCCCUGACCAGCAAAUCUUGUCCAAGUUAACUCCUACUCUCAAUUCUAAUGAAGUUGUUGCGGCGUUCAUCAACUUUCUCCUCCUGAUGGUAGAAGUCAUUCUACAUUUUGAGGAAGAUUCGAUUGCUCGUGUAAAGGGUUCGUUCCAAAAUCUCCGGACAGAGCUUGGAUUUCUUAUCACUUUUCUUGGGGAUACAGCAAUGCAUUUGCAGCCCACCGAGACUAUAGUGAUAGAUAUUGAAGAUGUGGUCAAUGAGGUAGGAUGUUUCUUGUAUUCCUUCCUUUGGGCCAUUGUUAUGUUCAUUCUAAUCUGUAAAGAGAAAGAAUUAUAUACUAGAAUGUACGGUUGGAAAGUUGGGGUUAAUGAGGUAGGAAGUCUCCGUCUUUCUGACUUUAUCCACUUUCUUGAGGAUCAACCAUUGCUAAACACUAUGUUGAAAGCAACGAAAGAUAUUAAAGCUUCGCUCCAUAAGAUAGGAAGUUUAUUAGAUUCCUUCAUUUCCAAGAAGAAUGAUCAAGCUAUGGAGCCAGGAAACUUAAAUCUUGCUCUUUCUGAUUUGUUAGCAAAGUUUGAGACCUUGAAAACAAAGAUCAAGGAGCACUGCAUCAGAGUCUCAAAGAUCCCAAGUGAUAUGGCUCCUAAGACUGGUGUGGUUUCACUCUUCAUUGUUGAUUCCGUCCUCGAUGAUCUCAUGGAUCUAAUAAAUAACAAGUCUGACUCGACUGGUGUUGUGAAUGAUCAAAUUGUAAUGCUUCAGACGCUUCAGAAGGAGCUAAUGUUAUUGGGAUCAUCCAUCACAGAUAUAGCAUUGCAGCAGGAAGCAGAACAUGAAGAACUUGUGAUACGGAGCAGAGACAUAGCAUAUGAAGUUGAAUAUGUUAUCAAAUCAUUUCGUCAAGCUUGGUAUCUUUCUCUCCGGCUCCCUCAACUCAUUGACAAGAUUCAGCUUAUUACGAUGGCUAUCGAAAAAAUGAAGAACAAUGUUGAUAUAUCUAGAAUGUCAAUUUUUUCGAAACAUCCACAUGAACAUGUAGAUCCACAGUCAGAAGAAUCUCCCAUUUUGGAAGACUUUGUUGUGGGAUUUGACAAUGUAACAAUUGAAAUUGUAGAACAACUUGCUCGAGGAAUAGAAAAGCUACAAAUUAUUUCCAUAUUUGGGAUGCCUGGACUUGGUAAGACGACCUUGGCAAAUAAAUUAUAUAAUCAUCGCUACGUUUUAUACCAUUUUCACAAUCGUGCCUGGUGUGCUGUUUCUCAAAUAUAUAAUAAGAAAAAUGUGUUGAUUGAAAUUUUGAGCUCAAUGAGUAACAAUAAGAGGGAUACAUACAUGAAAAAGGAGGAAAACAGCUUGGUCGACGAUCUUUACAAAAACUUAAAAGGAAGGCGAUACCUCAUUGUGAUAGAUGAUAUAUGGGAUAUCAAUGUGUGGAAUGAUUUAAAAAGAUGUUUUCCAGAUGACGGAGUUGGAAGCAGAAUCUUAUUCACUACUCGAAAUAAAGAAGUGGGUUUGAAAGCUUUACCUCAUAAUUUCACAAAGGAACUUCCUUUUUUGUCGGAAGUUGAAUGUUGGGACAUAUUACAAGGGAAAGUGUUCCAAGAUAAAAAAUGUCCUCAAGAAUUGCUAGACAUUGGCAAGCAAAUUGCAAAAAAUUGUCAUGGCCUACCACUCGCAGUGGUUGUGAUAGCUGGAGUUCUUGCAAACAUGGAGAAGAAAAAACACUUGUGGGAAAAAGUUGCCAGAAAUUUAGGUUCUCAUAUAUCUGAAAUACCAGAGAAGUGCAUCCAAAUAUUGCAGCUUAGCUACGACCAUUUACCAAUGCAUUUGAAAACGUGUUUUCUUUACUUUGGAGCAUUCAAAGGAGACAUGAAGAUCCCUGUACGGAAGUUGAUAUCUCUUUGGGUUGCCGAAGGAUUUAUAAAGAAGGAAGAACAGAAGAACAUAGAGGACGUGGCACGAGAAUAUUUAAUGAAAUUGAUUGAUAGGAGUCUAGUACUUGUUGCUGAAAAAAGAUAUGAUGGAGGAGUCAAAACAUGCAAGAUUCAUGAUCUAUUGCGUGAAAUGUGCUUGAAAAUAGCUGAAGAAAAUAACUUUUUGAAGUUUAUCAAACAGUAAGUUCAAUGUCUCUUCUUUUUCCUUUCCUUUCCUUUCCAUCCAUUUUUUAUUUUAGCUUACUUAGAAGGUUAUUAUAUUUGAUAAUCGUAACAAUGAUGUGAUUAUGUUGUUUUUGUUGCCAGUAAUGAUGAUGAUGAAGAUAAACAACGGUUCUUCAGUCAAGUAUCAACGUAUCAGCAGCACCAUUGCCUGAGUAUCAACUGUACGAUACCUCCGAGUUCACUACCUUUUGGCCUACACGUACGCUCUCUUCUAUAUGAUAUUCAUUUUGUGGGAUCGAGCACACCAAGACCGACCACAUCAAUCUCAUGCAGCCACAAACUUCUUAGGGUCUUUGAUUUUAGCAGCAGGUCACUACCCUGGGGUCUAAUAAUAGGAUUGGAACACCUGGUUCUAAUAAUAGGAUUGGAACAUCUAGUUCACUUGAGGUACUUGGCACUUUCAUGUACACGGCCACCAUUAAAUUUGGAAAGGUUCCACAAACUAGAAUUUCUUGUUGUGGACAAUGAUGUUGAAGUUGAAAUACCUGAGAUCCUCCUUAAUACAGUGAGUUUGAGACACAUGGAGUUCAAGGGCGGUGCACGCUUCAGUGAAUCUAGUUGUCAGCUGGCAACUAACAGUAAGAACUUCCAAAUAAAUAACCUACGAAGUAUUUCUAGACUCUCAAUUUACGUUGAAUUGGAUGAGAAAGUUUUGGGACGUUCGCCCAAUCUUCGUAGACUGAAAGGCAGGGUGGAUAAAGAUUUACUAAAUCCUUCUUUCGACUUCCUUAAUCAGCUCGAAUCACUAAAGCUAUAUGAAAUAUUUCAUUGUUCUUUUAGUUUGCCCUUAAAUUUGAAAAAAUUGACACUAGAUCAUGCAAAGGUGUCUCGAAAACAAAUGGAGAUAAUUGGAAGGUUGCCUUGCCUUGAGGUUCUCAAAUUAGAAUCGGUUGCCUUUGAGGAAGAACAAUGGAACACAAGUGAGGGUGAAUUCCCACAACUCAAAUACUUGAAACUUGCAAAUGUAAACAUUGCAGAAUGGAAUGCCUCAAGUGAUCAUUUCCCGGUACUUCAACGAAUAGUAUUGAAAUCUUGCGGGAAUCUAAAGAAGAUCCCUUUCAGUUUAAAUGAUAUUCCAACGUUACAGGAGAUUUGGUUAUAUGGAUGUCCACCAACUACCAACGAAUCAGCUAAGGAAAUUAAGGAAGAACAAAAAGCGAUGGGCAAUGAAGAGCUUGAAGUCAUGAUCUCUGAAAAACAAUUGGAGGAAAAUGAAUACAACGAACUUCUGAAGGUAAUAAUGAGAGAGAUUCUCUUCUUUAAAUCUCUUUCACGUUCUCAUCUUGGUCCUAGGUAUUUUGUAUUAUGCUAAAAUGAAACAUCAAAAAUAAAUUCUACUGUAAUUUUGGCUUGUAUUGGAAUUAAGCCCCUCUUUGGUUUGGGUUAAAAUAAGAUUUUUAAUAGAUUUUCAUAAAGGUCAAUGAAAAGUGUGAUUGAAAAAUUAAUAAAAUUUAUGAAUUUCAUAAAAUAUGUGGUUGAAAAUGAGCUAGGGGAAAAAAUUAGUUUUAAAAAUUUGGGACCAAAUAGGGGGCUCUAUUUUAUGAGCUUCUUGAUGUUAUUCUAGGAAUAAUGAUAAGUGCGUUUUUAUGCACUUAUGUUUGAAUUGUGGCUUAAAUUUGUUUGAUUCUUGAAUUGCAGGGUAAAUUGAUGGACACGGUGGAACUCAUGAGAAAAAUGAAGCGACAAGAACCAAAAGGAAUCAAAGUGCCAAAACGAAUCAAAGUGAAAGUUCAAGGACCAAAGCGCAAAUAUCCAAAAGAUGAACCGAAGGAGCAAGAAAAGAUUUGAUAGAGCCAAGUACCAAUUGGAGGUUAAUAUUGGUAACCUCUGUCAUGGUGAAUUCAAUUUUAUUACUGUACACUCAUGGUGAUUUAAAUCAAAAGAAAAUAUUUCGUGAACAAAUUACUAAUCCAUAAGGUUCUAUGUUUGGACAUUGAUCUCUAUUAUUUCUGCCUUUCACAUUUUUUACCAUAAAAUCGUUUUUACAUAAAAUCCCAAAGGUCACAAUUUCACUUCUAGUUAGAUUUUGUCCUUGGAAUAAUUUGAUUGUUUAGGCCCAAUUCCUUUGUUAAUUGCAUGGAGGUCCUUUAACUUCCGAACUUCCGAACUUGUUAUCUUGGUCCUUGAUUCCAGAUUCUGUCCAAUGUCCAUCCUUCUUGAUCAAAUAUCGUCCCCUUUUAUUGUUUCCUGUUCAAUAUUGUUUUUUCUUCUAAAAUAAUUAACAUAUACACAAAAUUAAGUAUCUGGCUCAUAAAAGUAUUUCCAAACACCCACUUUUGAUGGCUUAUAUAAGUGUAAAAUCAUACUUAUCAACUGUCAUAGAUAUACAACUUCAAGAGCCGAAUGAUCUUUUUUUGAGGUAAAUAGUGAUUUACUCAUUUGUAUUGCAUAUUUGUGUCCGCACAAUUCACUAAAGGACAAGUGAAUUCAAUUGUGUGAGUAAUAUGCCCAAGAUUUUAAAUCAGUAGAAACCUUGGCAUUGAUGAGCAAAUUUAUAUAUAUAUAUAUAUAUAUAUAUAUAUAUAUAUUAUUGAUAUGCACACUCAUGAGAUUUUAAUAGGGCUAGGAUAGGAGACCUUAAUGAUAUUGCAUAAAAGUUGUUUCUAACGUGAAAAGGUGUAGCAAUUACUUUACAGGCUUGUAACAUUGGUGUUAGUUAUUUCAGGCUUUAGAGAUGAUAAUUCUCGGCGAUGAAGUUUGUGAAGAAUCGAUUGCGUAAUUAGAAAGGAGAUCAAUGGUUGAAUGACACUUUGGUGGCGUAUAUUAGAACGAUGUAUUUGACGAUAUCGACAACGAUGUAAUUAUACGAUAUUUUCAAAAUAUGUAAGCGUGUAGGCUAUAAUUGUAGUAAAAUAUUGACUUAUUUUCAUCAAUACAUUGUUUUAAAAAAGUGUAUCUUAAUUUUCAAUCAUACAAUGAAAAAUGUCUGGCUUUGGAAUGAUAUUAGGCUUGAUAAAAUCAAUUAUCUUCGGUGGCAAAACCAAUUUCUGAAUGUCAUCAUGGCUAAUGGAUUAGUAGGUUUUAUAGAUGUUACAUUUACUUUUCCAUCCAAGUUUGUUGUACAACUGCUCAUUCGGUCGAAAUUUUUAUUUUUUCGAUAUUAUGACUUCAAGCUUUUCAUUUCCCAUCGCAUGUUGUUCUUCCUGAAUUUGCUUAUCAGAUUCUUAAAUUGCUUGCUCAGACCCUCUGCCACAGAACUUUCCUUAUCAUGAAUUUGUUCGUAAGAUUGUAGGUUAAGGAUUUCCUUCAAAUAAAAUAGAAGAAGAAAAAUGAUAGAUUUUCAUGUAUAUCAAAUUGAAACAGCAAUCUCUACAUAUAGAUGUUAGUACGCCUUUCCAAAGCGUUACAUUUGUCAAAUCUAUUCAUGAUUACAAUUAUAUAUUCAGCAAUACUGAAUGAAAAUAUUCAAGCUUCCCUUCUUAAUUUCUGUACAACUUUUUUAAUUUGCUAUAUGCAUAUUUCCAGAAGCAGCUAAGUUGAUAUGAAACAAAUAAAAUUUUAUUAUUCAAAAAUCAAAAAAACAGAAGAACUACAAAGUUAGCAGUCAUUUUCAAGAUUAUCUUCCACUCUAUCCAUCCCCAAAGUUCAAAACAGGAGGGGGUGUUUCUCCUCUUUCAGUAUUAUUAUGUAAUUGACUCUUCAUGUAAAGAGUUGAUUGAACUGAUUGACUCAAACAAAAAAUAUACAUGGAGGCACCAACAACAAAUGACGACGUAAUUAUAGUUGAUGACGCAAAAUAAGGAUAAUUUCAUUGAAAUAAAUGACGAGCAUCAUUUUUUACUGCCAUGUCAUCGAUAUCCAAGUGACAAAACUAGACUAAGAUCAUGUAAGCAUCUGAAUUCUUGAACACACCAUUCUUUGAAAAGAUUUUCGAGAUGUCAAAUUUGAAUAAAGUUCCUUUGUAUUCAUCAAAAUAACUACAGGCUCUAUCACAUUUGUCGACCUUUAGUUCAUUUUCAAAAAGCCCGUGUUGCAAGAUUGAAGUACUCCUGACCUCCUACCUCCUAGCUAGACAGAGGAUCAGGAUUCGUCUUCAUCUUCAUCUUUGCCCUCGUCUUCCACUUCAUCUUCAUCUUCAUCUUCAUCUUCAGAAUCUACGUAAUCGACCUUUGCAAUAGGAGAUGCAAGCCAAAACUUGUUCAACUGUUUCAGAAUCUAAAGUCCUUUGUCAGCGUUAGCGUUGGCCAUUGACCAGAUCACCAUUCUCUUCAGCUUAGACGAUUUUUCUAGUAAAAGCUUAGUCACUGCCAUCUCAGCAACUGUGCCUGAAAUAAAAUGCAGCUUCACUUUUUGAAGUUGAGUUAAAGUUACAUCUGAGUAGCCUUGCACUUACAGAAAAUCUAGAAUAGGACUACAGAAAAUCUAGAAUAGGACUAGCAUCAGCAUUUGCACUCUCACAAAUCUAGACAAUAAGGCAAGAUAUCACCGAGCUUAAACUUUUGUUUUAAAAUAGAGAAUUGAAGAUGUAAGUCGUAAUGGUCAUAUCCAUCACUUACCUUGAAUCUCAGUUCCUCAAGGUCGGGGGAGCUUCUGAUCAAGCACAGAACACAAGAGAGUUCAUCCAAUAAAUUAGAACAUAUAUAAAAUAACUUCAGAACUUUAAGGUGCAUUAAAGUAGCUGAUAGCCUUUCUUGGGCUUGACCUGCAGCCAAAAUCUUCAAAGCGGUGGUGAAAGCAUGAUCUAAUAUAGUUUAGUCGACGAUUUCAAGGGAUUAUAUUUAUAAUAAAAAAUACCUUAAUGAAAGUAUAGCUCAAGUACACUUUCUGAAGGCCAGGCAGAGAAUCAAAAAACUGAAUGAAGUUACAUUGCCCAUCUUCCAAAAUAUUGUCAACUACCCAAUCAUUAUGUAAAGCAACCAAAAUCAUUGCAAGAUGUGGGGAUUUCUUAAAAUAAAACGAUGAUAUAGGGAAACAUGUCAAUUCAAAGUGUUUUAGCAUAGAGUAUCUAUUUCUACGUAGUCAAAUUUGUUUGAAACAUUCAGCAAUAGUUUCCCCAGUACCGGGCAGCUUGAUAUCAAACUUCCUAAAUUCCUAAUACAUCAGCAUCAAUGGUCACGUCAAACAAUUCCAGCCUAAUUGGUCUAUUAAAUCCUUCAAAGCUUGGUGGUGGAGGAUUGAUCAACCAAGACAACGGCUUCAAAUGUUUCAACUGUAUACACAUAAAUGGUGAAGAAGGCGAUGUGUACUGUUCUCCACUCUUUAUUUUAAAGGUGAAUUCUUCAACACUGUUCUUCCAUAAGAUAUGUAUCAAGUAGUCAAUUUCUGAACAAUUUUUAAGUUUCGGAAUAACGAGGCUCAAUUUAGUUAUGGGUCCUGGAUGAAGCAAAAGAUCCUUGUAAAAGAUCAACAAGAACUUCAUUCUAGCUGAUUCUAGGUUUCCCUUAUUAAGGGAUAAAAAUCCAACAUCGAUUAAAUAUCGAAAUAUUGACCAACUUAAAAAAGAUCUUGGGCUACUCCUCUUAAUCAGAUUGACCUUUUAAGAUGGAACCUCAAAUUUUAACAUGGUAUCAACUCAUUAAACUCCAACGAGCAACUCAAUCCCGAUACGACUCUAAAAAUGAGCACACAGAUUUCAAGAUUGGUUUAUUCAAACGAGCCAACAUCUUGUGGGGGCAUGUUAAGGGAUAAAAAUUUCACAUCGACUAAAUACUGAAAUAUUGACCAAUUUAUAAAAAUCUUGUGCUACUCCUCUUAAUAAGAUUGACCUUUUAAGAUGGAACUCUAAAUCUUCACAUGAUAUCAGAGCUCAUUAAGUUUCAACGAGCAAUUCGAUCCAAUUAAAACUCUAAAAAUGAGCACACGAAUUUCAAGAUUGGUCUGCUCAAACGAGCCACCAUUUUGCGGAAACAUAUUAUUAAGGGAUAAAAAUCCAACAUCGAUUAAAUACCAAAAUAUUGACCAACUUAAAAAAGAUUCUGUGCUACUCCUCUUAAUAAGGCGGACCUUUUAAGAUAGAACCCCAAGUUUUAACAUCCCUUAUAUUCUUGCCAUAGGGUCUCAUGAAAUCUGACGCAUAUUUGUGUGGGUCUUGUAAUUGAAUUUCGUCGAGUCCUAAUGCACUUUAACUUGUUGAAGACUUAAAGGUUGAAUCCCAACCUUGAGGGCCUCCAUCGCUCCGCCCCUGAAGCAUCAUGAGGGAGGUAAAUUGUGGGAUGUGCCCCAACAGGACAGGGAACAAGAGCUUGCCCGUACACUGGUGCCCACAAAGUGUUCAAUUCCAUAUCUUAGGAAUCGAACCCUCACAUUGCGACUGCCAGCAAGACCAAGACUAUCUCACUCCUGUCCUUUGCACCACUGGGUUAUGCCCCGGAGGCUAACUUGUUGAAGACUUUCCUAGUGAUGUAGUGGUUUCACGCUUUAAAGUAGGUUUAAUUUUUCUCAAAAGAGAGAUCAUCAAGUAAAUUUGAGAAAUUCGACUUUCAACACAAGUACAACUUUGUUAAAGUGUUAUAAGUUAAUAUUAAAAAAAUGUUUGAAUUGGUAGAUGAUGAGGAUGGCCAACCUAAUUGGGAAGUCUAGGUACACUUAUUCCUACCUCUUAACAUCCUUGUGUAAACAUGGAAAUGUAAACUUAUAAAGUAAAUAACUUUUAGUUUACGAGAAUUAUAAAUAAAAUAAGUUAUUAAUUUUAACAAUAAACAAGCACAUAUUUAAAAGAAAAACAAAUAUAAAUCGUAAUCAAAAGUUUUAUCCACAAAAAAAUCAUAGAGACACUGCAUUUCUUUAACACGCUUCAUACACGGUGAUUUUGAAUGUGUAUAUGGCGAAUACAUCUACACAUUAGAUAUCUGCAUAUAUAUUAUCAUUUAACAUAUAAAUUAAGCUCAUGUUUGGAAAGGUAUAGCUAAAAAAUUGAUAAAAAUUUAAGUUAAAAAGUCAAAGAUUAAUUUUCAUCACACAUUUAUUAGGAUCCAUAAUUUUUAUCUACUUUUCUAUCAAAUUUAUAAAAUUUAUCAAAAUCCAAUUAAAAUCUAAUUUUCAGCUAAACCAAAUGAGGACUAAUUCGUAUGUAGUAACAUGCAAUCCAAUGCGUAUGCUAGAAGUCAACAUAUGAAUUUUCAAAGCUAUUAUACCUUUGAUUUCACCCAAUAAUAGGAAUCUAUUAAAAAUCUUAUUUUAAGCUAAAUCAGACAGGGGCUAAUUCACAUGUUGUAGCAUGCAAUCCCAUGCGAGCUCUAGAAGUCACUAUAUGACAUUUCCAAACUAUACACAUCUGAUUUCACCCAAUACAAGAAGUAACCAGUCCAUGGCUAGUAACAAUUAAGCCCUUGUUUGAGCCUCAUCCCCCCCCCCCCCCCCCCCCCCCCCCCCCCGAGGGGUUUUUAUUUUGGAAUAGUUUUCCUGGAAAAUGCGUGGUUAAAUUUUUUUUAUUUUUAAAAUCAACUUAUGUGUAAAAUUAAUUUAUUGAAGAAUGUGUGGUUGAAAUUGAGUUUUGAAACAAUGAGUCUUUGGUAAAAUGGAGCUCAAACAAGGGCCAAGUGCUUUCACCAUUACAUUGUGUCCACUUACUUUUAUAGUAAUCUAUCCAACAAAGUAAAGCAUUAGCUCAAAAAGACUUAAGACAGCUUGAAAUUGAAGAUGUAGCUAGCAUAAUAUUAUACGCCAUUCAGAAAAAAAGGGUUUCUAGUCUCAAGAAGCCCACAUCACAAGAUUUCAAUUACUCCUGACCUUUUUGAGCUAGUAAGCGAGCCUGCAUUAAGCUCUACCACCAAAGUUCAUUUUUAUCGAAAGCUUUAAAAAAUGACCUUUGCAUUUGGUAAACACGCUUAAAUUUGUUCGUCUCGAUCAAAAUCCCAAAAUUCUUCGUCAGCAAGUUUCUCUAAUGGUCAUUUCAGCCUGAUCACCAUCUUAUCAAGCUUCGGCGAUUUCUCUAAUAAAAGCUUGACGAGUGUCAUCUCAAGAACUGUUGAAGAAAUACAUUCCAGCUUCACUUUUUGAAGCCGAUUAAAGCUACAAAAAAAUGCUUUCCAACAGCCAAAAAAAUUGGUCGCUAAAAUAAAAAUUCUGGUUGGUAAAAAGUAUCAGCAACCAAAAUUGAAUGAUCGCUGCUUGGUCGCUAAUUCACCGUCGGUGAAUGUGUUUAGUGACCAAUGUUGUUUGGUUGCUAAUUAUGUAACGUUCACCAACCAAAAUCAACUUAUGUGUAAAAUUAAUUUAUUGAAGAAUGUGUGGUUGAAAUUGAGUUUUGAAACAAUGAGUCUUUGGUAAAAUGGAGCUCAAACAAGGGCCAAGUGCUUUCACCAUUACAUUGUGUCCACUUACUUUUAUAGUAAUCUAUCCAACAAAGUAAAGCAUUAGCUCAAAAAGACUUAAGACAGCUUGAAAUUGAAGAUGUAGCUAGCAUAAUAUUAUACGCCAUUCAGAAAAAAAGGGUUUCUAGUCUCAAGAAGCCCACAUCACAAGAUUUCAAUUACUCCUGACCUUUUUGAGCUAGUAAGCGAGCCUGCAUUAAGCUCUACCACCAAAGUUCAUUUUUAUCGAAAGCUUUAAAAAAUGACCUUUGCAUUUGGUAAACACGCUUAAAUUUGUUCGUCUCGAUCAAAAUCCCAAAAUUCUUCGUCAGCAAGUUUCUCUAAUGGUCAUUUCAGCCUGAUCACCAUCUUAUCAAGCUUCGGCGAUUUCUCUAAUAAAAGCUUGACGAGUGUCAUCUCAAGAACUGUUGAAGAAAUACAUUCCAGCUUCACUUUUUGAAGCCGAUUAAAGCUACAAAAAAAUGCUUUCCAACAGCCAAAAAAAUUGGUCGCUAAAAUAAAAAUUCUGGUUGGUAAAAAGUAUCAGCAACCAAAAUUGAAUGAUCGCUGCUUGGUCGCUAAUUCACCGUCGGUGAAUGUGUUUAGUGACCAAUGUUGUUUGGUUGCUAAUUAUGUAACGUUCACCAACCAAAUGUUUGGUCUGUAUUUGGUGGCUGAUAAUAGCAAAAAAUUGGUUGGUAUGUACCCUUUUGCAACCAAGAGUUUGGUCAGUAAAGGUGUAGGUCAAUGAAGGUGUAGAAUUUUUAUUUAUUUAUUUUUUACCAAUGGUUUAGAUGGAAUUUCAGCAACCACAAGUUAGGUUGUACCUUAUUAAAAUUUCUAAUUAAUAAAGUUAAUAAAUAAUGCAAGAGAAAAUAAUAAAAAAAUAUACAAUAACUACAAAAAAAUAAUUGUGAUUGCAUACAUAACAAUUACUAAUAGUUAAUACAUAAAUUAAAAUGUCAUUGUAUAUUUAUCCAACAACAUAUCAUAGACCCUAAUAUAGAAUGUGUCAUAUAUCUCACCAAAUCUAUCCUAUACCUUACAAAAGAUGUCUUAUAUUUUUAGUAACAUAAGUGUCCUAGACUUUAUGAACAAAAGGUAUGUGCAGACAAAAAAAUAAAAAAAUAAAAAAAAUCUAGUUAUAGACUUUUGUUCCAUUCAUACUCUAUAUCUUGCAUCAUCAGUAUCACUGGAUCAAUGAAUUUGCAGAAUUUGAUGCAUGCAAAAAGGGACACCAGUCACCUUUUAAAUAGCACCCUUUCCGAAAGAGUAUGCAGGGCAUCCCUUGUUUAUUAGAGACAUUAGGAACAUCAGAAGGUGUAGAGACAGUCUGCAAUGGAAGUAUAGAAGAUGAAGCAGAAGUUCGUUCUUGUGUUCCCAAUAGUCCAUCCAAUGACUGAAGAACAAAAGAAGAUCAAUACCCACUUUGCUAAUAAUAAAAACGAAUAGUUAAGAAUUGUGAUAUCACCGAAAAUAAAAGAAGAUCAGUAUCUAUGUUUGCAUAUGAUAUAAUAAUACACUUUCGGAUGAUAGAAUAAUGCAAUCUAUGUUAAGAAAGAGAAGGAUGAUAGAAUCCAUACUUGGGAUUCGAGCAAUUACCAUCAAUGCAAUUGAACUUAAAUUAAAUGUAUUUCUACUAGGUGUGCAUAAAGUAGACUAAGCCCUACAAUAAUAAAGUUCUUACUUUAUGUAUUCUCAAAAUAUGAUGAAUGCUAUGUUUUCCUUUUGUAAGGAUCCCGUAUAAUUGAACCUUCACAUGGGUGCAAAUAGAAGCUGCAUCUAUAGCUAAAAAGGACUUCAUAUACACUGUGAACUACAGAGCAUAUAAAAAGGAAUAUAGUAGAAGAAAUACCAAGUAUAAUAAAGAUCACAAACAUUACUGAACUAAACUCAGUACAACAAACCUUCCAGUUGAAUCCAAAAGCAGUGCUCUUAUAUUAUCAGUGUCCUCUACGCUUCAUAAUCUUAGAACCAGAUAUUGGGUACCACACACCCACAACCUAUAAGAUAUAAAAAAUUUGUAGGCCAAUUAUAAGGCAAUCCAAAGAUUAUUAUAUCGUAAGUGUGUUGAAACCAUUACAUUUGAACAUUUGAAAAAACAGGAUACUCCUUAGUAGUCUCUCACAAUAAAGCAAUACAUGAAACAGAAGUAAUAGGAUACUCCAAAGAUGACUAGUAAUAUAUUUGGUUGAAAGAGGCUACACCAGAUAGCAACCAUCAUGCCAGUACACAAAUUUCUCUUCCUUGAACAUCAAGUGGAUCUGCAAGCAGGAAUAAGGUUUUACUAGGUUGAAUGGCUUAAAAUGAUCUUUCCAAUCCAUCUAGACGGAAAUACAUGGGCAAAGCCUAAACAACGAUUGGUUCGAUCCAUCUUAUUGAUUGGACUCAUAAGAAUUAAUGAAUCUAUCAAAUAGAUAAAAUGAUCUAAACUAAUCCAGCAACAUUCAUUUCCUUUUCAUUUUAUUGUUUCCUUUUCAUUUUAUUAUCCGUUCUUUGUUAAACCUUCUGUCUACACACAAAAUGAAGUAUUUUACCUUGAUUUACAGCAAUAACUUCCUCAUUGCUUAUAACUUCAAAUGUCUCUGAGUCACGUUUCUUAUAUCACAACCAAUCAAAAGAGGUGCCAGCACAUUCAACAAAAUGCCAAUUAAUUCGUGGAGGAUUGAGAAGGCGAAUGUUAUUUUAUGUUGAUUACAAGAAUACCUCAUUGUUUGACAAUGGUUCCGAUGAAAGAUUCAUGCUUUUAAGCUGGUAGAUGACAAGUUAUUAAAAAGGAGACACUAACAAAGUAUAGUAUUAUAUUUGGUUGAAAUCUAUGUUUUAUCGGAACCAAAAGUACAGUUGGGAGGUAUGCAUUAGUGACAGCAAUGAAUACCGAUAUUUUUUUAACAGUCCCAUAAAAAAACAUUAACCUCGAAAGGAAAUAUAGAGAUACACAAAAGAGUUAAUCGAAGAAGAGAGAAAGUAUACCCAAUCCACAAGCAAUUUGAAUGUAGCAGAGUAGGCAGCAACAUCUUCAGCUAAUGCCCGUCUCUUUAAUGUUCCAUCACAACUCCUAGUGAAGAGAUAAUUAUACGCAUAUAGAACUGCAAAUAAAGGAACUGCCCAACAGAAGAGACGACAAAAAUUAGUACGCAAUCUGCAGUAGCAUAUACUUGUAGGGACAAUUACGAAGAUUCAUAAUUGGUUGAAAGAUUGACGUACUCAAACCUCUCCAGUUUUGGGUAAUUGCUGUGAGAACUGCGAGUAGGGAGAGACGAAAUGUCGAAGGGAGUGUAAUUUGAAAAUUUAAUUUAGCCCCUGUUUGAGCCCAUUUUUACCUCAUUAAAAUGAAAAAUAUGAUCGUUAUCCAUCACAUCAAACCAUCAUUUUUAAAUUUCUAUCUCUGGUGUGGGGCCUAUAACGGCUCUAUUUCUCAUUCUCAUUCUCAUUCUCAUUAUAACGUGGCUCAAACGGGCUCUUAGGGUUUCGAAUGGGAUAGGUCUCAUUUUUCCGAUUUAGGCUAUUCAUUCGGACAUCAACAAUUAUAUUAUAUCUGAAAAUUGUGUUAGAUGUAUAUUAUAUUUUUAUUUAUUACUUAGCCGAUGUUUAUUUUUUAUUAUUUGUCCAUUAAAAUGAAAAAUAUAAUUAUUAUCCAUCACAUCAAGCCACCAUAUUUGACUUUAUUUCUCUUGUGUGAACCCGUAAUGACAAUAUUUUUCAUGCAUAUUCUUACAUUAAUGUGGCUCAAACAGGGCCUUAAAAAUAUUUAUAAAUUAGUAUUAAAAAUGACACUUUUGUUAGGAAAUUAAUAAUUUUAUAGAUAAUUUAUUUUAAUUUUUUUUAUCGAAAGUACUAAUAACUAAAAUAUGGCUGUUGAUUUAAAAGUGCAUCUCCAUUGACCAACAAAAAUAUGUUCAUUGGUCGGUAAAAUGUCUAUACUAAAUUCUCCAAUGAUAAAAAUCAAUGUUGGUUGCUAAAACCCAUUAUUGACCAAUUCUUGAUCGCUAAUUAAUUCUUCAAAAAUAUCACUAGCCAAAUUAAUAAAUAAUCUAGACGACAUCCUUCGGUGACCACAUCAAAUUUGGUUGAUGAUACACAAAAUCAGCAACCAACCCUUGUUUGGUUGAUGAAACAAUCUUCCAUAGACCAAAUAUUGGUCGUUGCAUCAUCAUUAACACCAACCAAACAAAGUGAUUGCUAUAACUUCAAAUAAAAAAUGUCCACUCCUUUUAGGGGUUUUAGCGACCAUUUUGGGCAUGGUUGCUGAAACAUUCCUCCAAGGACUAUAAAUUGGUAGCUAAAUCAUUACAUAUUUCCGACUAUAUCACAAUGGUCGCAAAACCCCAAUAAAAAAGGUGGGAUCUAUUCCCUCCAAGGGCUUCAGUGACCAAUCUAUAUAUGGUUGUUGAAACAAUCUUCCAGCGACCAAAUAUUGGUUGCUAAAAGUGCCUGUCGCGCAAAAUAAUUUUGCUUGCUUUUUCCCACCUAUUUAUUAGCGACUAAAUUGUGUUUGGUGGCUAAUACAUCGAAUCGGCAACCAUUUUUUGGUUGCAAUAGGGCACAAGAAAAAUAAUACAAUUCUAUCCGACCAAAAAUGUUACCAACCAAUAAUUGGUCGGUAAAUGUGGCUUUUAGCGACCAAUUUUAUUUGGUCGCUAAAUCUUUGGUCGGUGGAGCCCUUUUUUGUUGUAGCAUAUAUAUCCGAGUAGUCUUGCAACCUCAAGAAGUCUAAAACAGGAUGUGCUUCAGCAAGUGGGAGUGGCCUAUGCAAAAUCUACACAAUAUGACAAAAAGUCACUUAUCUUAAACUUUUAGGUUAAAUUGGAAAAUAGAGUAUCGUAAACUGUAUAGUCGUGUCCAUUACUUGUCUGGUGUUUCAGUUUCUCAAGAUUCGGGGAGCUUUUGAACAAGCAAAGAACAUAAGAGAGAUCCUCCACUGAGUCUAAACAUACAUAACAUAAAUUUAGAAUUUUAAGCUGGACUUCAGUAGCUGGAAGCCUUGUUUGGAAAUCUUGGAAGCGGAUGGCAAAAGCAUGAUCAAAUAUAGUUAAAUUGAUGAUUUCAAGGAAAUUAUAGUUAUAAUCAGCCAUACCUUCAUCAUCUGAUAGUCCAUGCACAGUUGAUGGAGUGAGGGCAGGGAAUCAAAAAACUCAGUGAAGUUAUAUUUUCUAUGAAUGAUAAAAUUGUAACGGAGAGAGUGGGGAUUUCUUAAAAUAAACAUAUGUGCAGAAUAUUUCAAUUUAACGAGUUUUAGCUUGGGAGCAUUAAUUGUUAAGUGGUGAAAUCCAGCUGGGACAUGCAACUCCAGUUGCUUCUAAUACUUCAGUAUCAAUGAUGACAUCAAGCAAUUCCAGUGUAAUCAGCCUAUUAAAACCUUUGAAGCUUGGUGGAGGAUUGAUCGAACAAAAAGAAAGUUUCAAAUGUUUCAAUAGUGAACAUGUAAAUAGUGAAGAAGGCAAUUUGUACACUUCACCCUUCUUCAUUUUCAAAGUGGAUUCUUCAACAUCUUUCUUCCAUGAGAUAUAUAUCUAGUGGUCAAUUUCAGAACCAACUCUGAGUUUUGGAAUAAUUAGUGAUGUCAAUGGGCUGAGCCCCUUAAUCUCAUGAGCUCGGCUCGCGCUCAUGGCGAGCCGAGCUCGUGGCUCAUUUUCAACGAGCCAAGCUCGACCUCGGCUCACAAGCUCGUGGCUCGUCCGAGCUCGUGGACCUAGCCGAGCUUUGGCUUGCGAGCUCGUCAUCUUUUUCUUUUUUUUUUAAAUAGAGAAAAGCACAAAUAAUGUAAUAAAAAUACUUUUUUAAAAAAUAAAAAAUGUUAAAAAAUACAAAUAAUUUAAUGAAGACAUUUUUUUCUUUUUUUUAUUUAUAUCAUAUUGUAAUAUUUUUUAUAAAGUAUAAAAUAUUUAUAUAAUGAAAACGAAUUGUUUUUUGAAAUACAUUUACAAAAAUACAUUUUUUUCAAUUUCUUUUUAAAGUAAAUAAAAUGUAAACCCUCCUUCUUUAUCCGAGCUUGGGACCAAUUACAUCAAUUUUAAGUAGACGAAGUUAAAAAUUGUACACAAACAACUUGUUAUAACGUGUAUAAUUUUUAAAGAAAAUUAAAUUUAACGAUUAAAAAAUAAGAAAGUUUUGAUUAAUAUAAUUAAAUCAAAUAUCACUUACUUGACGACAUGCAAUUUCAGCACAUUUAUCUUGUAAUCGAAAAUGAGCAUCCUGUCAAUCUUUCACGCACAUUAAUGCUUCCAAAUAUCUUCUUUCAGUCGGCUCCUGAUAUCGAUCAAAAUACAUUUAUCUGCACUAAAAGUAGACUCCGAAACAAUAGUGCUAAUCGGAGGUGUCAACAAAUCUUUCGCAAUUACGGAAACAAUUGGCCAACGUCUUUCAUACUUUCGCCAGAAUUCAAUUACUUCCUCUGAACUUUUUUAAUUGUUCCGUUUGUUGGUAUAUUAUGAUUGAAGUAAUCAAUUAAUUCGGAAGACAUCACACUUUGAGUUGCGACCGAUGUUUGAUGAGAUGCAAAUGUAGAUGACAUGACACUAGAUGAACAUAUUGCAGUUGCAUCAUAUCUAAAUGUAUUAAUGCCUUGAAAUAAAUUCAUUAUUUCGACAUCAUCUUUUUCAAUUUCAGCCGAAUGAGUAGGUGUAGAGAGUACCUGACUAAUAUUCCCACCUAUUCUUUUCGCAUAUAAAUCAUACAUUCCACAUAAUAUUUGCUCUAAAUUAUUAUAAGUGAUAGGUAUAUCAAGCAUUAAGACUUUAUUGAUUUGAUCAAUUAGGUAUUUAGUUCUCGAAAUAUUAUAUCGGGGGUCCAUUGCGCAUGCUAAAGGAAAUAACAUAGGCAGUUUUUCCCAAUAUUUUUCUAAACUUUAAUUCCAUUGCAAUUAUAAUUUCACUAAUAUCAGGAUUAUUUGUAUAUUUAUGGAAUGUUCUUACAACUAUAUAAAGGAGUUCAAGCACCAUAUAGCUUGUGGGAUAAUAAACGCCGGACAAAAUCUUUGUGAUCUCAUAAAAAGAUGUCAAAAAUCGUUUAACUUUCAAAGCCUAAACCCAAUCGGAUUCAUUCAACAUACCAUCGUCAUCACUUCUAACGUGUCUAUUAUUAUAAAAGUCAGUUAUUAAAUGUUCAAAACCUUCAUAUGACUUUAAUAGCAAGUAAGUAGAGUUCCAUCUAUGGCCUACGUCGCUAUCAAAUGUUUUAGCAGCCGUCACCCCUAGUUCGGCAUAAAAAUCUUCAAAUGCUUGUUUUCUACUAGGAGAGAUCGUAAUAUAUACUAAUACAUUCCUAAUCCUUUGAAAUUCAUCAUUUAUAUGUCUUAGGCCAUUUUGCACAAUUAAAUUCAAGAUAUGGCACACACAAUGAAUAUGAAACAAAUGCCCACCAAAAUUAGGUUGAAGUGUCCUACACAAUUUAUCGACGACUACUUUAUUAAUACUAGCAUUAUCAAAAGUAAAAGACCAAAUUUUAGUCUCACAAUUAUAUUCUCUAACAAUACUGGCAAUAUCAUUAUAUAUAUUAUUAGUAUUGUGAGGAAAUUCAAUAAUUCUAAAAGCAAUAAUUUUUUUAUGCAUGCACCAAAGUGGGACUAUAUAGUGUGCGGUUGCGGCUAUAUAUGAUCUUUUAUUAACCUCUUCCAAUAUAUCAGAAGUUAAAGAUGUAACACCCCAUAUUGUUGCAAAUCCAUAAUUAAUUGUUGUUUUGAAUUAUUGAAAAUAUUGCAUUAUAUUGGCACGAAGAGUAUUUCGACUUACCCCAACGUACCUUGUUUGCAGAUAUUCUUUCACGAACGAGACGAAGUGUUGGUUGUUUGCAAUAGCCAAAGGCAACUUAGUGGCGGCAACAAAUUUCACCAUUUCGGUUCGAGUAUUGUCUUCCGAAUAAACCCACGUGGAUAGGGGUGAAGUCGUAGAACCAACGCCUGGAUUGCCAAAUUGCAAUUGUGUUUGACCAGCUGGAAGAAGUCCAUGUUUGGCCACACAUGCUUUGUAGUGGCGGUUGAGAUAGGUGGUACCAAUUCCUUUUUGCCAUACCAAUCUUUGUUGACAGUAUUUACAUACUGCCUUAGAUUCUGCAAGGCCAUCGAUGACUUUUUUCGUUGAAAUCAGCUUAAAAUGAUCCCAAAAUAUUGCUUGUUUUUUGUCCUUUUGCUUUUCCCUUGCAUUUAGAAUGUUUAAUUCAGCAUCUUCGUUCUCAUGUUCCACUUCGGAAACGUUAAUAUAAUCCAACUCAAUUGGAUUGUGGCUUUCCUGAUCGUGAAUGUGAAUAUCUUCAGUAUGAAUACGUCAUUUAGACCGGCAAAUUCAUUUGAAAACUGACUUUACAGCGUCCUAGGCGAUUCGCCAUGUGGUCCACAUUCCGUAUUGAAUAAGCUUUUAACAAAUGAGCGUUGAUCCAUUUUUUUGAUUGUUUAUGAUGAAAUCCAAAUAUAAUAACUAGAACAAUAUAAAUGUAGUGAGAAUUGAGAAUUGGAUGAAUUGAAAUUGUAACUGAAUAAACUGUAAAAAAUGAAUCGAUAUUGUUUAUUUUGUAGCACAAGAGAGUAAAAAUUUGACAAUUGAUAUAAUAAAAGAGAGUUGAGAAAUGAGAGGUAGUGAAUUAGAGGAGACAAUUGAUAUGAGAAAAAAAAAGACGAGUUAAAGGGUAUUUAUAGUAGAAGGGAAAAAAAUUUAAAAAAUUUCAGCGACCAUUUUGGUCACUAUUUUCACGAGCCACAAGCCGAUCGUGGGUGGCUCGUCUUCAAGGUGAGCCAAGCGGGCUCGGCUCGUUUCUCGACGAGGCCAGCUUGGCUCGUGCUUGGGCUUGUGAUUGUACGAGCUCGAGCCGCCCACAAACUCUAUUUCGAUGAGCCAAGCGAUCGAGCUGACGAGCGGGUCGGCCCUUUUGACAUCCUUAGGAGUAAUGAGGCUCGACUUAAUUAUGGAUCCUUGGUGAAGUAAAAGAAUCUGGUAAAGAAUCCCUACAAACUUCAUUCUAGCCAAUUCUUGGUUUCUCUUUUGAUUCUUGCCAUGUUGUAACAUCAAAUAUCAGCUGUGGCAGUUUGACCCAUUUGUUGGGAAUCUACUUAACGUGUGCAGCGAAAAAUUAAAAAAAAAAUUCAAUUCCCACGAGGAAGAGGUUGUACAUUUUCUAGAUCUGCAAACUUCUUUGCCUUAUCUUUGUUCCAGCAACUUGGAUCUAUCUCCCACAGCUGUCUAAUUGUUCAGCCUCCAACGGUCAUCCACAUAGAGAACAAGAUUGUAGGAUUAAGGUUUUUCUUGUGCUAGAAAGAAUAAUGAAAAAUUUCUAAAGUUUUUGAAAACCUUAAUCAUAUUUAUAUAAGCCCGAAUGGGCUGGGCCGGGCCUGACCUAGUCCAAUAUUUAAUUAACCCAUUUAAUUAAAUCCGGUUCAUGAAUUGAUUAAUCUAAUUAAUCAAUUCAGGCCUAUAAAUAAGCAACCUAAUUUAUUAAUUUAUUCAACACUUGUUAAAUUAAUUAAUUGACAAGUCACAAUCUUCUAAUUCUCCUUUUGUGUGCAACCCAUUAGGUUUCCGAUCACGAUACCUAACGAUGUGAAAUAUUAUUUUGAUCUAAUCAAAAUUGAUAAAUUAAAAUAUCCUUUUAAUUUAUCACCAAUUCACACUCGUUGUCCAAGCUUGACAUAUAACAAUGUGUCAGGGCAAUACAUGUGAUGAGAAAUGUUACGUGGUAUGAGAAAACCAAACUCGUUCAUUUACCGUCAAACUAUAAUCCCUUCGUCAAUAUGAUCCGAUCAAUUACGAGAUAUAGAAGUGUGUCAAUCUCGACUAUCAAUCAUAUCUUUUACUCCACUAAUAAGUCAAUAUAAGUCAAAAACUCCUUUUCGACUUAUGAGUACACCUUGGCCAAGAAUUUUAUUAUUGACUUAAUUGAAUGAAAUGCAGAUCAUAAUCUCUUACUAUGUAAGAGUGACGAAUCCUCUAUUAGUCAUUCACAACCUUCACAUGAUUCUUGACAUACUCGAACGAUGUGGUAUUAGUGGCCCUUGGCAGAGCAACAUCCAACACUGUCAAAGCAUUACUAUCCUCAUAUAAGGUACUAUGAUGACAUCAAGUCAAAGAACAAAUUCCACUACCGAACGUUAGAAAUUAACCACUGACAUUCAGAUAGUUAUCCAUAUAGAAUCUCUCGACGGGUCACCAAUGUUUUGUUCUAUAGCAAAAUAUCCACGGGUUCAUUCAAGUGUCACCACACUUUAGCUUGUGAGAUCAGCUACUUACUUCAUAAGUAAGAAAUAUCACACGUGAUGGUCUAUCUGUAAUAACGAUAUAUAUAUCUCGUUAUUACUUACGACCACAGACGAUUUAAGAUUCAAUCACAUAUAACUUGUAUCUCACAAUCACAACUCCUUGUGAUUAACAAAUUACGAAAAUUUGAAUCUGCGGACUCUAUUAUAUAAUUUAAUUGUAUAUUAAUUAAAUAAUAGAUCUAACAUUAAAUUGCAUUAAUUAUGUAUUAAAAGUAUUUAUAUACAAAGUUGAUUGGAACUAGGACAUAACACUUACACCAUUUAUACCUCCAUUGCUUUCACAAGACACAAGUCUUUGCAGCAUCACGUACUAUCAAACACAUUAAUAUGAUCUAUAUGACAUUAUCAGGAAGGUCACUUAUCAUAUCAAUAGGCUCGAAUUGGGCAAUCUUCAUUCUGCUAUGUAAUUGGCUAACAAAAUUCUGUAACAACUCUCAAUUAAUAAAAAUUUCAAAUUGCCUUAAACUAACUUGCAUGCGUGUAGAAGAUAUAAACAAAUUCUGCAUUAAGUUCACAAAAUUUUGUUCGCUUUAUUUUAAUUUUUUACACCGAUAUUUUUAAUAGUUAUCGAAUUGGUCAUAUCACUAAGAAAGUAGAGAUAAUAUUCAUAGUUGAUAUUUACAUUUGCAUAUGCUUAAAAUAUACUUUUGAACAGAAUUUCAAUAAAAAAAAAAAAAAAUUCAUGUAGCCCAUCCAAACUUAUUCACAACAAUCUUUAGUUGUUAUUAUUAUUAUUAUUAUUAUUAUUAUUAUUAUUAUUAUUAUUAUUAUAACUCAGAUAUCCAAACUUCGCCUAAAUAAUCCUGAGCAGUGGCGGCCUUCCCCCCUGGUUUACCACCCGGCUAAAUCCGGAUGCGAACACAACUUAUACACAAUUGGGCUGGACAUUCAGGAUGCUGCUCUUCUCCCUGUAAACUUUCCUUUACGACGUGCGGACAAGACCCCCGAAGAGGUGACAAAGCGCACCAUAACUUUGCCUCCAUAGAACAACUACCUUCCAACAUAAAUGUUGCCUUCUAGCUACCAUGGGGAGUCGAACCUCCGAUAUCCGUGUGGAACCCUCCUGCUUUACCACUACACCAUGCCCGUGAGGGCACAAUCUUUAGUUUGUUGUUAUUCUUAGUGGUGGACAAGGUGGCCAACUGCUCAUUCUAAUAAAUUAUGAGCAAACAAUAAAAUAAGCACCUCAUAUAUAUUGUUUCAAGUUUUAUUGAAUUGUAUGCAUAUUAUAAUUAACUUUAAUUGGCAUGUCAAUCGUCUUGGACUUUCAAGGUAUAAUCCACUACAACAUUUUAUUAGUCACAAUGAAGAUAAAUUAACAAUAAACAUAUAACAUUUCAUUAGGCAGUAUUACAUUUGCAAAAAUUAGGACAAGAGAAAUGUGAUGUUACAUGUUAAAAUUAAUUUUUUAGUCAAUUUUGAUAAAAAUUGAUGUAAUAGGUGAUUAGAAAGUUAUGAAUAUCAUAAAAUACGUGAUCUAAAUGAAUUAUUGAUUUUGACUUUGAUAAAAAUUUAAAUUUAAAUUCCCAUCCCAAUACCUACUUACCCACAUGAAUAAUGAUUGAAAAUUAGAUGAUGUGGCAUGGCUUAUUAAAACAAAAGAAAAAGAAACACUACCUCUACAAGUGUAAAAAAUCGGGAAAUGGGAAUUCAUUCUACCAUUUUAACCCUACUUUGCGUCGACUCGCGCCACUGCCAAACCCACCCAUCGCUAAUUUUCAAUCCAUCUCCGACGCAACUCCGACCACUGGGUAAAUAGAAAGACUACAUUUCACACCAUUUUUCCCAAAUUUUGUGUCGAUCUUACAACCGAAAACCCAUCCAUAUCGAGUCAAAAUCCGGGGAACUGACCGGAGAACUUUGAGCUAUUUGUAAACAAGAGGUUGGACGUGUUCCUUACAUCCCACCACUUUCAUCAGCAAGUCUGAAACUUGCUCUAACCCUAAAUGAUAGAAAAAGGUAUUUUCUCAUCCUUCCUUGAAUGCAUCCAAAUUUGUUUAAAUUUAUUGUUAAGUGGUCACAUGAGUCCAUAUGUUGUCAUCCUUCGCCUAUUACCCACAACAGAUAACUGAGUUCUAUUGACCUGAGUUUGAAAACUUGAACAGAGCAUAACUUAUACGUCACUCAUUUUUGUUCUAUUCUGGAUCCGAAAUUAUGGAAGAUGAUAACCAUGACUUGUUUAUCAAAGUGUGUACAUUUGAAUAUUUAACCUUUGUUGUAUUUGUUUUCAUCAAUGUCUUUCUUGAUUUCUUCAUGUAUGGAACCGAUCUUUUUAUGACAAACAUAUCUCUUCUCAUUGACAGAGGCAUUGAAGCUAAACAGCCAAACUCUGCUAUUGGUAAAUGUGCUGGGGUUAAACUCAUUAAGAAUAACAAGAAGAUUGCUGCUUUUGUCCCCCAUGAUGUUUGUUUAAAUGUGCUUUACUUUGCUAGUGAAAUUAGUACAUCUAGAAAUGUUCAUACUUCUUAAGCAUGGAUGCCUGAUAUGUAAUUUGCUGGAUAUUAUUUCGUAUUUUCUUUUAAUUUACUGUAUCAGAAUUUGUGUUGCUAUGUGUUGAUAUUUAGAUAAUCAUUUUCUGGUCUCUCUCUCUCUCUUGCAGUUGGAACAUUGCAUGCAUUUUUUUUUAUUGAUAAUCAAGUAAUAUAUUUUGGCCAAAUUAAUUGAAAUCCUAUGUAACUUGGGCAUGCUUUUCGGCCGUGUGAUAGUCCUUUCUAAAUGUGGACAAGGCACAAUGUUGGCUUAAUAACUCAGCUUGGUCGAGCUCGCCUGUACUAGUCGUGGAGGAUCGGCACAACUAUUUCUCCAAGGCCACAACUACUAUUUUGUCCUAGGAUAGAAGGCUAAUAUAAGUCUGUUGUCACAAAAAAGUUUGUUGAUUCAGUUUGUAUAUUUGUUUAUCAAAGUGUGUACACACUUUUGAUAUGUUAGUUUUUUACUUUUGAUAAAAACAACUCUUUCUAUUACACAAUAGUUUGGAUUACGACUAUUCAACUUCGUUCAAAUGUACACGUAUUUGCAUUUUAUUGUUUGACUAUUCAAAUGUACACACGUCACAAUAUUAUUUAUUUACGUGCUUUAUGGUAACCAAUUUUUAUUACCAUUAUUGCAUUGACAAAGGUUUUCAACAUACAGUGAAUUGAAGCACACAUUGCAGUGAGUCUAAUGUCUAAACACAAUAAGAAGAUACUUUGGUUCUUUUCAUUCUUUUAACCGUGUUCUAAAGUCUAAAUAUUUGGGCUUGUCUUAACUUAAUGAGGAAACCGGUUCUGUUGCCUUGUCUUCUACACUUAGCAAAAUGCCCAGUUUAGUAUAGGAAACUUUCAUUUUGGGACACAUAACAAAUGUUAUCAACUACACAACACAAGCAACUUUUGUCAAAUAAUUUGGCCGGGAUGUUUGAAAAUAUAAAUGAGAACAAUUACAUGACAAAUUUCUAAAACCAUAACAUAUGUUACAACGAACCUCAUAACAAUCAUAUGUCAAACGAUCGAACAAUUAUGACAAGAUUAACCGUACAUCUAAUAUCCUACAAUGACCAAACCGUUCGUUCAUUAUGAUAAUCCAUAAAGCAAAUUCAAAUAAGCCGUUUAAGUCUAACCCUUUCCUUUCCCUUCCCAUCACACUUUGCGAUUUCCUAUCCUUUAAUAAAACUCAGGCGCAAUGAUAUGUCCACGUCUAGUUUCUCGCUAAUUCGAGCUAGAUUGUCAAAGAGUUUUGGCAACUCUUCAUAUUCCACGUUCGACGCAUGAUUCACCGCUUCAUUAACGGAACUCGACUCCAUGCUUAACACUUCUUCUUUUACCCAGUCAAAAUAUUCACAAUCAUUACUACAAGUGAAGAACAAUCGUCCUUUGUUACUAACAUCCCAUUCGACCUCAAAACAUUUUCGAUAACCGUGUUUACACGAAGGGCAUCGACGUUUUGAUUGGCAUUGUCCAAAGUAGCGAGUGUCAAAUUCCGGAAUUCCUUCCUCUCAUUCUAGUCGAUCCUAGCUAAAAAAACAAAUAAACAAGCAUGAAUGCAAUUGAAUCACAAAUUCCCAUAUCAACUACCUAAACCUCACCAUCCAUGUCAAAAAGCAUUACCCAAUUUGAUUGUCGACAUUAAAGAAUCAAAAGCAAAAGAGUAAAGGCAGAGCUAUAUGACCGACAUUAACCAUUCAAAACCAACAAUUCUGAUUAUCAAACAAGGCAUUAAACUAUUCGAGUCUCUGUCUAAAUGCAAGCCAUAUAAAAUCAUAUUAUCAAUGCCAUAUUAUUGAGUGUGGCCCCUUGAAAAAUCAACAUUGGGGAGAUUUAAUGUAAGAAUAAAAAAAAACCACCAAAAUUAAAGUAUAGAACCAGAAAAGAAGAACUACUUAUACAUUAUCACCGGAGAUGGAGCACAGUGUGGAGGUGAACGGAGUUCAAUGCGUUGUCGGCGAUGGCAAGUGAGUACGAAUGGCGGAUGCUAACUUGGUAUACCCUUCGUUGGUGCCGAUCUUUUGUGAUGGUGAGUGCAUACAUGGAAAAGUGAUUUGGGAGGAAUGAAAGAAAUUUCUUGAUAGUGCUUGGAGGAAAAUGGUUCAGACGGAAUGGGAGAAAUGGGAGAGAUAGUUUGGGGCAAGUUUUGGGGGAAAUUUUUGUAGUGGGUUUCUUUAUCUUUUUUUUUUUUAGUUUGUUUGUCUUUUUAUUUUUUAAUUAAUAGGCCAUGCCGCCUCAUCAAAUUUAAAAUCCUUUACCCAUUCUGUAGUGCCUUUUCUGUACCCAUAGCUAAAUUGUACCUCAUAUGCUUCAUAUGAGAUGUAUAGCACACUUUCCUCAAUAAUUAGUUAAUUACUUUACUAGUCUUCUCUCCUUAAUAAUUACUUUACUAGUCUUCUUUCUUCAUCCGUUUACAUUUCCUUCCAUUUUUUGGUUCAGAGCUACAACCUCCAUUUCCAUGGCUUCUAUGCUAUAAGCUAAUCAAACCUUUCUGCUUUUGCUUCAGUGGUAGCGCUUAUUGUGUUUUAAGCAAAAAUUUAGAGGGUAGACAACAUUCGCUUUCACUAUCUUUCUUUUUCCCUGCAAUUCGACCAUCCUUUCCUUUCCUUGCAAUGGAUAUCUCAUUCACUGAUCCGUUUACUAGUCCUAUAAAUCUCCUUGAAAUUGUGAUCGAGCAUAUAUCACGUGUCUCCUCCUCACAUGUACAUAUAAUUUAUAUGUUAACUGUGCUUCGAGAUUUACUAUACCGUAGAGACUUUGAAGAUAUUGAAGAAUUCAGAAACUUUUUCCAAGUAUUAGUGUCAUUUGGGCAAGAGCUUAUGGUGCUCUUUACAGUCCCUAACCAGCAAAUCUUGUUCAAUUUAACUCCUACUCUCAAUUAUAAUGAAGUUGGUGUGGCCUUCAUCAACUUUUACCUCUUAAUGGUAGAAGUUAUCAUACAUUUUGAGGAAGAGUUGAUUGCUUGUUUAAAGGGUACGUUCCAAAAUCUCCGGACAGAGCUUGGAUUUCUCAUAAAUUUUCUUGGGGAUACAGCAAUGCAUUUGCAGCCCACCUAGACUAUAUUGAUAGAUAUCGAAGAUGUGGUCAAUGAGGUAGGAAUUUUCUUGUAUUCCUUACUUUUGGCCAUUGUUGUAUUUAUUCUGAUCAAUAAAGAAGAAGAAGCCUGUACUAGAAUAAUGGAUUUGGAAUUUGUGGUUGAUGAGGUAAAAAGUCUAAUUCAUUCCAAAUUUUUCCACUUACCAUUGCUAUCCACUAUGGUGAAGUGAAGAAAAAGAAGAAAAAAACAGAAAAAGGCAAUGAUGGAUAUCAAAGCUCUGCUCCCAAAAAUAGGAAGUUUAUUAUAUAUCUUUAUUUUCACCGAGGAUGAUCAAGUUAUGGAGACAGGAAUCUUGGAUCUUGCUCUUUCUGAUUUAUUUACAAACUUUGAGACCUUGAAAGCAAAGAUUAAAGAGCACUGCAUCACGGUCUCAAAGAUGCCAAGUGAUAUCGCUCCAAAGACUAGUGUGCUUUCACUCUUCAUUAUUGAUUCUGUCCUUGAUGAUCUCAUAGAUCUAAUAAAUAACAAGUCUGACUGGAUUGUUGUUGUGAAUGAUCAAAUUGUAACACUCCACGAGGAGCUAAUGUUAUUGGGAUCAUCCAUCACAGAUAUAGCACUGCAGCACGAAGUAGAACAUGAAGAACUUGUGACACGGAGCAAAGACAUAGUAUAUGAAGUUGAAUUUGAAAUCAACUCAUUUCCUCAUGUUUGGUAUCUUAUUCUCCGGCUCCCUCAACUCAUCGACAAGAUUCGGCUUAUUGUGAUGGCUAUCAAAGAAAUGAAGAACAAUAUUGAAGUAGUCAGAAUGUCAAAUGUUUCAAAACAUCCACAUGAACACGUAGAGCCACAGUCAAAAGAACCUUCCAUUUUGGAAGACAUUGUUGUGGGAUUUGACAAUGUAGUAAUUGAAAUCACAGAACAACUUGUUGGAGGAACAGGCCAGCUGCAAAUUAUUUGCAUCUUUGGGAUGUCUGGACUUGGUAAAACGACCUUGGAAAAUAAAUUAUAUAAACAUCUCUCCAUUUUAUACCAUUUUUACAAGCGUGCCUAGUGUGUUGUUUCUCAAAUAUAUACUAAGAAAAAUAUAUUGAUUGAAAUUUUGGGCUCAAUGAAUAACAGUAAGAGGGAUACAUACAUGAAAAAGGAGGAAGAAAUCUUGGUUCAAGAUCUUUACAAAAACUUAAAAAGAAGGCGAUUCCUCAUUGUGAUAGAUGACAUUGGGAUAUCAGUGUGUGGAUUGAUUUGAAAAGUUGUUUUUUAGAUGACGGAAUUGGAAGCAGAAUCUUAUUCGCUACUCGAAAUAAAGAAGUGGGUUUGAAGGCUUCAGCUCGCAAUGUCAUAAAUGAACUUCCUUUUUUGUUAGAAGUUGAGUGUUGGGAAAUAUUACAAGGGAGUGUUCAAAGAUAGAAAAUGUCCUCAAGAAUUGCUAGAUACUGGCAAGCUAAUUGUAAAAAACUAUCAGGGCCUACCACUUGCAGUGGUGGUAAUAGCUGGAGUUCUUGCAAACAUGGAGAAGUGAAAAAAACCUGUGGAAAAAAAUUGCAUGAAAUUUAAGUUCACAUAUAUCCGAAAUACGAGAGAAGUGCAUCCGAACAUUGCAAUUUAGCUACAAUCAUUUACCAAUGCAUUUGAAACCACGUUUUCUUUACUUUGGAGCAUUCAAAGAAGACAUGGAUAUCCCUGCACGGAAGUUGAUAUUUCUAUGGGUUGCAGAAGGAUUUAUAAAGAAGGAAGAACAGAAGAACAUAGAGGAUGUGGCACUAGAAUAACUAAUGAAACUGAUCGAUAGGAGCCUAGUACUUGUUGCUGAAAGAAGUUUUGAUGGAAGAGUCAAAACAUGCAAGAAUCAUGAUCUAUUGCAUGAAAUGUGCUUGAGAAUAGCUGAAGAAAAUAACUUUUUGAAGUUGAUCAAAGUGUAUUUCAAUGUUUUUCUUCUAUUUCCUUUCUUUUCUGUCCAUUUUUUUUAUUUUAGCUUACUAAGAAUGGUUAUUAUAUUUGAUGAUCGUAACAUGAUGUGAUUCUGUUUUUUUUUUUUACCAGUAAUGAUGAUGAUGAACAACGGUUCUUCAGUCAAGUAUCGACGUAUCAACAGUACCAUCAUCUGAGUAUCAACUAUGCAAAAUUUCUUAGUUCACUACCUGUUGGUCUACACGUACGCUCUCUUCUAUUGGAUUUGGAUUUUAUGAGUUCCAUCAAAUUAAUCUCAUGCAGCUACAAAGUUUUUAGGGUCUUUUGUGGAUGGUCACUGUAUGACUUUCUAAUAGGACUUGAAUAUCUGGUUCACUUGAGGUAUUUGGAAAUUUCAUGUACACUGCCACAAAUGGAAAACUUCCACAUAUUAGAAUUUCGUGUUGUGUACAAUGAUGAUGAAAUUGAAUUACCAGAGAUCCUUCUUAAUAUGGUGAGUUUGAGACACAUGGAGUUUAAGGGUGGUGCGUACUUCAUUGAAUCUAGUCGUCAACUUGCAACUAACAAUAAGAGCUUCCAAAUAAAUAACCUACAAAGUAUUUUUGUACUCUCAAUUUAUGAUGAAAUGGAUGAGAGUAUUUUGAGAAGUUCACCCAACCUUUGCAGAGUGGAAGGCAGAGUUGAGAAUUCAUUAAAUUGUUCCUUCAACUUCCUUAAUCAGCUCGAAUCACUGAAGCUAUCAACAGCACAUGGUACGCUUUAUUGGCGUUCCAGUUUGAUUAGUUGGCCCUUAAAUCUAAAAAAAUUAACUCUAGUUGGUGUAUAUCUGUCUCGAAAACAAAUGGAGAUAAUUGGAAGAUUGCGUUGCCUUGAGGUUCUCAAAUUAGUGUCUGCUGCCUUUGAGUGGGAACAAUGGGACACAAGUGAAAGUGAAUUCCCACAACUUAAAUACUUGAAACUUUGUGCCGUAAAAAUUGCAGAAUGGAAUGCCUCAAGUGAUAAUUUCCCAAGGCUUCAACGAAUAGUAUUGGAACAUUGCAAGAAUCUAAAGAUGAUCCCUUCCAAUUUAGGUGAUAUUCCAACGUUACAGAAGAUUGAGUUAUUUAUGUGUGGUCAAACUGCCAACGAAUCAGCAAAGAAAAUUGAGGAAGAGCAAAAGGAGAUGGGGAAUGAAAAUUUUGAAGUCACAAUCUGUAGCACAUUUGGUGAUAUUGAAGCCAUUCUUUCACACAUUUCCCCGCAGAUGAUGAAGGAAUUCAACAGCAGGGAAAUUCAGAAGGUAAUAAUGAAAGAUAAUUUCUCUUUUAAUUCUCUUUCACGUUCUCAUCUUGGUCCUGUUAUACUAAAAUGAUGUUGGAUAUUGGUUAAAUAAAUUGAGAAUUGAAAAUCGAUUAAAGUUCGUAUCGAAUUCGGCCAAAUACUCAAAAGCUCGACUCAAUCCGUUUAGGCAAAAUUGUUUGCCACUUCGCCGCUUCGGGGCGCACAAACGGGGAUCGACCUGCCCGGUCAGGUCGCGAGGGUCGAGGGGGCAGCGCCUCUCGUGGGGGUCGGGGGCAACGCCCCCGAAAGAGAAUUUUGAUUUCUCUGCAUGUAUUGAAGGGUAUAUUUGGCAUUUCGAAAACCAAUAUCGGAUGAAUGAGAAAUUACGAAAAAGACCUCAACCAUUAGUCAAUAGACACCUUUUCAAAAGGUGCAUUGUUUGGAAAGGGUGCAUGGUUUGGCCUCAACCAUUUCGUCCACACCCUUUCUUGGUCUAUAAAUAGGACCCUUUGGGUGUCCUAUUCCACACAAUUUGAUAUGCAAAAACGUCUCUCAUCCUCUCUUCUAUCCAAAAUCAAAAUCAUUUUAUUUAUUUUGAUUUUCUUUCAUUUCAUCUGUGGAGUACAUAAGUCUACAUUUGGUUCGUUGUACUUGUGUUUUGGAGUGCUACAAACACAAGUGUAGCCGUUGUAUCUUGGGAGUCGAUUGCCGAAAUCCGUAGGCACCGUUGCGGGGCAAAUUCGACUUAAGGACAAAGAGUCCAACUCUUGCCUCGGCUUUGUCACCAUCAUUAUACUUAUUUCGGCGUCACUAUUCACAAAAUUCUUCCAACAAAUGAAACAUCAAAUAAAAUUUUUGGCUUAUAUUGAAAUUAACCCCUGUUUAGUUCAAAUUAAAAUCAGAUUUUUAGUAGAUUUUCAUAAAGGUUGAUAAAAUGUGUGAUUGAAAAGUUAAUAAAAGUUACAAAUCUCAUAAAAUGUGUGUUGAAAAUGAGUUUGGGGGGAAAAAUGAGUUACAAAAAAUUGGGACCAAACAGGAGCUAAGGUUGGCUCUAUUUUAUGAGCCUCUUGAUGUUAUUUUAGGAAUUACUAAACCACAAGGUUCUAUGUUUUGGCAUUGCUUCUCUAUUAUUUCAGCUUUUCAUAUUUUUUACUAUAAAAUCAUGUUGACAUAAAAUCACAACGAUCACAUUUUCACUUCUAGCUCAUUUUAGUCCUCAAAAUAAUUUCAUUGUUUAGCUCAAGUCCUCCAUUAAUUGCAUGGGCAGUCCUUCAAUGCCCAAACUUGAUAUCUUUGUCCUAGAUUCUAGAUUCCAUCCAAUUUCCAUCCUUCUUGAUCAAAUAUCGUCCCUUUUUAUUCUUUCUUGUUCAAGACUAGUUUUUCUCUUAAAAUAAUCAAUAAAAACACAAAAUUAAAUAUCUGGCUCAUAAAAUUACCCCCAAACACCCUCUUUUGGUGGCUUGGAUAAGUCUAAAAUCACACUUACCAGCUGUCAUAGAUAUGCAACUUCAAGAGUGGAAUGAUAUUUCUUCGAGGUAAAUAGCAACUUACUCAAUUGUGUUAUAUGUUUAUGUCCGUAUAAUUCAUCUUCUACUUUGAAUGAGGACAAGUUAAUUCAAUUGUGUGAGUAAUAUUCUAAAGAUUUUAGGGAGAAUUACAGUUGGGGUCUCAAACUUUUCAAAUUAUUGUAGAUCACACCCAAACCUUGUGUUUUUAUUGUAGCUAAAGGACAUGUGGACAGAAUUCAUCAAUUUAAUCAUCAGUUUACCAAAAAUACUACCUAACACAAUUUUUUUAUUAUAUUUUUUAUGUAAUUAUUUAAAUUAUUUUAUAUGGGAUAACAUGGUUAGAUCGUUGACUUUUGGUCAACUAAUGGUCAAAUGAAUGGAUUCCAUCCACAUGUCGGCUUGGGUAUAGUUUGCAACAAUAUAAAAGGUUUGGGACCCCAGUUGCAAUUUCUCCAAGAUUUUAAACAAGUAGAGAUCUUGGCACUUGAUGAGUAAAUUUACACAUAUUAUUGAUAUACACACAAGAUUUUAAAGGGUUAGAGACGUUAGUGAUCUUGCAGAAAAGUUGACUGUGAUAAAAAAAAAUGUGUACCCAUUAGUUUACAUGUUUGUAACAUUGGCGCUAAUUUUUUCAGAUGUCCAUUCUCGAUGAUUGAGAUUUUCCAGAAUUGAUUGCGUAAUUGGAAGGGAGAUCAAUGGUUGAGUGACACAUUGGUGGCAUAUAUUGAGAGCGAUGUAUUUGACAAUAUUGAUAAUGAUGUAAUUAUAUGAUGUUUCCAAAGUAUUAAAAUUUGUAUAAUGCAGUUAUAGUAAUGUAUUGACUUAUUUUCAUAUAUAUAUAUAUAUAUAUUUUUUUUUUUUUAAAGAAAAUUGUACCUUAAUUUUUUAUCCUACAAUGAAAAUUGUGUGGCUCCACCAAUGAUAAUAGGCUUGAUAAAAACAAUUAUCUUUGGUGGAAAAUCAACUUCUGAAUGUCGUCAUGGCUAGUGGAUUAGAGGGUUUUAUUGAUGGCACAUAUACUUUUCCAUCAAAGAUUGUUGAAGAAAUGCUCAUCCUAAACCCCCACAGUAAGCAGCAUGGCAGAGGUUUAAUAGGCUUGUAAUGAGUUUGAUUUACAACUCACUAAGGAAUUAUGUCUCGAAUAGUGAGUGGAUUUGAUUACUGCUGAUGAUAUCUGGACUUCGGGUCGAAAUUUUUAUUAACUUUUCAGAAUUAUGACUUCAAGGUCUUAAUUUCCAAUCUCUUGUUGUUCUUAGUUCUUACAGAAUUUGCUUCACAGAUUCUUAGAGUGCUUGCUCAGACCCUCUGCCAGAGAACUUUCCCGAUCAAUAAUUUGGUCAGGAGUUCUUGUAUGUGCACCCACCACCACCAUGUAGUCGGCCAUUUCGACCGGCACCAAAGAAGCAUAUGAAUCAACUCAAACUCCUUUACCGAAGCAGAGCUCUGUAUCGAGAUUUUCGCUGUGGUUUCUCUGUUUUACUAGACUCCAAAAUCCAGCAUCCUUCCAUAUUUUCCUCGCAUCUGGGAACCAAAAUAAAGCAUGUGCCACAAUGAAAUCUCUAAGUGAUUAACAUAGGAGGAGCCAUUGUAAUUCUUCUUUAAAUAAAGUCAUAAGAUUGUUGGUUAAGGGAUUCCUUCAAAUAUAAUAGAAGAAGAGAGAUGGUAGAUUUUCAUGUAUAUCAAAUCGAAACAGCAAUCUCUCCACAUAUGGAUGUUAGUAGGCCUUUCAUGGGCGGACCCAAGAAGGGUCCCCUAGGGUUACUUGAUCCUCCAGUUUUUUCAACACUUUUUUUUUUUUUUUUUUGUCUUAGUUUUCGGGCUCACUAUGAAAUUUCAAAUGAAAUUGAAAUACUAUAUUUUUAAUAUCAUUUUGAAGUACUCACAGUCUAGUAUUUUCAUAUCGUUAAUGUUGUGUGAAAUAACCAAUCGUAGCAAAUGUUAUGACGCGUCAAAAUAGACAAUUUCAAAUUAAUAUUUCGAGAAUUUCGAUAACGAACUAACUUUAAAAAUUUUUCGACAACUAUACACUAGUCAUAUACAUAAAUCUUCUAUAUCCUCUUGAAGCUCAUUUCUAAAACUAUAUCAUAAACACAUUGAAUAAUCUAAAUAAAUAUCGAAAAUAGUUAAACGUACGUCAAACGUGUAUGCUAAAAAGAAACGUAUAACUUGUCUUUUUUGAAAAAAAAAUCAAUUAUUUUAUUAAUGCUUAUUAUUUUUGUGCGAAAAAUUUCUCAAUAUAAUUUACAUCAUUUAAUUAGGAAAUUUUAUAUGUGGUAUGAAGUCAAAUUUUUUUUUUUUUGACGUAAAAAUUCUUUAAAAAUUUUUUAUUACUUCAUAGGGGUUAAAAUUAUUAUACUACGUUUUCUUGGUUAUUUUUAUUUCUGAAAAAAAAUUUACAUGUAAAAAAAUUCAAUCAUUUUUAGGAAUUUUUUUAUAAUUGUUAUCUUUUCUUCUCGAUCAAUUUUUUUUUUCAAAUGACUCAAAAAUUAUAUUAGGAAAUUUAUUAGAUUAAUUUUUAAAAAAUUAAUGAUUGAGAGAAAAAAGUAACAAUAAUAAUAAAAAAUCCUAAAAAUGAUAAAAAAAAUUUAUAUAUAUAUAAAAAAAAAUUAGAUAUAAAAAUAAUCAAGAUGAAAAAGUAGUAUAACAAUUUAUAACCAAUAUAAAGUAAUAAAAAAAAUUCGUCUUUUUUUUUUUUUAAUUUGAUUGUGACCCCCUAAUAUAAAAUGUCUACGUCCACCUCUGACGCCUUUCCAAAGCGUUGCAAAUCUAUUCAUGAUUACAAUCAUAUAAUGGUGGCUGCUGGGUUUAUAUAGUACACACAAAAGACAAUGGAAAAGGGAGGCUGGAAGAGAAGAAAAUAAAUGGCGGCUGCUAUAGAAGAAAGUUGUGGUUGCCAGAGAAAGUUUUUCUUUCAACUCAACUUUGGGUGUGGAAUUCACGCAUGCUUUUAUUUUUAUUUUUAUUUUGCUUCGCUACAUAGUACAAAUUGUGAAUUGCUCUAAAGUAUAUUUUGGUAAUUCUAAAGAUGUAGUAUUCAAAGUAGGUAUCUCACAAAUUUCAUCAAAGUGAUUGUUUGUGAUGAGAUUAUUUCUUGUCCUUGGAGAUUGAUUAUUGUGGUAUUCUCCAAUUUGUUGACAAUUCAAAUUUUUGCUUAAAUUUGAAUAUUGUAAUAUAUAUUUAUCAAUUUGGAUUUGGCUUGAGUUAUCCCAUGAUUUUUUCCUGUACACUGGAGGGUUUUUCCAUGUAAAAAUUUGGUGUUGCGUUCUCUAGUUUUUUGCUUUGAUAAUUUACUUUCAUAUUUAAUCAUUGUAUUUAAUUGCUUGGAUUGUUGAAUUUAUUCUUGAAAUAUGCGAAAUUGCUUGGAUUGUUGAAUUUAUUCUUGCAAUAUGUGAAAUUGCCCAACACCUUGGUCCUUCUCAGGUCGCUGCAUCAAUCAUCACUAUACGGAAUUUUUUAGUAAUUGCUACUUGCUAAGUGAUAGGAUAAUUGGUAAUCUGUGAGUUUUUAAUUCCUUUGUUAGCUAAGCAUCAUUCCUAAAUUCAUGAACAUGCCUUGUAGCAUUUUUCUGUGUAUAUAUUCAACAAGACGGGAUGAAAAGAUUCAAGCUUCCCUUCUCAAUUUCUGUUCGACUUUUUAAUUUGCUAUAUGCAUAUUUCCAGAAGCCACUAAGUUAAUACGAAACAAAUAGAAAAAGGAAAUUUUUCUAUUACUAAACGUUGCAAGCUAUACAAUGGACAUAACAUUGCAAGUCAUGCAUUUGGAUGUUUUUAAAGACCAAAACAAACUGCUCCAUUGGAUGAGUAUCACAAGUUAAAAAUUCUACAAUGAAUUUUUGAUGUGGUGCAAAAGGAAUUGGACUUUAUGGAAAAGUGGGAUCGACGCAAGCAAAAAUAGAUAACUUCUCAAUUUUUGGAGAAAUGUUGGGGUUGUCCAUUUUUGGCUAAAUUUUAGUCAAAUUUGAUCGAAAACAUGUCAAUGAACAAAACUCAGCAGUUUUCCAUCUGAUGUAGGCCCAAUUUCGGCCCAAUUCUUUUGUUUAAGCUUUUUUCCUUUUUUGGUAAAUUUUGUUUUGGUUAUAUUUUUUUCAAUUUAAGUCAGAUUUGAAUUCCAUUUGUUGGAGGAUAAUCUUUAUGAUUAAAACUUUCAAUUUUAGUCAUUAUCUCGAUUUUUUCAAGUUUUGAAAAAAAAAUUAUUAUUAUUUUUUAUUUUUUCGAAUUUUCCUAGGGUUUUUCCUAUAUAAAAGCAUUGUAAGCCCUUUAUGGUCACGCUUUUGAGAGAAAUAGAUUUUUUUCAUGAGUUUUUUUCAUCUUGUUAGAUCUAUUCAUCUUUUCUAUAAUUUUCCGCUACGUCAAUUUUGGAAACAAAUCAACUUAUUCCAAAAUGACUAGGCCAAAACAUCGAAAUAAGUUAAAUCAUAGUCUACGUUAUUUCUUUCACGACGUAUAUCAUAUACUUCAAAUGAGCCAUUAUAUGUAUUUUAUGUUGGCGAAACUAUGAAACUGUGUAGAGUAAAUUUACAACAAUUACUAUUGUUAGGAAAAGUAUUUUAGUGCCACUGUUUCAGAAGUUACAUGACAUAUUGGCCUCUUAUUUGGUGAAACAAGAUUUUUGGAAUUGUAUGUGGAUCACAUUAUAGGGUUGCAACCAAUUGAUCUUGCUUUAUUUGACUCUUGCACUACAAUGGAAUUCAUUGAUUCUAUAUGUAGAAUUUCUAUUCAAAACUGGCUCAAUUCGGCUCGAUUCUGAAGAAAACCAGACCAAACAAGGUCGCUUCAUAGUUAACCUACAUUCAUUUUUUUCAAAACCUCAUUCAUUUUUUUCUGUAUUUUUUCUCUGCUCAUGCAAUUUGGAUCAAACAAAAUAUUUGAGAUAAUCUUUUCAAGAAAAAUAAUAAAACACAGCAUUCACAAAUAUGUAACUAAUGCCAAGAUUUCUAUCUGUGAAAGUUGUGACAGUAGGUAAUUCAAAAAUUAUUAUGAAGAUAGUGGAACUUAUUGAUGGAUACAGAUUUGUAUUAUUACCUCCGUCGUUUGUUGACUACAAGUUCACCAAGUUGCAACAUCAAAGGUAAUGCUAUCAACAAUGAGCAAUAAUGCUUACCAAAACAACAUCAAAUUUAUUUGUUAUCUUGCUCAAUCAUGCGCAUUAAUCUAGCAUAUGAAACAUACAAUAUAUUUCCCUAUGCAUAUAAACUGUCUCGAAAUUUUACUCUAAUUUACGAUUUAUAAUCAACUUUUGUGGAAUUGGCACUCUAUUAUUAAAAUUCAAUUGUGUGUAUCAUUUUUAUACACAUAUCUUGAGGUUUGUGAGAACCUAAAAUAUUUUGAGAAAAUGCUUCUUUGUGAUAAAAUGGUUAUGACAUGGGAGAAAAAAGAGGAGUGCGUCUGUGUAGGGGUGGCGGUGGUCAUGGUUGGCAACUAGGGGCGGAAUUAGAGGUGGGCUAGGCUGGGCUAUACAUUUAUUUUCUUAUAAAAAUAUAUUUUAUGACUAAAAAAAAUUAUGUGAAAUUUUUUUCUUUUACAGUUAGCCCAACAUAAAAGAUAUUUUAGUUCAGUCAUGGCUCCGUCUUUUAACAAUGACGACGUUGAUUAGGAAGGAUUUGUUAGGUGGAGUUUGGGGUGAAAUGUAGAAGAUAUUGAAUUUAUUUUUCUCUUUUUCUUUCUUUUUCAUUUUGGCUAUUUAGUUAUUUUUUAAGUGGUUUAAGUGUGUGGACUAUUUUUGUCCUUCCUUAAAAGUCAUGUGCAAGUCUGCAUACUUCACUUAACGGCUGCUUUGGAUGAAAGUCGUUUAGAGGGGAAUUAGUCCUAUUUGGUAUUGAUUAAAAUCAAAAUUUUAAUUUAAGACAAUGUCAACAAACAAUUUUAAUCGCUUAUCUCAUUGAUUUCACAGCUUUUCAAUCAUUUAUUUCAUCAAUUUUUAUUAAAAUAUUCUAAAAAUCUUAUUUUAAUUCUCAUCAAAUAGAUGCUUAAGUUUGCUAAUUUUUCAAAGAUCAAGGGCACAAACCGAACAAAACAUGGUUUGGGAGUAGGUUUGCUACUUUGCUUAAAAGUUGGGACUAAAAUUAGUUUCAUGUGGUGCGUGUUGGGAAAGUGAUUAGAUAAAUAUUUGAUAAUUAUAGUGGUGAUAUCUAUAUAAUAUAUGGACAAUAAAUGAACGAUGCAUAUGAAUAUUAUGACAUACAAAAAUAAAAACAUAAAUUUAAUCCACUUAAAUUAUAAGAGCACUGCUACAUUAACAGGGUCACAGACACCUUGUCAAUAGGAGGACAUGUAUCCCCUUGAAAAAACAAGGCCCAUGUGGCCUUGUUUGAGAAGAGUUAUACAAGUUAUAAUUCAAUCACUUGUGCAAAAUUUGUAAAAAGUGACAUUUUUCAAAAUGUGCUUAUCACAUCAGAUGGAAAUUCAUUUCCAACUUUGAUCAUUCAUUAUUUGGCGCACAAUACCAUGGAACUCCGAAGUCCAAAGUAGUCAACGAAGUUGGAAAUUAUCAUAAAUGAAUAUCAAUUCUUUCAACAGUGCAUUUCAAAUUUUCAGUAAAGCCUAAAGUAGUGAUUUGAAGGUUUUUGUAAUUUACUAAUAAAUUAGGAGUAAAAGAACAAUGGAUCUUGAUAAAAUGGUUAUGACAUGGGAGAGAAAAGAGGAGUGCGUCUGUGUAGGGGUGGUGGUGGUCAUCUGAUACUUUAGGUUUGUGACAACCUAAAGUAUUUUGACAAAUGAUGAAGCGUUUUCUUACCAUGGGCUCGUAAUGUGCAAUUCAAGUCAUUUUUCCUCUAUAUAAAAUUAAAAACAAAUACCAAAUUUGCAAAAACCAAAGUUUAAAUUCAUCACUUUUAAUAUAGUGUUACAUAGUCUAAAAUCAAACACACACCUAUAUUUAACAUAGAAGAUUUCGAAGAAUAAAAGUCACAUGAUCGAGUUAGGAACUUUUCAAUGGUAAGUUAGAAUAAAAGAAAAGAAAAAAUAGUAAAACAGUGUAGGAAUUUGUCAAGAAAAUGUCUUUCCAAAUGAAUCUUUUGGAGCUCUACAUUUUUUAGAUAUUUCAUUUUAAACUAAUUUCACUAAGAUUGAUCAAUUUAAUCCCAAAUAAUUUAAAAUAUUACAAUAUUCUAACAUAACUCUGCCAAACACAAAACAAUAUAGAUAUAUAAAGAUUUUUUGUCACGUACUCAUAUUGUAGCAUUCAAGUUAUUUCGCAACAUCCUUUAAAGAAAGGAGAAUUUUUUUUUUUUUUUUGAAGUGAUUGUGCUAAAUAAUAAGAAACAAUAAGUGGAUAUUAGAUAUUAAAUUGUAACGGACAUUAAAAUUGAUAAUAUUUUAAAGGAUGAAAGUUAAAUAAUGCAGGUAAAAGAUCACUAAGCAAUGGGGGUGAUAGAAAUAAGAAACAGAAAUUUCUAUUAAGCAACAGAAAUAAGCACCAUUGCAGUUUGAAAUCUAUCUUAAUUUGAACUAUAUCAAUAUGAUACUAAACUAACAAGGUAGUUGAUUAGUUUCUUAAGGGAAAUUGGCACAAAACGUCCCUACCUUUCAAGUGUAUUGUGGAAAACAUCCCUACCUUUCAUUUUUUGGCACAAAACGUCCCUACCUUCCACUUUCUUGGAGCUGAACGUCUUUUUCAUCAAUUUUUGACGAUUUUACCCUCCAUUCAAAUAAAACAAAAAGAAAAGAAAGGAAAAAAAACAAAAAACUAAUUGCAACCACAUUCCCAAAUUUUCUAAAAAUUGCAAAUGGUAACUUGAUAAUUACCGUAUUAAAUAAAUUGAAAAAAAAUAAAAAACUUCAGAAAAAAAUUUAAAAAAUGGGUUGUCUUCUUCACCCUACCCUACUAUUCAUCUUCUUCUUUGUAAGAAAAAAAAUUAAGAAAGAGAGACAGAGAGAGACUUUCCCCCAAAAUAAUUAUUUUGGUGCACAACAAAUCCUCCAAAUCCGAAGCCCCAUUACAUCUCUCUGCACUUCCCCUCUUUGUACAAGCUCCUUCAUUUUCAUAUCCAGUAUCAAACCCCAUUGUGCAGAGAGAUGUAAUGGGGCUUCGAAUUUGAAGGAUUUGCUGUGCAGAGAUAUUUUGUAUGGUGGGGUGGGGUGAAUAGUAGUGUAGGGUGAAGAAGACAACCCAUUUUUUUAAAUUUUUUUCUUAAUUUUUUGAUUUUUUUUUCAAUUUAUUUAAUAUGGUAAUUAUCAAGUUACCAUAUGCAAUUUUUAGAAAUUUUGGGAAUGUGGUUGUAAUUAGUUUUUUGUUUUUUUUCCUUUCUUUUCUUUUUGUUUUAUUUGAAUGGAGGGUAAAAUCGUCAAAAAAUGAUGAAAAGGACGUUCAGCGCCAAGAAAGUGGAAGGUAGAGACGUUUUGUGCCAAAAAAUGAAAGGUAGGGAUGUUUUUCACAAUACACUUAAAAGGUAGGAACGUUUUGUGCUAAUUACCCUUUUCUUAAUUAUUACAUAUCAUUAGCAUUAAGCUAGCGGUAAUUAAACAACAGUAUAGCAUUUUUUAUGCCCCGAAAUAUUAAGAUUCGGCACAUGUAAUUGCUUGAUUAAAAUAUAUAUGAAUGAAAAUAAUUCGAUAAAUAAGCUAAAAUUUAAUGGACAAGGUCUUGAAAUCGAAAAUCGAGCUAAUCUUUAUCCAAAAUCAAAAAUAAACUUAAAAGAAUGAAAGAAAGAAGACUUAUUCACGAAAAUUAAAAUAUUACCGGGGUUUGGAUUGAAAUCGACGAUCAGAAAUUAAUUUGACUAGUUAGUGAUUUUUUUUUUUUUUUCGAUUAUAAAUUUAUAUGGAAGAAAGAAACUAAAAUUUGUCUUUUUUGAAUUUAAAAAAUGGUUGGAACUAAUAUAUCAAUGUAAAAUACGUUAUCCACUAGCUUUUAUAAAUAAACGACGUCAAAAUAAGAACUCAUGAUCUUUACUUACUUCGAAAUCGUGUUGAACGAAAAACGUAAUAUAUAUUAAUGACCUGUCUCACAUGCCUUUUGUUUUUGAACCCUAUAGAAUGAUUUUUGAAGUUACCUUAAUUAUUAUUUGAAAAUUAAUCUUUAAAAGAGUUUCCUAAUUUGAAUGUACUUUUGGAGUAAGUCAUAUUAGACCAAAAUUCUCUAAAAAUUAUUAAAAACCAUACCUUCAUCAUCCGAUAGUCUAUGCACAGUUGCUGAAGUGCGGGCAGGGAAUCAAAGAACUCAAUGAAGUUAUAUUUUCUAUGAAUGAUAGAAUUGUAACACAGAGUAGUUAAGGAUUUCUUAAAAUAAACAUAUGCACGGAAACAUUUCAAUUUAACGAGUUUUAGCUUAGGAGCAUCAAUUGUUAAGUGGUGAAAUCCACUCGGACAUGCAACGCCAGUUGCUCCAGUUCUGGUGAGCUAGAUAUCAAACUUCCUAAUACAUCAGUAUCAAUGAUGACAUCAAGCAAUUCCAGUGUAAUCAGCCUAUUUAAACCUUUGAAGCUUGGCAGAGGACUGAUCGAACAAGUAGAAAGUUUCAAAUGUUUCAAUAGUGAACACAUAAACAGUUAAGAAGGCAAUUUGUACGCUUCAUACUUGUUCAUUUUCAAAGUGAAUUCUUCAAUACCUUUCUUCCAUAAGAUAUAUAUCAAAUGGUCAAUUUCAGAACCACCUGUGAGUUUUGGAAUAAUGAGGCUCGACUUAGUUAGGAUCCUUGGUGAAGUCAAAGAAUCUGGUAAAGGAUCCCUGCAAACUUCAUUCUAGCCAAUUCUUGGUUUCUCUCUGAUUCUUGCCAUAACGUAUCAUCAAAUAUCAGCUGUGGCAGUUUGACCCAUUUAUACCUCCAUUGCUUUGACAAGACACAUUAAUAUGAUCGCUAUGACAUUAUCAGGAAGAUCACUUAUCAUAUCAACAGGUUGGAAUUGGUCAAUCUUCAUUCUGCUAUGUAAUUGGCGAACAAAAUUCUGUAAUAACUCACAAUUAAUGAAAAUAUCAAAUUGCCUUAACUAACUUGCAUGCAUGCAGAAGAUAUUAACAAAUUCAACAUGAAGUUUACACAAUUUUGUUCGCUUUAUUUUAGUUUUUUACACCAAUAUUUUAAUAGUUAAAUUGGUCAUAUGACUAAGAAAUUAGAGAUAAUAUUCACAGUUGAUAUUUACAUUUGCUUAUGCUUGAAAUAUAAUUUCGAAAUUGCAAUAGCAAAAAAUUCAAGUGCUUAUUCACACCAAUCUUUAGUUUGUUGUUAUUCUUAGUGGUGGACAAGGGUGGCCAACUGCUUAAGUGCAUUCUUAGUAGUGGACAAGGGUGGCCAACUGCUCAUUCUAAUAAAGUAUGAACAAACAAUAAAAUAAGCACCUCAUAUAGAUUAUUUCAAGUUUUAUUGAAUUGUAUGCAUAUUAUAAUUAACUUUAAUUGGCCUGUCAAUGGCCUUGGACUUUCAAGGUAUAAUCCACUACAAUAUCUUAUUAAUCACAAUGAUUAUAAUUAACAAUAAGCAUUAAACAUAUCAUUAGGCAAUAUUAUAUUUUCAAAAAUUAGGAAAAGAGAAAUGUGAUGUUACAUGUUAAAAUUAAUUUUUUUUUUUUAAAGUUAAUUUUGAUAAAAAUUGAUGCAAUAUGUGCUUAGAAAGUUAUGAAUAUUAUAAAAUACGUGAACUAAAUGAAUUAUUGAUUUUCACUUUGAUAAAAAUCUAAAUUUUAAUUCUCAUCCAACAUACCUACUUACCCACAUAUGCUUCAUAUGAGCUGUGCAACACACUCUCCUUAAUAAUUAGUUAAUUACUAUUACAAACUGAAUCCAAGAAAACAUAGAUGAAAUCAUAAAUUCGCAGAUUACACCAUAAAUCCUAAAUCACAACAUCAAGGCUUAGAUCUUUCAAUCGAAGGCUCAGACCACACCCAUUUACCAUCACAGAGGCACCGGGACUCAAAAACGAACCCUCACAACCCAACACACCAAGGUCACUUCACUGGACUCAAGAAAUCAAACUGCCUACCUUCGAUCGAUCACUCACACAAAGGAAAAUCACACAAGAACAUGAUUAUCACAAAGAUAAUCAACCAGAAAUCUCACAAAGAGAAGAAGGAAGGGUCACACAGACAAAGGAACUCGAAGGUUCCAAACGGCAGAGAGAAAGAGAAAAACAGAAAGUGACGAUCCAAGAGCCAAACAGGGAGUAAGGAGGAUAUUUAUAGUAAAUAUCAUCAACCGUUGAUCAGCGGGUCAAUCCAACGGUCCAAGAGCGACUAAUGGUGUGUGGGCUGGAUAUUGGGCUCGGUUAAGUGGGCCUUCUAGGUAUAUAUUUAAUGGACCAAGUAAUAAAUCCAAUUUGGGCCUUUUCAUCAUUGCCUAACGUUGGACUGGAUCAAAUGGCAUCACAGCCCAACAAUUACUUUACAAGUCUUCUUUCUUCUUCCGUUUACAUUUCAUUCCCCUUUCUGGUUCAGAGCUACAACCUCCAUUUCCAUGACUUCUAAGCUAUAAGCUAAUCAAAAUUUUUUGUUUUUUGCUUCAGUGAUAGCGUCUAUUAUGCUUUAAACAAAAAUUUAGAGGGUAGACAACGUUCGCUUUCACUAUCUUUCUUUUUCCCUGCCAUUCGAACAUCCUCUCCUUUCCUUGCAAUGGAUAUCUCGUCCACUGAUCCGUUUACUACUCCUAUAGAUCUCCUUGAAAUUGUGAUCGACCAAAUAUCACGUGUCUCCUCCUCACAUGGACAUGUAAUUAAUAAGUUAAUUGUUUUUCAAGGAUUACUAUACUGUACAGACUUCGAAGAUAUUGAAGAAAUCAGAAACUAUUUCGAACUGUUAGCGUCAUUUGGGCAAGAGCUUAUGGUGUUCUUUACAGUCCCUAACCAACAAAUCUUUUCCAAUUUAACUCCCACGCUCAAUUCUAAUGAAGUUGUCGUGGCCUUCAUCAACUUUCUCCUCUUAAUGGUAGAAGUCAUCAUACAUUUUAAGGAAGAUUCGAUUGCUCGUGUAAAGGGUUCGUUCCAAAAUCUCCGGACAGAGCUUGGAUUUCUUAUCAGUUUUCUUGGGGAUACAGCAAUGCAUUUGCAGCCCACCAAGACUAUGUUGAUUGAUAUUGAAGACGUGGUCAAUGAGGUAGGAAGUUUCUUGUAUUUCUUACUUUUGUCCAUUGUUGUAUUCAUUCUGAUCAGUAAAGAAGAAGAAGAAGCCUGUACUAGAAAAAUGGAUUUGGAAUUUGUGGUUAAUGAGGUACAAAGUCUAUUUCAUUCCAACUUUUUCCACUUACCAUUGCUCUCCACUAUGGUGAAGGGAAGAAAGGGAAAAAAGGGAAGAAAGAUAAGAAAAAAACAGAAAAAGGCAAUGAUGGAUAUCAAAGCUCUGCUCCAUGAGAUAGGAAGUUUAUUAGGUUUCUUCUUCAUUUUCACCAAGAAUGAUCAAGUUAUGGAGACAGGAAUGUUGGGUCUUGCUCUUUCUCAUUUGUUAGCAAAGUUUGAGACCUUGAAAACAAAGAUCAAGGAGCACUGCAUCACAGUCUCAAAGAUGCCAAGUGAUAUGGCUCCAAAGGCUGGAGUGGUUUCACUCUUUAUUAUUGAUUCCGUCCUCGAUGAUCUCAUGGAUCUAACAAAUAACAAGUCUAACUCGACUGUUGUUGUGAAUGAUCAAAUUGUAAUGCUCCAUGAGGAGCUAAUGUUAUUGGGAUCAUCCAUCACGGAUAUAGUAUUGCAGCACGAAGCAAAACAUGAAGAACUUGUGACACGGAGCAGAGACAUAGCAUAUGAAGUUGAAUAUGUUAUCAACUCAUUUCCUCAUGUUUGGUAUCUUAGUCUUCGGCUUCCUCAACUCAUUGACAAGAUUCGGCUUAUUGUGAUGGCUGUCAAAGAAAUGAAGAACAAUAUUGAUGUAGCUAGAAUGUCAAAUGUUUCAAAACAUCCACAUGAACACAUAGAGUCACAGUCAAAAGAACCUCCCAUUUUGGAAGACAUUGUUGUGGGAUUUGACAAUGUAGCAAUUGAAAUUGCAGAACAACUUGUUGGAGGAACAUGCCAGCUGCAAGUUAUUUCCAUCUUUGGGAUGUCUGGGCUUGGUAAGACGACCUUGGCAAAUAAAUUAUAUAAACAUCCCUCCAUUUUAUACCAUUUUUACAAGCGUGCCUGGUGUGCUGUUUCUCAAAUAUAUAAUAAGAAAAAUUUGUUGAUUGAAAUUUUGAGCUCAAUGAGUAACAGUAAGAGGGAUACAUACAUGAAAAAGGAGGAAGAAAGCUUGGUUGAAGAUCUUUACAAAAACUUAAAAGGAAGGCGAUACCUCAUUGUGGUAGAUGAUAUAUGGGAUAUCAUUGUGUGGAGUGAUUUGAAAAGAUGUUUUCCAGAUGACGGAAUUGGAAGCAGAAUCUUAUUCACUACUCGAAAUAAAGAAGUGAGUUUGAAAGCUUCACCUCGUAGUGUCAUAAAUGAACUUCCUUUUCUGUCGGAAGUUGAGUGUUGGGAAAUAUUACAAGGGAAAGUGUUCCAAGAUAGAAAAUGUCCUCAGGAAUUGGUAGACAUUGGCAAGCUAAUUGCAAAAAACUGUCAUGGCCUACCACUUGCAGUGGUCGUAAUAUCUGGAGUUCUUGCAAACAUGGAGAAGAAAAAACACUUGUGGAAAAAAAUUGCAAAAAAUUUAAGUUCACAUAUAUCUGAAAUACCAGAGAAGUGCAUCCAAACAUUGCAACUUAGCUACAACCAUCUACCAAUGCAUUUGAAACCAUGUUUUCUUUACUUAGGAGCAUUCAGAGAAGACACAAAUAUCCCUGUACGAAAGUUGAUAUCUCUCUGGGUUGCCGAAGGAUUUAUAAAGAAGGAAGAACAUAAGAACAUAGAGGACGUGGCACGAGAAUAUCUAAUGAAACUAAUUGAUAGGAGCCUAGUACUCGUUGCUGAAAGAAGAUAUGAUGGAGGAGUCAAAACAUGCAAGAUUCAUGAUCUAUUGCGUGAAAUGUGCUUGAGCAUAGCUGAAGAAAAUAACUUUUUGAAGUUGAUCAAAGAGUAAGUUCAAUGUUUCUCUUCUAUUUCCUUUCCUUUCUGUCCAUUUUUUUUUUUUUUUUUUUUUUUUUAUUAAAAAAAAAAAAAAAAAACAAAAAAUUGUCCAUUUUUUUUUUUUUUUUUUUAGCUUACUAAGAAUGGUUAUUAUAUUUGAUGAUCGUAAACAAUGAUAUGGUUAUGUUGUUUUGUUACCAGUAAUGAUGAUGAUGAACAACGGUUGUUCAGUCAAGUAUCAACGUAUCAGCGGCACCAUCGUCUGAGUAUCAACUGUGCAAAAUAUCCUAGCUCGCUACCUGUUGGCCUACAUGUACGCUCUCUUCUAUUUGAUUUGGAUUUUAUGAGCUCCAUCAAAUUAAUCUCAUGCAGCUACAAAGUUCUUAGGGUCUUUUGUGGAUGGUCACUGUAUGAUUUUCUAAUAGGAUUUGAAUAUCUGGUUCACUUGAGGUACUUGGAAAUUUCAUGUACACUGCCACCAAUGGAAAACUUCCGCAAAUUAGAAUUUCUUGUUGUGUACAAUGAUGAUGAAAUUGAAAUACCUGAGAUCCUUCUUAAUAUGGUGAGUUUGAGACACAUGGAGUUUAACGGUGGUGCAUACUUCAGUGAAUCUAGCCGUCAGCUAGCAACUAACAGUAAGAGCUUCCAAAUAAAUAACCUACAAAGUAUUUCUGCACUCUCAAUUUAUGAUGAAAUGGAUGAGAAAAUUUUGAGAAGUUCACCCAACCUUCGCAGAGUACAAGUUAGCAUUGAGAAUUUAUUAAAUUGUUCCUUCAACUUCCUUUAUCAGCUCGAAUCACUGAAGCUAUCAACAGAAUACAAUACGCUUUAUUGGCGUUCCAGUCUGAUCAGUUUGCCCUUAAAUCUAAAAAAAUUAACUCUAGUUUGUGUAUAUCUGUCUCGAAAACAAAUGGAGAUAAUUGCAAGAUUGCCAUGCCUUGAGGUUCUCAAAUUAGUAUCUGCUGCCUUUGAGGGAGAACAAUGGGACACAAGUGAAAGUGAAUUCCCUCAACUUAAAUACUUGAAACUUUGUGGUGUAAAAAUUGCAGAAUGGAAUGCCUCAAGUGAUAAUUUCCCAAGGCUUCAACGAAUAGUAUUGGAAUAUUGCGAGAAUCUAAAGAUGAUCCCUUCUAAUUUAGGUGAUAUUCCAACAUUACAGAAGAUUGAGUUAUUUAUGUGUGGUCAAACUGCAAAUGAAUCAGCUAAGAAAAUUGAGGAAGAACAAAAGGAGAUGGGGAAUGAAAAGUUUGAAGUCACAAUCUCUAACACAUUCGAUGAUAUUGAAGCCAUUCUCUCACCCAUUUCCCCGCAGGAGAUGAAGGAAUUCUACGGGAGCGAAAUUCAGAAGGUACAAAUGAAGGAGAAUCUCUCCAUUAAUUCUCUUUCACGUUCUCAUCUUAGUGUUGUUAUACUAGAAUGAAACAUCAAAUAAAUUUUUGGCUAAUAUUGAAAUUAAUGGAUUAAAAUCAUAUUUUUAGUAGAUUUUCAUGAAGUUUGAUAAAAUGUGUGAUUAAAAAGUUAAUAAAAGUUACAAGUCUCAUAAAAUGUGUGAUUGAAAAUAAGUUUGGGAAAAAAAUGAGUUACAAAAAAUUGGGGCCAAACAGGAGCUAAGGUUGGCUCUACUCUAUGAGCCUCUUAAUGUCAUUCUAAGAAUUACUAGCCCAUAAGGUUCUAUGUUUUUGGCAUUGAUUCUCUAUUAUUUCAGCUUUUCAUAUUUUUCUACUAUAUAAUCGUGUUUACAUAAAAUCACAAUGAUCACAUUUUCACUUCUAGUUCAAUUAAGUCCUCGAAAGAAUUUGUUUAUUUAGCCUAAGUCGCCCAUUAAUUGCAUAGGCAGUCCUUCAAUGUCCAAACUUGAUACCUUAGUCCUUGAUUCCAAAUUCCAUCUAACUUCCAUCCAUCUUGGUCAAAUAUCGCCCCUUUUUAUUCUUUCUUGUUCAAUACUGAUUUUUUUCCUAAAAUAAUCAAUAAACACACAGAAUUAAGUUUUCUAGCUCAUAGUGAUCUUGCAAAAAAGCUGACUGUGUUGAAAUAAAGGUGUACCCAUUAGUUUACAAGCUUGUAACAUUGGCGUUAAUUCUUUCAGAAGUCCAUUCUCGGUGAUUGAGAUUUUCAAGAAUCGAUUGCAUAAUUGGAAAGGAGAUCAAUGGUUGAGCGACACUUUGAUGGCGUAUAUUGAGAACGAUGCAUUUGCCACUAUUGAUAAUGAUGUAAUUAUACUAUGUUUUCAAUGUAUUAAAAUUUGUAUGCGGCAGUUAUAGUAAUGUAUUGACUUAUUUUCGUUAAUAUAUUGUUUUUUUAGAAAAAAAUUGUAUCUUAAUUUUUGAUCCUACAAUGAAAAUUGUGUGGCUCCGCCAAUGUUAUUAGGCUUGAUUAAAACAAUUAUCUUUGGUGGAAAAAUCAACUUCUGAAUGUUAUAAUGGCUAGUGGAUUAGAGGGUUUUAUUGAUGGUACAUAUACUUUCCCCCCACAGUAAGCAGCACAUAUACUUUCCCCCCACAGUAAGCAGCAUGGCAGAGGUUUAAUAGGCUUGUAACGAGUUUGAUUUACAACUCACUAAGGAAUUAUGGCUUCAGUAGUGAGUGGAUUUGAUUACUGCUGAUGAUAUCUGGACUUCGGGUCGAAAUUUUUAUUAACUUUUCAGAAUUAUGACUUCAAGCUCUUAAUUUCCAAUCUCUUGUUGUUCUUAGUUCUUACAGAAUUUGAUUCACAAAUUCUUAAGAAUGCUUGCUCAGACCCUCUGCCAGAGAACUUUCCCGAUCAAUAAUUUGGUCAGGAGUUCUUGUUUGUCCACCCACCAUCACCAUGUAGUCGGCCAUUUUGCCCUGCACCAAAGAAGCAUACGAAUCAGUUCAAACUCCUUUACCCGAGCAGAGCUCUGUUUUGAGACUUUCGCUGAGGUUUCUCUGUUUUAUUAGAAUCCAAAAUCCAGCAUCCUUCCAUAUUUUCCUCGCAUCUGGGAACCAAAAUAAAGCACGUGCAACAGUGAAAUCUCUAAGUGAUUAACAUAGGAGAAGCCAUUGUAAUUCUUCUUCAAAUAAAGUCAAAAGAUUGUUGGUUAAGGGAUUCCUUCAAAUAUAAUAGAAGAAGAGAGAUGGCAGAUUUUCAUGUAUAUCAAAUUGAAACAGAAAUCUCUACAUAUGGAUGUUAGUACGCCUUUCCAAAGCGUUACAAAUCUAUUCAUGAUUACAAUCCUAUAAUGGUGGCUGCUGGGUUUAUAUAGUACACACAAAAGACGAGGGAAAAGAGAGGCUGGAAGAGAAGAAAAUAAACGGCGGCUGCUGUAGAAGAAAGUUGACUGUGGGUGUGGAUUUGACGCAUGUUUUUUUUUUUUUUUUUUUUUUUUUUUUUUUUAAUUUAGUACAAAUUGUGAAUUGCUCUAAACUAUAUUUUGGGUACUCCAAAGGUGUAGUAUUUCACAAGUUCCAUCAAAGUGAUGGUUAGUGAUGAGAUUAUUUCUUGUCCUUGGAGAUUGAUUAUUGUGGUAUUUUCCAAUUUGUUGACAAUUCAAAUUUUGGGACAUAAACUUAAAUAUUAUAAUCUAUAUUUAUUGUAGUGGAUUUGGCCAGAGUUGCCCCUUGGUUUUUUCAUGUACACUGGAGGGUUUUUUCCACGUAAAAUUUUGGUGUUGCUUUCUCUAGUUUUUUGCUUUGAGUAUUUACUUUCAUAUUUAAUCACUGUAGUUAAUUGCUUGAAUUGUUUAAUUUAUUCUUGCAAUAAAUGAAAUUGUCCAACACCUUGGUCCUUCUCACUUUUCAGAUUGCUGCAUUUUUCAGUAAUUGCUACUUGCUAAACGAUAGGAUAAUCAAUAAUCUGUGAGUUUGUAAUUCCUUUGUUAGCUAAACAUCAUUCCUAAAUUCAUGGACGUGCCGCCGUAUAGCAUUUUCUUUGUAUAUAUUCAAUAAUACUAAAUAAAAAGAUUCAAGCUUCCCUUCUUAAUUUCUGUUCGAAUUUUUAAUUUGCUAUAUAUAUGCAUAUAUUUCCAGAAGCAGCUAAGUUAAUACGAAACAAAUAGAAAAAGAAAAUUUUAUUAUUCAAAAAUCUUUCACCCUAUCUAUCCUCAAAGUUCAAAACAGGAGGGGGUGUUUCUCCUUUUUCAGUAUUAUUAUGCAAUUGACUCUUCGUGUAAAGAGUUGAUAGAACUGAUUGACUCAAAAAGAUAAUAUAUAUGGAGGUACCAACAAUAAAUGACAACGUCAUUAUAGUUGAUGACGUAAAAUAAGUAUAACUUUACUGAAAUAAAUGACGGGCAUCAUUUUUUACCGCUAUAUCAUCGACUUCCAAGUGACAGAAUUAGACUAAGAGCAUCUAAGCAUCUGAAUUCCUGAACCCACCAUUCUUUCAAAAGAUUUUUGAUAGGUCAAGUUUGAAUAAAGUUCAUUUCUAUUCAUCAAAUUAAACUACUAGCUCUAUCACAUUUAUCGACCUUUAGUUCAUUCUUAUAGACAUACUCCAUAAGUAUUAGUUAACAUAGUAGGCCAAAAUUGUAGAUUACGUACUUGUCCAUGUAAAUUGAUUUAUCAUAUGAUCUUUUAAUUGUCCACCUCAACUCCUCCAGUAAUUUGUCUUGAAUGUCCAAUAUUUUAAAAGCAUUAAAGCGUCCUUUGUGAUAUCCAAGUUCGAACAAGUAGCUAUAGACAUGUCUUCGAUGUGAUAUUGAAGUAUUAAGAAAUAAAAUUAAAUUGCUUACAAACUAAUUAGUUCACAUCUACCCUUCUACAAUAUAAAGAUAGCUUAGUUGAGCUUGUAUAGAGAGCACAAGUUUUUUGAAAAAGAUAUUUUUCACAACAUAUUCCAAGUAAUCCAGUUUUGAAGUCAACAAAACUGCAAUAUUGUGAUGUGAUCCAAGAAGCACAAGUAACAAAGUCAAGUCCAGAGUCGAGCCCAAGGAAAGAUCCGUUGAUAGUCGAGGGGCCAAUGAAUCUCAGUCUCAAAGAUGCCAAGUGACAUGGCUCCAAAGACUGGUGUGGUUUCAGUCUUUAUUAUUGAUUCCGUCCUCGAUGAUCUCAUGGAUCUAACAAAUAACAAGUCUAACUCGAUUGUUGUUGUGAAUGAUCAAAUUGCAACGCUCCACGAGGAGCUAAUGUUAUUGGGAUCAUCCAUCACGGCUAUAGUAUUGCAGCACGAAGCAGAACAUGAAGAACUUGUGAUACGGAGCAGAGACAUAGCAUAUGAAGUUGAAUAUGUUAUCAACUCAUUACCUCAUGUUUGGUAUCUUUCUCUCCGGCUCCCUCAACUCAUUGACAAGAUUCGGCUUAUUAUGAUAGCUGUCAAAAAAAUGAAGAACAAUGUUGAUGUAGUUAGAAUGUUAGUUGUCUCAAAACAUCCACAUGAGCUGGUAGAGUCAGAGUCAAAAGAACCUCCCAUUUUGGAAGAAAUUGUUGUGGGAUUUGACAAUGUAACAAUUAAAAUUACAGAACAACUUGUUGGAGGAACAGGCCAGCUGCAAAUUAUUUCCAUCUUUGGGAUGCCUAGACUUGGUAAGACGACCUUGGCAAAUAAAUUAUAUAAUCAUCCCUCCGUUUUACAGCAUUUUGACAAGCGUGCCUGGUGUGUUGUUUCUCAAAUGUAUAAUAAGGAAAAUGUUUUGAUUGAAAUUUUGAGCUUAAUGAGUAACAGUAAGAGGGACACAUACAUGAAUAUGGAGGAAAUAAGCUUGGCUAAAAAUCUUUACCAAAGCAUAAUAGGAAGCCGAUACCUCAUUGUGAUAGAUGAUAUAUGGGAUAUCAAUGUGUGGAUUGAUUUGAAAAGAUAUUUUCCAGAUGACGGAAAUGGAAGCAGAAUCUUAUUCACUACUCGAAAUAAAGAAGUGGGUUUGAAAGCUUUACCUCGUAAUGUCAUAAAGGAACUUCCUUUUCUGUCGGAAGUUGAAUGUUGGGAAAUAUUACAAGAAAAAGUGUUCCAAGAUAAAAAAAUGUCCUCAAGAAUUCCUAGACAUUGGCAAGCAAAUUGCAAAAAGCUGCCAGGGCCUACCACUUGCAGUGGUCGUGAUAGCUGGAGUUCUUGCAAACAUGGAGAAGAAAGAACUCUUGUGGGAAAAAGUUGCAAGAAACUUAAGUUCACAUAUAUCCGAAAUACCAGAGAAGCACAUCCAAAUAUUGCAGCUUAGCUACAACCAUUUACCAAUGCAUUUGAAACCAUGUUUUCUUUACUUUGGAGAAUUCGAGGAAGACAAGGAGAUCCCUGUAAGGAAGUUGAUAUCUCUCUGGGUUGCCGAAGGUUUUAUAAAGAAGGAAGAAAAGAAGAACAUAGAGGACGUGGCACGAGACUAUCUAAUGAAACUGAUUGAUAGGAGCCUAGUACUUGUUGCUGAAAGAAGAUAUGAUGGAGGAGUCAAAACAUGCAAGAUUCAUGAUCUAUUUCGUGAAAUGUGCUUGAAAAUAGCUGAAGAAAAUAACUCCUUGAAGUUAAUCUCAGAGUAAGUUCAAUGUUUCUCUUCUUUCUCCUUUCCUUUCCAUCCAUUUUUUAUUUUAGCUUACUUAGAAGGUUAUUAUAUUUGAUAAUCGUAACAAUGAUGUGAUUAUGUUGUUUUUGUUGCCAGUAGUGAUGAUGAUGAUGAAGAUAAACAACAGUUCUUCAGUCAAGUAUCAACGUAUCAGCAGCACCAUUGUUUGAGUAUCAACUACAUGGACUAUCCUAGUGGCCUACACGUACGCUCUCUUCUAUAUGAUUUUGUUUUUGAGAGCACAGUCACAUUAAUCUCAUGCAGCUACAAAGUUCUUAGGGUCUUUGAUUUUAAGAACAGGUCAACAAUCCUAGAUCUAGUGAUAGGAUUUGAAAAUAUGGUUCACUUAAGGUACUUGGCAAUUUCAUAUAAAUGGCAACCAUUGGAUUUGGAAAGGUUCCACAAACUAGAAUUUCUUGUUGUGGACAAUGUUGAUAAAGUUGAAAUACCUGAGAUCCUUCUUAAUAUGGUGAGUUUGAGACACAUGGAGUUCAAGGGCGGUGCAUACUUCGGUGAAUCUAGUCGUCAACUAGCAACUAAUAGUAAGAGCUUCCAAAUAAAUAUCCUACAAAGUAUUUCUGUACUCUCAAUUUACCAUGAAAUGGAUGAGAAAAUUUUGAGAUGUUUACCCAAUCUUCGUAGACUGAAAAUCAAUGUUGAAAAUUCACCAAAUCAUUCGUUCGAUUUCCUUAAUCAGCUUGAAUCGUUGAAUCUAUUUUUUUAUUCUACCAAUUUGAUCGGUUUGCCCUUAAAUUUGAAAAAAUUGAGACUGCAAUUUGGAGAUGUGUGAAAAGGCUAUAGUUCGACCCAAAUAAUACCUAGAGGGGGGGUGAAUAGGUGUUUAUGCGAAAUUUAACAAUUUAAUUAACUUAUGCAACAUGUCACAUAAGUACGCUUUGUCCAGAUUCAUUCACAUAAUUUAGCUACCUAAGUUGAAUUGCCGCGUUGAAAUCAAAACAACAGAAAACAGUAGAAACGCAACAAAAUGUUGAUGGAGAAAACUCAACUGGGUAAAAACUCUGGGCACAAGCCAAUAGAGAUCCACUAUAGAAGAUAUUGACUUACAGUACGCCAGACAUAAUUGAAUCUAACAAUACUUUGACCUCCUUACUGUAUCAACCAAAAUUCUCCUGGAUUUUGCAGAUCUGCGCCAAAAUCCCAGCCCUGAAUUUCUUCUAUCUCCCGUGAAUCACCAAGCACUCCAGUUCUUCAAGCAGUUUCCUUCCCGGAUCUUCAAACAGAUGAUCUUUUGGAAGUUGAUAUGGAGAUUUGAAUGGUGUUUUGGUUUUGUGAAGGUUGAUGUUUUUCUCUAAUAGAGCAAAAGAUGAAAAGAAAGAAUUUUUUGGCUCUAAAUCCUUUGGUUGUUGAGAGAAAUUUUUAUUUGUGUGUUUUCCCAAGGUUAUAAAUGAAAAACGGAAUUUUUGUUUAUAUAGUAGGUCGUUUUUGGUAGUAUGGAGCAUUUAAAAUUCGCGAGGAAGGAAAAUUACCAAAAGCUAGAUAGCACUGUCGCUCGAGCGAAGUGCUGGCGAAACUCGAGCGACGCACCUUCGCUCGAGCUACCCCUCAGCGAAACUCUAGCGACAACAGUUCUGUUAUUUAGGCUCGAGCGAGGUCAGGGUGAAACUCUAGCGAGAUCAACGCGUCGUUUGCAUCUUCAAAGCAUCCAACUUUACCCUAGACAUAUGCUAUAAACUUUGCAAAAUUGCAACACAAGUCCCUGAACUUUUUGGACCUUUACAAUGUAGUCCUUGACUUUACAAACUUGACAAAUUGGUCCUUUGGUCACAGAUUGCCAAUGACAACAUUUUUCUAACAAUGUGUCUCGAAAACAAAUGGAGAUUUGGAAGAUUGCCUUACCUUGAGGUUCUCAAACUAGAAUCAGUUGUCUUUGAGGGAAACAAUGGAACACAAGUGAAGGU
rnacentral:lncRNA from 1 species